AAAACCACGAACUUCUAGUAUUAUCAUCUCAAAAAUCCUCAGCUGGUAGAUCUUGUGGAUAAAGGUAAGGCUUCUUAGGCAUUUGCAAAUCCCCAUCUUCUUAUGCAAGCAUCUCAAUCACUUUAUCCAUUGAAGGACGAUCACUAGGUUUUGUCUGAGUACACCAUAAUGCCACAAUCAUCGUUUUCUUUGCCAAUUUCAUUUCUUCAUCUGUGUCAUUCUCAAUUUUUCAGCCAAUGCAUUCAAGUUCUUCCUUCUACUUGCCAUCUCCAUCAACAACAUUCCAAAACUAUAGACAUCAGCUUUGUGAGAUAUUGUGCCGACAUUUCUGUAGAAUAAUUCAGGGGCCAUGUAUCCAAUGGUUCCUCUUGCUGCUGUUAAUGAAACAAUGCUCAUAUGUUUAGUAAUAAAAUUAAAUCUAAAAAAAAGUAUGUGUGCGACAGUGCUUUCACCGUAGACCGUGCUUGAAAAUAAAUAAAAGUGCUAUCACCGACAAUGGUGCCUUUAAAAUCAAUCUUCCCUUUGCUAUUAUACACCUUCAUUGCACAUGCUUCCAUCUUCAUGGUAUAACCUUUUUCAAGCAACUGUCCAAGACUUAUGAGAUUGCUUCUCAUAGUUGGGACAUAAAGCAUAUCCAAGAUGAAUGAUUCUGUACCAUCAUUCCUUCGAAUCUUAACCUUUCUAAUCCCUUUUGCGUUAACCAUAAUGUUGUAUGCAAAUCUUAUCUUUCUCUUAACUGACUCAUUUAGAUUAAUAUAAAACCAAUUUUUCUUGCCACUCAUGUGAUUUGAGAAACCUGUAUCCAAAUACCAUCGGUCAUAAUCUUCACCUUUGAUAGUAGCCAUUAAUAAAACUCCACCAGCAUCAGAUUCAUCUUCAUUGUAGGAAAACUGUUCUUCAUCUGCUCUAUCUCUUGCAACCUUCUUAGACUUGAAGUCAGCUGCAAAAUGACCCCGCUUCUCACAGUUAUAUCAUUGAAUGUAUUUCUUCUCAACUUUCUUUUUCUACCCUUUGUAAUUAUUGGACCUGCCUUCUACACUUUCUUCUUUUGAGCUAUGUUCUUGACCCUUGAUUGAACCUUCACCAUGAUUCUUGGAGCUUUGGUUCUUCCUUGAAUUUACCUUAUCUUUACUUUUGUUAAUCAAGGCUUGCUUGCAGAUCUUCAACUUUCAUUUCAUCAAGAUUUUUGGAUUCCUCCAAGGCUACUACAAUAUGAUGAAACCUUGAUGUCAAUAUUUUCAACACCUUUUCAAUCUUCAUCAAGUCAAUUAUAGUCUCACCAUUCCUUCUUGUUUGGUUUGUCAAGUUGACCUUUGACGCAGUUAUAUUCAACUAACAAUGUAACUAACUUUGAAUUAUAUCAACUGAUAUAAAAAGCGCUGUCUUAUGGCUUAACAACGAUAUAAUACACAUCCCUUUAGAAGCGUUGUUUAAUACCUAUCUUGGCAUAAUCGGGUGAAGGUCCAAUCUAGCUUCAAGAUCAAUGGAGAAUCGGUAGAUUAAGACAAAAUUCUAUUUAUUGCUACAUAAUAAGUUGCACAACAGUGGGCAUUUGGUAAUUUUAUGUAGCAGAUACCCAUAGAUUAUAUACCAUAAUAUCUGUUACCAUCCAGAGAGAAUAUUCACACACACACACACACGCGCGCGCGCGUGUGUAAAUAAAAGUUGCAUACUUAUAUUAAUGCUUGGGGUACGAACAAUAUGAUAUGUAAUUCAGCCAAGAACCAAAAAGAGAUUAGGUUGGUCCCUUGGGAUCACUAAUUGAUGUACCAUAGGAAGUCCAUGAGUUGCUAUUAUUAUCAUCUCCAACGUCUGCUGUUGGUGGAUCUUGUGGACAAAAGUAAGGCUUAUUAGGAAUUUGUAAGUCCCCAUCUUCUUUUUCAAGCAUCUCCAAAACUUUAUCCAUUGAAGGACGAUCCUCGGGUUUUGUUUGUAUACACCACAAAGCCACGGUCAUCAUUUUCUUUGCCAAUUUCAUUUCCUGAUCUGUGUCAUUUUCAAUAGUUACUUCCCUUCCAUCAUGUAAUCGAUCAUAAAUCCAAAAAGGGAAAUAAAUUUGGCUAGAUUGUUCGGCCAAUGCAUUCAAGUUCUUCCUUCUACUUGCCAUCUCCAUUAACAACAUCCCAAAGCUAUAGACAUCAGCUUUGUAAGAUAUCAUUCCAACAUUUCUGUAGAAAAGUUCAGGGGCAUAUCCAAUGGUUCCUCUUGCUGCAGUUAAUGACACAAUGCUUUUAUCUGUAGGAGAAAGUCUGGCAAGUCCAAAAUCAGAAACUUUUGGAUUGAAACUUUCAUCAAGAAGAAUGUUAUGAGGCUUUAUAUCAAAGUGUAGAAUUUUCACAUUGCAUCCGUUAUGCAAGUACGCAAUGCCUCGAGCCACUUCAACAGAAAUGGCAUACAACUUUUCACAACUCAAGGAAAAACAAUCCUUGGUAUGAGAAAAUAUGUAUUUUUCAAGUGACCCAUUUGGCAUGAAUUCAUAUAUUAGAGCACGCUUUGACCCAUCCACACAAAAUCCAAUAAGUUGUACCACAUUAACGUGGUGAAUCCUACCGAUGGUAGCAACUUCAUUGAUAAAAUCUUGACCAUUGGAUUUGGCUUUGUCCAAUAAUUUCACCGCUGCAAGACGACCACUUCGAAGUUGUCCUUUGUAGACAGAGCCAUAGCCUCCAUUCCCUAAUUUUGUCUUGAAUUGCUCAGUUAUUUUUUUGAUGUCUUUGUAUGAGUAUCUUAUAGGCAUGAUGUCAUUGUUACUGUGCAGAAAAUCUUCGAUGCCCUCGUACAUCGAUAAGUGUCUCUGUCGCCAUUUGUAAAUUAAUAAUAAAAGGACACAUGGCACGCCAAGAACAAAUUUAGCACCGACUAGAAAACCAAGCGCCUGACCUAUAAAGGAAAUGAAGAUAUUACAAUUGAAAACAAAUAAUAGAUAUGGCUUCUAACGUUUUUUUUCUUUCUUUCUUCUAAGAACUUGUUAGUUAAAUGAAAAUACCAUAUCUUGUUUAGUGAAUCUUCAAUAAUGUUUUGAAAGGUACUGACCACUGAAUCUUCAAUAUUAAAUUGAGGUAGCCAAAAUAGUUUUCUCUCUCUCUGUCUUUGUUUUGUUUUAAGACUUUGAUUUAAUUCUCAUACAAACGCUCAAUAGGGACGACUCUCACAUGAUUUGAGGGAAUGCAUAAGCUUACCAAUAAUAAUGUAAUAAUGGAAAGAUACGACUCCAGAUAGUAAUGUACGAAAAUUUAUGUUUCCUGCAAGAACAUAUACCAAACAUGAAGGAAAAAGUUAAGGGACUCAGACGAAAAAUAAAGGAUCUAAAAUACAUAAUCAUGAUCUUUUAAAUAGAAAAUGCAUAAUCAUAAUUUAAAUAUAAUAAAUUACAAUUUAUCCAAAAAAUAAAGGUUAAAUUGCACUUUUGACCUACGAACUUUGGUAAAUUGGCAACUUUGACCCUCAAAUUUUUAAAAUAGGACUCUUGUCCCCAACUUUAGCAUUUUUUUUUUUUUUACAAAAGUGAUGUCCCCAUUGAUUUUGGUCAAUCAACGCCAGUGCUGGGGGACAAAAUCAUUGGUUUGUGUAAGUUGGGGGAUUAAAAGCCAAAUAAUAAUGUACAUGUGUGGUAUUUGAGUCAUUAAAUUUGAUAUUCACAUAUGUACUGACCUGGUUAAAAUUAAGGGGACGUCAGUUUUGCAAAAAGAGCUAAAAUUAAGGGCCAAAACUGUUAUUUUGAAAGUUUGGGGUUAAAGUCGGGGUCAAUAAUGCAAUUUAGCAAAAAAAAAUUAUAAAGAAAAUUCAAAUCCAUGAUUGCUUGAUUUCCAAGCUCAUGUCUAUCCAAAUAAUAAUUCACAGUGAAGCUGGUUAUAUUGAUCGAGCUGUGCAUACCAACCAUGAUUGUAAAUACUAUUGAGCCAAGAAAAUUCAAAUCCAUAAUACAUCAUACGACGGAAGUCCUUGCAAGAAAUGUUACUGUUGUUGUCAUCUUCAAAAUUUAAAGAUGUGAGAUACAUAAACUCUACACGACAACAGUCUUUCAACACCAAUUCCGAAAGAGAUUUUCUGUAGCGACCAACAUAGAAACGAUUCCCGUGUCAGUGUAGUUGGCGAGGUGAUGGAAGAACUGAAAUUAUAGAGUCCUAAAGAAUAAUAAGGAGGGCUGAAAUUAACAAGAUUGAAAUCCAAUAGCCGUAUGGUGAAAUUGUUGUAAUUAAUUGAUUGUACAUAAUAUUUUCCAAAUGAUCCAUAGUUCAAAAUUAAUUGGCUGUCCUCACAUGAUAAGAUGUACCUUUUGUCACCACAGUGUUUGGGACUGUCAUUCAACCGGAAAGGGUGGCUGAUGCUAUGGACACCGCACCUUCGAGAAUCACCACAAGAGUUAAGGAGGCCAUUUUUGGUUUUCCGAUAGCAAGUAGAAAUCUAUAGUGACAAUUUAUUAAAUGCAUGAGAUCCGUAUAAUAAAAAUAAAAAUAUAUUACAUUUUACAUCACUGCAGUAAUGUGGAAGCUACCUUUUGGCAAGGUCGAAGACUUUUAUAGUCUUCGGAUGAAUUUUAUUAAAUGUUGAUAUGAGUAGACAUAUUAAUAAUUAUUAGUUAGAGAAGUUACUAGGGGACCACAUAUAUAUUAUAAUAUAUAUUUUUUGAAUGAUGUAUAUAUCAUUAAAAUCACUUGGGUUAAUCUCGUGGUAUUGACUUGAGAACUCAGAGUUAAAUUAUUUCAGUUUUGACGUAAGUUCUUAUGUCGUAUGGAUUGCGGACCUACCUAAAGACAUGGUGUAGUAGCUAUAGCCACAUCAACUCACCCUAGAAUUAAAAAAAAAAAUAUUGAAGACUUUACAUUCAUUGUACAAAGACUUCAUAUUGUUGGGGAAGCUGGCUAGAAGACUUGUGUGGCUAAAGAACAAACAAUUCUAUAUCAUGAGGGAAAUUACUAGGAAGCUGUUAUAGUGAAAGUGAGUUUGAAAAAUUCCUAUAAACAGAGUUAAGACAUAGUACUAUUGCUCAAGAAUCGAUACCAUGAACACUUAUUAUGGUUUAUUGUUGUUUAUGGUUUAUUUUGUUGUUAGAACAACUACAGCCAUGGUCAAUAAUUCUGCAGAUUUAACAUGUGGAAAUCAAGUUAUUAAAUUCCCUUUCCAUAUCAAAAACCACAAUCCAAAUCCAUCUUCGUAUGGCUAUCCAGGUUUUGAGUUAUUUUGUUCAUCGAAUAACGAAACAAUGAUUGAACUCCCUCACUCGAUGAAACUCAAUGUUAAGAACAUUGACUACAGACACCAAACUAUGUAGUUUCACGGUAAAGAGACUCGAUUCUGAGAAGUUAGGGAGAACAACUUCUAUAAAAAUCGAUUCUGGAAAAGCAAAUGUACGACGGCGGUACAGUGUUGGUGGUGAACCAAACACUUUGAAAUUGCUUUUGACAGGUGGAACGUGCUUUGUAUUGCUUUCACCGGAUAACCAAACGUAUGCUUCAUCAAGGUUGUGAUCAACGCAUCCUUCAUUUUGAUAUCAAACCACAAAAUGUGUUACUUGACCAUAACUUUUCCAAAAAUAUCUGACUUUGGUCUAGCUAAAUUAUGUUCAAGGGACCAAAGCGUAGUUUCAAUGACCGCAGCUAGAGGAACAUUGGGGUACAUUGCUCCAGAAGUUUUUUCAAGGAACUUUGGAAAUGUGUCUUACAAAUCAGAUGUUUAUAGUUAUGGAAUGAUGUUGCUUGAAACAAUAGGAGGGAAGAAGAUAACAGAGGACUUAGAGGAAAACAGUAGCAUGUUUACUAUCCGGAGUGGAUUGAUAAUCUUAUAGAUGAUCAAGACGAAAUGAGAAUUCAUGUUGAUGAUGAAGGGGAUGAAAAAAUUGCAAGGAAAAUGGCAAUUGUGGGACUCUGGUGCAUUUAGUGGCAUGCUAUGGAUCGACCAUCAAUGCAAAUGGUGGUUCAAAUGUUGGAGGGAGAUGUCGACAAAACUCCAAUACCUCCCAAUCCUUUUGCUUCUCAAUCUAGACAGCCUAGGAGAAAUGGUGGAGCUACAAUUACUAGACAACUAACUCAAGAGUUAGAUGUAAUUCAAGAGUUAGAAUGACUUACAAUUGUAAAAUAUGUGCCAGAAUCAACUUUUAUCUGAUUUCUAAACAGCUUUUAAACCAGAAUCAACCUAUUUUCUAUCACUCAGACAUAAAUCCCUACCUAUUUGUUUAACCAGACCUUAUAUAUAAAAUAUUUGAUCAACAAUGUAUAUGUUAACUGUUAACAUAUUGUUUGUUUGGAUUUCCUGCAGUCGCUGGUAUCAUCACCAAUGGCGGUUUCACCGCCCGGCGACCCCGGGCUCCGGCCCAAAUUUUUUGCAAUUUCUUAUGUAAAUUCCUCUGAAUUUCUUAUAUAAACCCCUAUAAAUCAGACAAUUUCUUUAGAUUUUUUGAUUAUUUGCUUGCAAUUUCUUAUGUAGACACCUAUAAAUGUGUUGCAAUUUUUUUUGCCCAGACUUUGUAAUAAUCCUGCUCCGCCACUGAUCAUCACUAUAACAAUUGAAUACCAGUGCAAAAAAAUAACAAAUGUACUCAGAUAUAUACAUAAAACUAACAGUCUAUGGAAUGUUCGUUCUUCUCUUCAUAUCUUGUAAACACAUCUGCUGCUCCAUUCAAUAUUAAAUAUAUUAAACAAAGCUCGGUAAGAAUCCUGCAAUUGCACAAUUUUUACUCUGUUCAUUAUAGCAUCAUAUUAAAAUAAAGGUGCCACUUCCUUGAAAUCUCUCACAUGCAUGAAAUAAUCAUAAAUCCAACAAAAUCAUGUGAACCUCCGAAUUUUAGGUUAUGUUCCCUCUCAUCAGAUGGAAAAUGCAGCAAGGAAACAGAAACACCGAAUUAAUGGAUCAAUUCUAUUUGCAUGGAACAUGUAAUAUGGGCAUGGAAAGGUAUAUAUGGAAUCACAUAGACUUCAUGCUCAGCAAUUGGCGCUUGAGACUAUUUCAUCUACAAAGCAAUCAAAUAGAAUUCUUUAUACCUUAACAGGGACAAGUUCCUACUCAGAUGCUAAAUUCUCCUUAGUAUAUGCAAGUCAGGAAACAUUUCCCUCAGAGAUGCCAUUGUUAAUUUUUACACAAUUUUAUUUUUCCAGAUGCCAAAUAGAUGGAGUUGUUCCUUGUAAAAUCUAUUCCCCCAAGAAAUUGUGGAAUAUAUUAAUCGAGCUUUGAGAUUAAAAACGAAAAUAGUAAAUAAUUACUACAAUAUUUGCAUUAUAAACAAAACUGCCAAAAAAUUGAGAAUCGCUUUUCUCCAUUAUAUCUCAAAAAUGCUGUUAAAAAACACUGAGCCCUUAGAUAAUGCUCUUUAAAAAAAAAAUGUUAUCUAAGGUACUAACAUUUUGAAGUUUUUUUUAACAUUGUGCUUGAAAAUAAAUAAAAGCGCUAUCACCUUGACAAUGGUGCCUUCAAAAUCAAUCUUCCGCACAUGCUUCCAUCUUCAUGGUAUAACCUUUUUCAAGCAACUGUCCAAGACUUAUGAGAUUGCUUCUCAUAGUUGGGACAAAAAGCAUAUCUGAGAUGAAUGAUUCUAUACCAUCAUUCCUUCGAAUCUUAACCUUUCUGAUCCCUUUUGCGUUAACCAUAAUUGAUAGAGAAUUAUGGAGAAUAAUAUAGAACAUUAUGGAACUUUUAAGAUGUCGAAGAACUUUCAAGAAUAUUACAAAAUAAUGUCAUAGUGAUUAGGAUCAUCUUAGCAUCUCUAGAACUUUCUAGGCACAUGAACUAGAUAUUAGAAUCUCUAGAUAGUUCUUGUAAUUAAGUAGUAGCAUUAAAUGUUUCUAGAUAUUUCUAGUUUGUAAUGUAGAGCCUUCCUAGAGUAGUAUAAAUAAGGCUCACCACUAAGUGUUUAGGCACAUUCAAAGAAUCAAGCAUUGAAUCAUUCAAGUAAUAUAACUUUUCGUUUGAGAAUAUUAGAGUGUUUCUCUAUUUUCUCUACCUUUCCUUUUGUCCCUGAGCCAGAUUUGGCAUCAGAGCUGGUUACGAUACCUCGGAGUUGAGUUUGUGCGAAAAAUCAACGGAAAGUGAGUUUUCAAGUGAGCAAGGAGUUGCCUUUGUAAAACUUCACUUUGCGGCCAUUUCGUUCGCAAAACUAACCCUGUCAUUUUGUUUGGGAAGUGAAGAAAACCCUUGGUUAAUAAGUCUUCACCACCAACAAAACCACCACUCACAACCACAAUCUUUACCAUAUAGUUUGUUGAAUCGUCAUCGUCCAAAUGCCACCUCGAAGACAAAAUGAAAGAAGUUUGCAAGAGAUGGAAAAAAUGAGGCGACAAAUUCAACAACUACAAGAGAUUGUCAAUGCCCAACAAGCCCUUUUGGAAGCACAACAAAAGAGAUUCAAAGAUCAUGUCUCCGGUAGUGACUCUUCAUCAUCUAGAAGCAGUCGCUCACAACGACGUGAGCUUCAAAUGAAUGAUAUUAAAGUAGACAUUCCAGAUUUUGAAGGGAAUCUACAACCAGAUGAUUUUCUAGAUUGGCUACAAAUUGUGGAACGUUUAUUUAAAUAUAAGGAGGUUCCGGAGGAGCAACAGGUAAAGAUUGUUGCUGCCAAGCUGAAGAAACUCGCUUCAAUUUGGUGGGAAAAUGUUAAAAGGAGAGGCAAGCGUGAAGGAAAAAGCAAGAUCAAGACGUGGGAGAAAAUGCGUCAAAAACUAACCCGUAAGUAUUUACCUCCCCAUUAUUAUCAAUACAAUUUUACUCAACCACAAUUAUCCAAAAAAUCUUCAUACCGACAAUUUUCCCCCACAAAAAAUCAAAUUGACUCUCAUAAACCACUAAUCCAUCAACCUAUUUUCACAUUUAAACCCCGUCAUAAAACAAUCACAGAGAUAAAUACCAAUAUACCUAAAUGUGUCAUGUGUCAAGGGUACGGACACAUAGCCAUAGAUUGUGUGAAUUAUAAAGCAGUCACCAUCGUUAAUAGGGAGAUAAACAAUAUUUUUGAAGAAGAAAGAGAAGACAUCCAUGAAUCAUUUGAAGCAGAGACGAUGGGAGAACCAAUAUAUGAUGAAGAAUAUGUUGGUACUGACAUUUGUGAAGUGUUUAAAGAAGAAGGAAACAACGAUCCAAUGAAUGAUGUUGAACAUGAUCCUGAUGAUAUUCAUGAAGUGUUUGAAAAAGAGGAGAACGAACCACUGUAUGACGGAGAAUGUGUUCCUUUUGAUUCUGGUAAAUCACUUGUAGCUAGAAGAAGCUUACAAACAACAACAGAUAAAGAAGAAUCAUGUCUAAAACAUAAUGUCUUCCACACUUCUAACACCUCACAAGGUAAGGUUUGUGAUAUCAUUGUCAACGGUGGAAGUUGUGAAAAUGUUGUAUCCAAUUAUAUGGUAGAAAAAUUAAAUCUACCAACAAAGGAGCGCCUACACCCUUACAAGCUUCAAUGGCUCAACAAGGAUAAUGAGGUAAAAGUAUCUCAACACUCUAUUAUCUCAUUUUCCAUUGGCAAUAAUUAUAAAGAAAAUUUAUGGUGUGAUGUUAUUUCUAUGGAUACUUGGAGGCCAUGUCAAUAUGAUCGUUGUGCAUUAUACGAUGAUUAUGUCAAUACAUGCACUUUCGUGAAAGAUGUGAUCAAGUUGGCACCUCUACCACUCAAUGAUGGAAAAGCGGAAUUUAAGCUACUUGGACUUUCACUCGCAAAGGAACCAUUUAAAGAUAAGACAAAGUUAUGUCUACUUCGUCCAGUUCCUAAGCCACCUUGGGAAAAUGUUGGAACUGAUUUUGUCCUUCGAAUACUUUGACUUCCGUAGCAAAAGUAUUCUGAAAUCUUGACUCGAGGAUGAACAAGGAAAUCUUGACUCGAGGACGAGUCUCUUCCAACCUGUGGAGAAUGAUAGAGAAUUAUGGAGAAUAAUAUAGAACAUUAUGGAACUUUUAAGAUGUCGAAGAACUUUCAAGAAUAUUACAAAAUAAUGUCAUAGUGAUUAGGAUCAUCUUAGCAUCUCUAGAACUUUCUAGGCACAUGAACUAGAUAUUAGAAUCUCUAGAUAGUUCUUGUAAUUAAGUAGUAGCAUUAAAUGUUUCUAGAUAUUUCUAGUUUGUAAUGUAGACCCUUCCUAGAGUAGUAUAAAUAAGGCUCACCACUAAGUGUUUAGGCACAUUCAAAGAAUCAAGCAUUGAAUCAUUCAAGUAAUAUAACUUUUCUUUGAGAAUAUUAGAGUGUUUCUCUAUUUUAUCUACCUUUCCUUUUGUCCCUGAGCCAAUAAUGUUGUAUGAAAAUCCUAUCUUUCUCUUAGAUGACUCUUUUAGAUUAAUAUAAAACCAAUUUUUCUUGCCACUCAUGUGAUUUGAGCAACCUGUAUCCAAAUACCAUUGUUCAUCAUCCUCACCUUUGAUAGCAGCCAUCAGUAAAAGCUAAGAAUAAGAUUCAUCUUAGUUGUGGGAAAACUCCACUGCAUCUGCUCAGGGCCGUUUCUGUCAAACUGGAGGUCUGGCUCUCUUAUUAAAACGAGGCCCAUAAAAAAAUAUUUUUUUUUAAAAGAGUGAAAAAAAACUAUAAUAUUUUAUUUUAUAUUUUUAGAGAAUAGAGAAUAUUGAAGACCUCAAAUCAAUUAAAACUAGGCCAAAAAAGACCCUAUCAUAUUGAAAAAAAUACAAUUAAAAAAAUAUAUAAAGAUUUGACCUCUCUAGGAGUUGAACCAUAGACCCAAAGCACAAUACUACCAUACUUAACCAUUAGGCCACGCCUUCCAAACCGUUAAUGUUACAAUGUUAUGUGUAUAUAUCAAUAUUUUCAAUACAUCAUAUUAAAAAAAAAAAAUUGAGGCCCAUCCUUGGAGGAGGCCCAGCUCGUUUGAGCUGUUCGCACCCCCUCAGGGCCGGCCCUGCAUCUGCUAUAUCUCUUGCAACCUUCUUAUACUAGCAUUCAGAUACAAAAUGACCCAGCCUCUGGCAGUUAUAUCAUAGAAUAUAUUUCUUCUCGACUUUCUUCUUCUGCCAUUUGUAAUAAUCAUCGGAUCCACCUUCACCACUUUCUUCUUUUGAGCUGUGUUCUUCACCCUUGAUUGAACCUCACCUUGAUUCUUGGAGCAUUGAUUCUUCAAGUUAUUCUUUCCUUUCUUGAAUUCACCUUAUCUUUACUUCUUUUGUUAAUCUCAAUUCACGAGCUUCAAGACUCGCUUGCAGAUCUUCAACUUUCAUUUCAUCAAGAUUCUUGAAUUCCUCCAAGGCUACUAAAAUAUGAUCAAACCUUGAUGUCAGUGUUCUUAACACCUUUUCAAUCUUCAUCAAGUCAGUUACGGUCUCACCAUUCCUUCUCAUCAGGUUUGUCAAGUUGAUCAAUCGAUUAAAGUACGGACUCACUGAUUCUUUAUCAGUCAUUGCAAGAAGUUCAUAGCCUCCUCAAUGCUUGUAAUCUCGCAUUCUUCAAUUUGUUAUCUCUAGCAGGCUUCCUUUGCAUUUUCAUAAUGCAUUAUUUUCUCAAAGAUGUUACCAUUCACGCACUGUUCCAAGAACAAGGCUAUCCCAUCUUUCUUCUUCAAGUAUUUAUGUGUAGUGAUUUGUGCCUCAUUAACAAUUCUUGCAAGCACUGACACCUUCCUUGACAACAUCAAGAACAUUUUGAUAUCGAAAGAUCACCUUCAUCUAUAUGACUCAUUGAUCUUAAUUAUUAUCUUCAAAGAUUGGUAAAUACGCAAGGAAACUACUAUUAUUUGAAGUUUCCAUCUCUCACGUAUUGUACAGUUUUUGCUAUGGAACAGUUGUUGAACCGACCUGACUCUAGAUGUCAAAUUGAUAAAACACUUAACAGAUUUUUAACAAAAUUAGUGUCUGAAAGUGAUUUUGAUAAAGGAAGAAAGUACUGAGAAUUUUGGAGAUAAAGAGGUAAUGAGGUUGAUUAGCAAUCAAAAUUUUAUUUAUUUAUUUAUUUUGACCAAACCAAUCAAAAUUUUAUUGAAUGAUGACAUUAGAGUAUUAUGUGACUAGAGAGACUAUUAUACAACAUGAGAACUAACAAACAAAUAAAACUAACUCUUAAUUUGUGACUCAAGUUACCUAAUAAACUAUUAGUUAUUUAACUAACAACCUAACUAACUUUGAAUUAUAUCAACAAAUGUAAAAAAGUGCUGCAUUAUACUUUAACAGCGAUACAAUACCAUCGCUGUAAAAGUGUUGUCUAAUAACUUUUUUGGCGUAAUCCGGCGAAGGUCCAAUCUAGCUUCAAGAUCAAUGGAGAAUCGGUUGAUCAAGACAAAAUUUUAUUUAUUAAUUUUCUAUAUCUAGUUAUACUAUAUAUUAUUGAACAGAUGAGUUUUCACAAAAUUUAAUAAGCAUUCUUGAUAGAUAAUAAGAUUCACAACAAUGGGCAUUUAGUAAUUUUAUAUGGCAGAUACCCAUAGAUUGGGUACCAUAAUAUCUGUUACCAUCCAUUGAUAAUCAACCAGAAUAAAUACUCAUUUAUUUUAUCUACACGAACAUUCACACGUAUAUUACAUAUUUGGCUUAAAUAUGGAAAUGGUCCAUGCAAAUAUUUGGGUUUUGGUUUUAAUCCCUAUAAAGAUAUUUUUUUGGUUUUAGUCCCUGCAAAUAUAGAAUAUUUGGUUUUGGUCAUUGAUAUUUUGUUUUAAUCCUUGUAAAAUCAUUUCAUAUUGAGAUUGGUCCCUAUAAUAUUCAUUUUAGUCCUCAUUUUGAGGGACUAAAAUCAAAUAUUCUACAUAUUACAAGGACCAAUUCCAAUAUGAAUCAAUUUUACAAGGACUGAAACAAAAUACCAAGGACCAAAACCAAAUUUGUUAUAUUUGCAGGGACUAAAACCAAAAAAAUAUUUUUACACGGACUAAAACCAAAAUGUCAGACAGACAUAUGCAGGGUCUAUUUUCAUAUUUAAACCUACAUAUUUAUAUUAAUGCUUGGUACCAAUAAUAUCUAAAAUGUAAUUCAACCAAGAACCAGAAAGAGAUCAGGUUGGUCCCUUGGGAUAACUAACUGAUGUACCAUAAGAAGUCCAUGAAUUGCUACAAUUAUCAUCUCCAACAUCUGCUGUUGGUGGAUCUUGUGGACAAAAAUAAGGCUUAUUAGGAAUUUGCAAGUCUCCAUCUUCUUCUUCAAGCAUCUCCAAAACUUUUUCCAUUGAAGGACGAUCCUCUGGUUUUGUUUGUAUACACCACAAAGCUACAAUCAUCAUUUUCUUUGCCAAUUUCAUUUCCUGAUCUGUGUCAUUUUCAAUAGUUACUUCCCUUCCAUCAUGUAAUCGAUCAUAAAUCCAAAAAGGGAAAUAAAUUUCACUAGAUUGAUCAGCCAAUGCAUUCAAAUUCUUCCUUCUGCUUGCCAUCUCCAUUAACAACAUCCCAAAGCUAUAUACAUCAGCUUUGUGAGAUAUUGUGCCGACAUUUCUAUAGAAUAAUUCAGGGGCCAUAUAUCCGAUGGUUCCUCUUGCUGCAGUUAAUGACACAAUGCUUUUAUCUGUAGGAGAAAGCCUGGCUAGUCCAAAAUCAGAAACUUUUGGAUUGAAAUUUUCAUCAAGAAGGAUGUUAUGAGGCUUUAUAUCAAAGUGUAGAAUUUUCAUAUUGCAUCCAUUGUGCAAGUACUCAAUGCCACGAGCCACUCCAAGAGAAAUUGAAUACAAUUGUUCGCAACUUAAGGAAUAAUUCUCUUUUGUAUGAGAAAAUAUGUAUUUUUCGAGUGAUCCAUUUGGCAUGAAUUCAUAUAUAAGAACACGUUUUGAACCCUCCACACAAAAACCAAUAAGGUGUGCCACAUUAACAUGGUGAAUCCUACCGAUGGUGACAACUUCAUUGAUAAAAUCUUGACCGUUGGACUUGGCUUUGUCCAAUAAUUUAACUGCUACAAGACGACCACUUUGAAGUUGUCCUUUGAAAACAGAUCCAUAACCUCCAUUGCCUAAUUUUGUUUUGAACUGGUGUGUUAUCUUUUUUAUGUCUUUGUAAGAGUACCUUAUAGGCAUGAUGUUAUUGUCACUUCGUAGAAAGUCUUCGACGCCGUCAUACAUAGAGAAAUGUUUCCGUCUCCAUUUGUAGAUUAAUAAUGCAAUGAUACAUGGCGCUCCAAGAACAAAUUUAAAACCGACGAGCAAAGCUAUAACGAAACGGAAAUGAGAUCAAGAAAAUGAAAUUAUUAUAAGCUUCAUUAUUUUAUACUAUGAUACUUUUUUUUUUUUUUGUUGGAAAUAAUUAUACUAUGAUAGAUAAAAUGAAAAUGAAAUUAUAAUAAACUUCAUUAUUUAAAAGUGUUUAUAGAACUAAACGAAGUGAAAACUGAAAAAUGUGAUGCCCUAAAUUUCCAUCAAUAUACUCCAGUUGUCUCCCUUUUUUGGUGAGAAGGGGCUUAAAGAGGUUUCACCAUCUCCUUUCUCAAUUUGCUUUGAUGAAAAACACUCAUUUUUUCAUAAAAAUCUUUGUAUUUUACUGCUAUUUUUCCUUGGGUUGCUAAUCACUUUGAGCAUUUGCUUUCGUUUUACCAGAAAUAUUUUAUUAAAAUGUUGUUUUCUUUUUGUCACAAGACAUGUUUAAACUCAAGAAUUUACUUAACAAGAUGAGGAUCUGCAACACAAUCAAUGCCACUUUUUAUAUCAUAUAUACAUCUCUGGGUAAAUUUUUCCUCUGGGCAACCAAAAAUUGUCUUUUUCUGUUACAAGGCUAGAAAUUAGACACAACCAAUUUCAUCACACCAAUCUUUUAUUUUGAUCUGCAAGCUUUGCCUCAAUUUUUGUCUUUACAUUAUCAUCAAUAUGAUUAUUAUCCAUGUCAAGUUUCUUUGAGUGUUAUUUAGAACAGGAUAUUACAAAUGUACAUAUACCCAAUAAACAUUAGUCUUAACAUUAUGAAGUGCUAAGAAGAACUUCAGAUUGAUCAGAAGAACUUUAGAAUUAGAUCAUAAGCAUCUCAUGGUCACUGCAAAAAUUGAAGAACAUGAUUGACCGAGGAAUAUGAGAUUCGAAGUUGAUCCAUGUCAAUCUUAUGAACAAAAUUCUUCAAUAAAAGAAGACUUUAGAAUAGACAUAAGAAGCACAUCAGAAGCACUUCAUGGUUAGGCUAAGAAGUUCAGAAUUUGAUAUCAUCAACUGAUUCUCGUCUCAAAAGUUAAGAUUAAAGAUUUUGAAGAAUGGAAUGAAGAUCAACUACACUUAAGGUUGCAGAUCAGGUAGAUCAGAAUUGCAAGGCAAGAAAUACAUGACAUUGAAGCUCUAUAUAUGGCUGCAUCAUUCCAAUGAGAAAAAACAUUGUCUCCAUGACAUAUCUCUGACCAAAAUCUUUUAUGUCAAGAAUCUCUACAUCUGAAAAAGAUCAGAUUGCUUGAAAAAGAUUCAAUCAUCUUCUCACUUGAGAUUCACUUCUCAAACAAUAGAGAACAAUAAAAAAUACACCUAAGCCUCCAUUAUAUCUUUGGAACAUCUUUUAUAGUGUAUUUGAAAAUUUGAAAUUCUAUGUGUGUGAUCAGAUUGAACUUCGAGAAAGAAAAGUUCAGACUCACUUAAUGUGAUCGGUUGAACUUAGAGAUAGAUAGAUAGAGAGACAGAGGUCAUUGUGAGAUCUAAUUGAUUCCUUUGAAAGAUCAAGUUCACAAGAACAAUUAUGUUAUCAGUUGUAAAACUUCACUAAUCCUCUUUAGGUUUUGGUUUGUUUUGAUAAAGAGUAAUAAGUUUGCUAAGAGUUUGUUUUGGUUUGUUUCACUAGUUUGUUACAUCACUUGAUGUGUAUAUGGAUUCAUAUACCUUGUAAAUACCAAUUCCAAUUCAUUCAAUAAAUUUCACCAGUCUUUUACUCAUAUCUCUCUUUCUCUCUCAAAACUAUAGAAACCCUAGAAUCUCAAUUCCAUCUUCUUCAAUUGAACACAAUUUUAAGUGUUGGUUUCAUUCAAUUUUCAUACAUUGCUCCAUCGGCAAUGUGUAAUGCCAGCGAAAAUGUGUAAUGCUUGAUUUGGAAAUUUGCAAUAGUUAAAUGAUGCAAUUUGAUUUAAUUGUCCAGUAGUUGCAUCUGUUUGGCUAAAAUAUGCGGACUCGUGAAAAGUCGUGUUUGAUGGGAUUCAACCCCAUAACACUAGUGCAUGCGAAUGGACACUUCCUUUCACCAUUGUGUUAACCAGUGCAUCUUGUCGUUUCAAAAAAUCUUUCAAAGAGUUGUAUCUCUUCACUAAAGGACAUAAGUUUCUCUAUAAAUAGACACUUUGGAGGCAGAAAAAGAUACACAAAAUCACAUUCUUGUAAGUCAAAGUUCUGCCGAAAAUAAUACAAAAUCAUUUCUUCUUUUCUCUAGUGCACGGGAGUAAACCAGAGAAUUUGAUUUUGUAAAAUAUCAUUGAUCUAUAGUGUGAAUGUGCAAGUCACGUCAAGGAUUCCAAGUUAUCAUGAAGGUGAUUCACGAGUACACCUAUUUGCAUACACUCACAGAUCUAGUGUGGGAGGAAUGGGGUCAUUUGACCCCACUUGCCUCCACAUGUGUAUUAUAUUUUUAACCUAAAAUUAGAUAUAGAUUUAGUUUGACCCUUCUUUAUAUAGUAUUAUUAUCUUCACAUAGUCUAUUUAUUACACUACAAAAAAUUAUAAAACUAGGAAGGAUCCUAAUGAGUGUUCUAAGAGCACAAGUUAAUAAAUCAAAAGAAGUAGUUUUUUUUAUAAAAAAGUUGUUAUAAUUAUUAUAUUGAUACAAAUAACGCUUAUUUUUAAGAUAAAAAUUUCUUUUAUGAAAUCUUUAACCAAUUAUCUCAGAGCAUGACGUUUUAUAAUAUUAACUAUUCUUAUAUUUGUUGAAAAAGCUUGUGCCUGACGCUAUGUUGGUGGUGAAAAAAUAAUUAAUUAAGGUUAUAUUUUUUAUACUCCGCUAGAAAUUGACAAAUAUUUUUAAAAAAAUCAACAUUUUAGAGCAAUUAUAAAUAUAACUUGUAUAAUUUUCGCACACUUACGCGUUUAUAAAGUUUUAUAUAAAUUUUCAUGAUAUAACUUGACCCCACUUAUUAAAAUUUCUGGAUCCGGUCGCUCUUUGCAUUUGGGUUGACAUAAACGGGUGGGGACGCAUGUUCAUUUUUAUCUUCCUUUUGUUCAAGUUUUGCUGCACCUCGAUAAAAGUUCUAACAAUAUUCCCAUGAAUAAGUUUAGAAUCUCCCAAACAAACGCAGCCUAAGAAUAAUAUUUCUAAAAUUUGUUUUAAGUCUCACACUUUGUUUAACAUAUUCUCCAUGGACUUGAGGGAAUGCAAGAGCUUACCUAUGAGAAUUGAGAUAUAAACGAGAUUCCAAGCAACCUUUUGAAGCGCCGAGUAUUCUGCAACAACAUACUUAAACAUGGUUAAGAAACAAACUACCAAAUUGCGUGGUAUGGACAGUGAUAUAUGGUAUGAACCGGGUAAGACGAUCGUUAUCGGUGACAAUGCUACAUUUUCAAGGUUUGAUUCUAACCAAGUGUGUGUGUAUAUCAGGGUAAUAACACCAUCUUGUGAAAAACAGGGAAAUAAUGAUUAUAUAAUAAGUUCGAUGAGUGCUCCUAUUAUUAUUAUAUGUAAUAAAAAAAGUCUGAGGAAUAUCACAGAAAAAAAAAAAAGGUCUAAUGAAUACUCCAUUUAUCUUUCUUGCGGGUAAAAAGUUGAAUUGUUUUGAAAAUUUAGAAGCCAAAGUCCAAACACCAUUCAUUUGCUUUAUAUGGGUAUCUAUACUUGUGCUAAUUCUUCAGAACUUGCAGAGGACAAUUCCUUAUUGAAGGUUACUAUCAUAACUCUUAAUAUCAGAGAGCAACCUGAUUGCUGCACUAAAGGAAAGAGGUGCAGACUCUGAGCUGGACAUUACAUUUGGGAAUACUCUGAAUGCUAAGUGUCUGAGUAACAUGUAUUUCACGAACUCUGAUGAGUUAGUUGAUUCAGGAAGUCCCUUCUGCAUCAGAGAGACUAAUCCAGUCUAUCUGGAUAGAUUCCAUGUAAUAUCUCAACUGGAUAACAAAGAUGUUAUCAGAGUUAUAUUCAGAUGGCAAAGGAGGAAGGAGUUACAAUCACUGAAGCAGAUAUACCUCUAGCUCCUGAGAAUUGUGCAUUAUGAUUGGUUGGUGGGUAAAUUACCCACCAUUUUUCAAAGAUAAUCUAGAAAAAACCUAUAUAUAUAUAUAUAUAUAUAUAUAGAGGGUGUAUCAAAUGAGAGCACUAUUAAAAUGAGAGAUGAGAGGGAUACAUAACAACCCUUGGAUUAAUCUUUAUUGUGCUCCUUAAUUUUAAAAACUGCAGCGUAUAAAUCUUUUUUCAUUCCCUUUUGUGUGCUUCUUUUCUCGCCGUUUCUUCUCGCUGUUGCUGUUACGGUUUCUUUUUCAGAUCUCGGGCAAAACAAUUUUGUUGCAUCAAAUCUAAUUUUUAAUUAAUCGAAUUGCAGUUUUGAAAUCACACCAAAAUGAAGUUGGAAAAAUAUGAUUUUUUUUUCAUUCUGUUCAUCUUCUAGCUCCAAUCUACUUUCGAUUUCAAGAAGAUAAGAAGAAAAAAACAAUCUUUCUUUCUGCUGCUAUUUGUUUAAUGUUUCUGUUACCAAUUAAGAGAAUGUAAAAUUUUCUUUCUCAAUUAAAAAAAUCAAAAUCCAAAUUUCAAAUUAAAAAUCAAGAGUGAAUUGCAAAACUAGAAAGAGACAUGACAACGAACAAAAUGGAUUGAAAAUAAAAAUCGAAUUUAAAAAAGAAAAAGAAAAAGGAUUUCAAUGGAACAUGAAGAAGAGUAUUGGAAUAGGAAACAAUGGAGAUGGAAGGGGAAGUUAGAAAAUCACAUACAAAGAAGAAACGCUAACCAUGAACCUGGAAAAGGAAAGAUAAUCAGGUAGUCACACCCCACAUUAAGUGUAAUAUCAUCUCCACCGUUCAGUUUGAUCCUACGGUCCUAAUUCAAUGCUCUCAUCUCUCAUUAUAAAAUGUCCUCUCACUUGAUACACCCUCUAUAUAUAUAUAUAGGUUUUUUCUAGAUUAUCUUUGAAAAAUGGUGGGUAAUUUACCCACCAACCAAUCAUAAUGCACAAUUUAUUGGUGGGGUCAAGAUAGUUUAUGGAUACCACCUAAAAAGGUGAAUGUUUAUUGGUUGGGGUAAAUUACCGACCAUUUUUCCAUGGAUACCUUAGUUGUCACCAUAUAUAUAUAUAUAUAUGUAUGUGAGGUUUUCUCUAAUAGACCCAUUUUAUUUUAUGAAGGUCUAUUUUAGACACACCUUUUCACCUGGAGACACACACACUAUAUAUAUAUAUAUAUACACGGGGGCUGCUAACUUAAAUUCACCAAAAAACAUUAAGGUACAAGUUAGCAAGCUACACCCACCUAAAAUUAUUAAGGUGCAAGUUAGCAACCUACGCUCACUUAAUUAUUUACACUCAUUUUUAUAAAUUUUAUAAAAAUUACACAUACUUUCAUCAUUUUAAAUAUUGUUUCCUUGAAAGUUUGUCCCUAUUACAUGUUUUGUACAUUAAACAUGUCACUAUUUUUUUUUUUUUUUUUAAGGAUCCUGCUUCUUCUUUUUUAACGUCAUAUAUAGUAGUGUAUUAUGUACAUGUCUAUUAAAAAAGCUUCAGGUGAUAAUUUUUUUGUUUUUGCUGCAAAACCUUAAACCUUCAAUCUAAUAAUUUUGCACAAGUUUAUUAAAGAACAAAAAGUUUCAGUAGCUUAUUUGAUUAAAAAAAAGGUUAGUGACUUUGAGGAUGUACAGGCCACAAAUCAAAAGCGUAAACAUAGGAAACUGUUACGUGUUUGUUUUCUUGUUUUAAAAAAAAAUUAAUUGAAAAUGACAAAAUUAUCCUUCAAUUUAAAAUUGGUUUGAAUAAUGACAAAUGGAUAUUUUAGUAAAAACAAAGUGGGUGUAGUUAGCUAACUUACACCCUAAUAUUAUGUAUAUACAUACACGCACGCACAUCUUUGACAAAUACAAGUCAAAGACAUGUACAUAGCUCCACAGCUAGAGCUAAAUAUUUUCACUUUUGCAUUGGCCCUUGCACAUCUUAGCCCUCUUUAAGAUAAGUUCAAGGAAAACUCAAGUAUGUCGUCAUAGUUGUGGAUUACUACAGAAAGAAAAAGAAAAAAAAAAAAACAAGACUUUCGUGGUGGUCUGAACCAUCACAAAUGUUUGUCACUAGCUUAAAUUGUGGAGAUUUUGGACGAUCACAAAUCCGCCGCAAACAGAUGAUUUGUUAAGGACUAAAUUAAAUUUAAACAAAUUAUAGUAUUUAUAACUUAUAAGAACCACAAUUAGAUUUAGCCAAACUUAAAUGAAAAUAAAUAAUAAACUUUGAGAAAGGUGGAGUCGUUUGGAACAGAUAUAUUACCUCCAAAGUUCAAAUGGAGGUCUUCUACACAGACAUAGGUGUUAUUGUCAUCGAGGUCUGCAUACCAUCCAUCUUUACAAAAACUGUUGAGCCAAGAAAGUUCAAAUCCAUAAAAGAUCUCACGACGGAUGUCUGUGCAUGAAAUGUUGUUGUUUUUGUUGUGGUUGUUGUUAUUUUGAAUAUCCAAAGAUGUGAGAUACAUAAGCACGAUACCACAACCGUCUGCCAGCCCCGAAUCCGAAAAAGUUUCGUUUUCUCCAAUAUAAUUGACGUAGAACGAAUUCCCUGGUUGCUCAUAUGUACUAAUGUUCAUACAGGCCGGAGAAGCAAAGUAAAUACCAGAAGAAUAUUGGACAUGAUUCGGACAUCUCAUAUAUAACACAGGCUUUGCCAAUAAUAUAUUGUACACAUACAUUUCGUACGGCAAGCUUAUGGAAUAUGUGUAAGUGAAAUUAUAGAGGCCUAGUGAAUGGGGAGGGAGGGUAAAAUUAGAGUAACCAAAAUUGACAUCCAAUAGUCGUAUAGUGUAGUUGUUGUAAUUAAUUGAUUGUACAUAAAAUUUACCAUGGUUUUUUCCAAAUUCAUAGUACAAAAUCAACUGGUUGUUGUCCUCACAUGAUAAGAUGUAUCUUUUGUCACCACACUUUUUAGGACUGUCUUUCAAGCGGAAAGGAGACCUGAUGUUAUGAACACCGCACCAUCGAGAACAUGACUCUUGGUGUUCAUCACCAUACACACUGUACCUGAAUGUUACUAUCAGCAUCGCAAGGGUUACCGCUGCUGCAGCAGAGUUUAAGGAUGGCAUUUUUGGUUUUCUGAUUGCAAAACUCACAUUUUUACAUCAAAUUAUUUAGCAAGCUCGAAGACUUUUAACACUAAAAUAAAAAGUCUUCGGAUAUAUCUAAUAGAUUUUGACAGAAGUAUUAGAUUAAUUAUGAGUUUGGACUUAUUGACAGGCACUAAAUAAUUGAAUAUUAUCAAAUAAUAUGACCAGUUCAGUUUUGACGUAAGCUCUUAUCUCAUAGUAGAAUGGUAUCGAGAAAAACUCAACACUCAGUUUAAAAAGAUAUCAGUAUUGAAAAGAAGCUCAGAGAUCUAGAUUAAUCAAAUGAAUAUAACUAAAAAAUAAGUUUAAUAAAAUGAAUGCGUCCGUAGCGGUUUUGUAUAACGAAAAUUUUAUGGUGAAAUCAUGAGAAUGAUUUUUUUGGUGAAGUUAACACUAUAACAUAAAAAAUGUAAUGAGUAAGACCCCACUGUUUGUACAAUGACAUCAAAAGUUCAAUCCUCAUAGUAUCAUCAACUCAUCAGAUUAACAAGACUACACUUAAUCUUAUUUUAUCAUACCUUGUUAUAAGGGUAACACCUCACAAAGUGUAACACUUAAGACUGUCACAUAAUAUCAUCAACUCUGUUUGCAUGUUAAAGAUUCUGACAAUAAAAUAGUAUCUGUAAGUCCAAAAUGUUGCAAGCAUUACUAGAUGAAUUACUAUUGAUCAUUAAUCAGUAAUCAACAAUUUAAAAAUGAAUCAAACAUUAAGAUCAAAAUUAACUUUUUCAAAAGAGUCAGUUUUCUGACUGCACCAUAGAAGCUCCCUUUGUAUGAGUGUACUUUAAUAAAAAAAAAUUGAAUAUGAUAUUCACUUGGUAGUUGGUCAAUUCACUUUUUUUUUUUUAACAAAAGUUGGUCCAUUCACUUGCUGCUACACCCACAAUAAAAAUAUUAAUGCAUCACCAUAUAAAUCUAACGAUUUGGCUCGUGAGCUACUCAUUUAAAGUGUAAAGUGGAUAAUAUCAAUUGUUUAUUAACAAAUAAAUUAUAUUUUUGGUCCCUUAAUUAUUUAGGUAGUAUCGCUUUGGUCCCUUAAGUAAAAUUUGAUUUAUUUUGAUCCCUUAACUUUUCUCCGUUACACAUUUUGGUCAUUUCGGUUAGUAUUUAAUUCAAAAACGUUAUGUUUUCUUCAUUUUCUUCUGAAACUUUUUUGGGAUUCUUAUUGUUGAAGGUUGAUGGAGAUGAUAUAAAGAUGAAAAAGAGGAGAAGAAGAUGAAGAAAACCUAACGUUUUUGAAUUAAAACUAACAGAAAGGACCAAAAUGUGUAACGAAGAGAAGUUAAGGGACCAAAAUAAAUCGAAUUUUAAUUAAGGGACCAAAGCGAUACCACUUAAAUAGUUAAGGGACCAAAAAUGCAAUUUAGCCUUAAAUUAAAGGUAGAUAUUACAUAUAUAUAGAGCUAUAAAAAAUGGGCCGGCCCAUAUUUUUGGGUCGGGCCGGGCCUAAAAAACUAACCAAAAAUGCACUUGGGCUUUUUCGGCCCAAGCCCAUAUUUCAUUUUAUUUUUGUUAAAAAACAACAUAUUUUUUAAAAAAAUUAUCAACUAAUUUAAAAUUUAUUAACAAAAAAAUAUUUAAAUAAAUAAACUUAAUAAAUAUGGAUGAAUUUUUUUUUUGAAUGUUAAUAUGGAUGAAUUUAGCUUACAGUUUUAAAAUUUUAAAGUUUAUAAAUUAUUAAUUUGAUUUAAUUGAAAGAAUAAUCUAGAGUUUAAUUAUUAUUCAAUGUUAAUGUAAAAAUUAUUUAUAUUUUUAUGUCCAUCCAAUCAUAUUUUAGCAAAAAAUAAUGGUGAGUAACUAAUACAUAAGAAAAUACAUAAAAAAAAAGUGAAUAAAUUUUUAAAAUAAAACAAAAACGGGUCAGGCCGGGCUGGCCCAUGGCCCACCCGGGCCGGAAUCUAGAAUUCACGACCUAAUCAUUAACGGGCCGGGCUGGCCCAUUUCUAUAGUCGGACCUCUCGGACCCGAGCCGGGUCGGGCCGGCCCAUUUGACACCUCUACAUAUACAUCAAAAAUCAUGAGUUUCUUACAAUAAUAUCCCUUAAUUUUCUUAAUUUACACUUGACUCACUUUAAAGAAUAUUUUAUAAGUCUAGACGGAAUUUACGGAAUAAUAUCUACGGUUUCUAAGAAUGGGUUAAUGACAAUAAAAAAUUGACAUAAUUAUAUAUUGGAAAGUUAUUUCAUCUACUCAUCUUAAAAAGUAAAAAAUGCCACAAUAUCAACUUCAUAGUGCCGGUUCACUCAUGUACAAGUACUUUAAAAUAUUGGAAUUUGCAAACCUAGACUCAUAUAUAAUAAGUAUAUAAUAGUCACAAUGAUACAUAGAUAUUGACAUUGCUACCAACAUAUAUCAUUUUGAAUAGCAUUUUGAUAUAGGAGGUUUUCCUUAUUAAUUUUAUAUUUCAGCCUAAUUUUAUCAUGUGUUAUUGGCUUCAAAAUUGUGAAGUUGAAAAACAGAGAAAUCGUGACACGAUUUCAUAGGCGUGUCACGAUUUUGCAAUGUCGAGAACUGUUUUGCAGGGUACCCAAUCGUGACACGAUUUUGGAAAAAUGUGACACGAUUUUCGGCUUGGUAGGCAAGUUUUCAAAAUAAAGUUGGUCAUACCUUGGGUCAUACGCAUCAACCGUGUCACGAUUUGGCAAAACGUGACACGAUUUUGACAGCUGAAGACUGUUAUAUAAGUGUUCUUUGCAGAUUUUGAAGGAGAGCUUGAAGAGAGAGAAACUUGGAAAAUCAAAGGAGGUAACUUUAGGGUUGAGGGUCUUUGAUUAUAGUUCUCUUGGGUUGGGAAACAUUGUAAACACCUUGGGUGAGUGAAAAUCAUUGAGUGUCUUGUUCAUUGGUGAGAUUGAAAAAAUGGAUAGAAAUUAUGGUUGUUCUUUGUGAGCUUGUUGAAGCUAAUUUCUUGUAACUCAUUUGUAUCUCUUUGUAAGAAGAAUUCAUUGAUAGUGGAUUGGAGAAAUCAAUCUCUCCCCUAGAUUAGGUAAAGUUGGAUCGAACUGGGUCAACAAUCUUUGAUGUGUUUGUUUAUCUUCUCUCUUUAUCUUUUGCUUGUGGUUUUGAGUUUUUCCCUUUGAUUACUAGAUUAGAUCUAGGUGUUGUUAUUGUUGAUUAUUGCUUGUGUUCACUUUGAUAUUGAUUACUACUUUCCUUUGCUCCACACAACAUAGUUUGUAUUGUUGUGAUUUUGAGUCCGAAUUCACAACAAUUUGUUUGUUUUGUUUUCAGUUUGUUAUUUUCGGCCUAUCAGGGUUUUGUUAUUUCCCUAUUUAAAUUUAACAGUUGUAGCUUAAGAGGAAACUUUUAUUCAUUCAAUAAUAUUUUAGAGAGUUUUUUCAAUUUUCGGUGGAUUCCAGAACCAUAUUUUUACAAGUUUGUCGCUUGCAAAAUUGUUUUUCAAUUUAGGUUUAGCGCUUGCUAGCCUCCGCUUCCGACUGCGUCUGUUAGUAUCAAAGCAGGUUUCUCCUGUUUUUUUUGAACGUGAUAAGCAGAGCCGUUCCUACAAAUUUGGAGGCUCGACUCUCUAAGUGAAAAGAAGCCCGUAAUAAAAUAAAAACUUAUUUUUUUAAAAGAACAAUAUUCUAUUUAAGUAUUUUUAAAAAAUAAAUACAAUGUGCCGUAUAUAUGAGAUGCAUCCAAAGAUGAAAAUCACUACCGUAUACAUGAGGAUCCUCAAAUCACCCUAAAAAAACACUCACCUAACACCAAAAGCAAGAGAAUCCAGUUCUAAUAAACAAGACAACAGAAGAGGAAAAGGAAAUCAAAUCGGAGAAGAAGAAAAGGAAAGUCUGAUGGAGUGAUGGUGAUGGAACGCAUGGUACCAGAGAGAAAGAGAAUAAGGAGUUUUUAUUUUUAAUUAGUGGGGUAGUACUUAGUAGUAAUACUGGGCUAUACAUUGUUGUUAGUGUUAAUCCUCUAAUAACUAUUCAAUCAACUGCAUUUUGUAUUUCAAAUAGAUUGUAAAUUUUUGGGAAGGUCCACUCAUCGUAUCACAACCUAUACUAUUUUGAAAUGUUGGAAGACCUUGUACAACCUUGAGGACGGGGUGGAUAAUGAUACUAUUCAUAUUGUUUAAGGUUUAUUAGCAUGAAUGUUUGAUAUUGAGGGAAUUAUAGAGGACAUCAAAACUAUAUUGAAGUUGGAAUGAUGGAAAGAAUUAGGAAAAAGAAGAUGCUUCCUUCAUCAUGGGUACAAAGAUGUCUACAAUUGAUAUUUGUGGUUCAACUUCAUCUGAUUGUUCAAGACAUAAAUGUGAUUUCUCAUAAUGAUACACUUGAAGUCAUCCCAGUGGAGCCACUUGAAGUUGAUAGCUUGAAUUUACAAGUUUUCCUCACUCAGUACCAUGGCCAUUGCAUACAAAGUGGAGCUUGGAUCGAGUCUCUUUGUUUAUUAAACUUUUUACUACUAAUAAAUAUGAUUGUGUUCACUGUUUACUUUGAGCAAUGGGAUCCCGGAGGUCAUUUGAACAUGUUUACACCAGCUAGGUCCUACGGGUUGAAACAAUGGGUACCAAGAGGAUGAUCUCUUAUUCAUUGGAGGAGUCAACAUGCAUGGGAAGUUCUUUAUCAGAAUGAGAACUCGGGGUCGAGUUCUUCAGAGGUGGAGGAGACUGAUGUAGGAUGAUUUUCAUUAGUAAUUUUAUAUUUCAGUCUAAUUUUAUUAUUUGUUUGUUUUGUAUUCAGUCUGUUAUUUUCGAUCCAUUAUGGUUUUGUUAUUUCCCUAUUUAAUCUUAACAAUUGUAGCCUAAGAGACAACUUUUAUUCAUUAAAUAAUAUUUUAGAGAGUUUUCUCAAUUUCUGGUGGAUUCCGGAACCCUUUUCACAAGUUUGUCGCUUGCAAACUUGUUCUUUUUCAGUCUAGGUUUAGCGUUUGCUAGCCUCCGUUUCCAACUGCGUCAGAAGGAUACCUCAUUGCUAACUUCUGCAACAAGUAAUGAAGUUGAUGCCAGAAGCAACAUGAUUGCGGAAAUUGAGAAUACAUAUCAUCAUUUAUCUUAGUUGUUAAAGCUGAUGUAGAAACACAGAGUGAUUUUGUCAUGUCCUUGGCAACUGAAGUUUGAGCAGCUUCAUUCUCUAAAUUGAAGAUGUGAAAGAUAUGAUAGGGAAAACUGUUGGAGGAAUAUGAAACUGGUGGGGAUAAAAAAGAGGCUUGUAGUUGCAUGAAAGAGUUAGGUUUUGGAAGAGUUGAAUUGAAGAAGCUCUUAAAGAUUUGGCUUUAUGCUAAGAAUCAGUGUGCAUAUUAUGUUGGAAAAGCAAAGAACGAAGGCACGGAAUCUCAAGUUUACUCAAGGUGUUUGGAUAAUGCUAUUGCAACCAACCCGGGGAUCCUCGGUCGUGUCACUCUUAUUAUUUGCCUGAGUUUUGUAAAAUGGAGGAUCUAGAAAGUAUUCGGCAUGUUACUACAUUUCUUCAAUGGGAUCUAGGAGGGGGUCUCUUGUUUAUUGUAAGAGUCAACUUGCAUGAGAAACUCUUUAUUAGAAUGAGAACUCGGGGUCGAGUUCUUCAGAAGUGGAGGAGACUGUUGUAGGAGGGUUUCCUUAGUAAUUUUAUAGUAUUUUUAUUUUGGCUAAAAUUUAGUAAUUUUCUGUUUUUGUUUCAGUUUGUUAUUUUCAACCCAGAGUUUUGUUAUUUCUCUAUUUAAGCUUAACAAUUGUAGCCUAAGAGACAACUUUUAUUCCUUCAAGGUUUUUUCUAAAUUACCUUUGAAAAAUGGUGGGUAAUUUACCCACCAACCAAUGAAUAUGAACAAUUUAUUGGUGGGGUCAAGAUAGUUCAUGAAUAUGUGCUUAUGUGGCUAAUGUGUAUUGGUUGGGGUAAAUUACCCACCAUUCUUCCAUGAAUACCCUAGUUGUCACCUUCAUUCAAUAGUAUUUUAGAGAGUUUUCUCAAUUUAUAGUGGAUUCCGAAACCUUAUUUUCACAAGUUUGUCACUUACAAACUUAUAUCUUUUUAAUCUAGGUUUAGCACUUGCUAGCCUACGCUUCCUACUGCGUCACAUUUGGACCCAAAACCAAUGGAUUCACGUUAAAAAAUACCCACGGUAGGCGGGUAUAAAUAUCCGCAUUGUUAGGUAUGGGCAUGAGUUCGAGUAAUUACCCGUAAAUUUAUAAUCAGGAUUUUGUUCAGGAUUUUGAUGAUACCCCCAACAUGUCACUCAUUUUCUCUAUAGAAACUGUUAAUAAAUUCUUCUUAACAUUUUAGCAUUGUGCAUUGGAGUUCCUCUAAAGUCUUCGGCUUACAAUGUUGAUUUCACUCAACCUUGACAGCCUACGAAUUUAUUAUUUUACAAUGUGAGGGAAACUAGGUUGUAAUUGCGCUGUUGACUUUAAUCAAUUAUGGUGUUAAUUAAUCAAGUUGGGUUGUUUACUAGGAAAGCGUUGUAGUCAUAUUUAAUUUGAAAAAGUCUUAUAAACAGACACAGAGUUCUCUCUUUCUCAAGAGUCAAGUCAAGAACACUAAUUAUGUUAUGGCAUUCUUGUUGUUCAUGUUUUACAUUGUUGUUGGAACAACAACAGCCACGCCCACAGAAAAUAACUGUCCAGAAGAUUUAACAUGUGGAAAUCAAGUUAUCAAAUUUCCUUUUCAAAUCAAAAACCACAAUCCAAAUCCAUCUUUCUGCGGCUAUCCAGGUUUUGAUUUAUUUUGUUCAUCAAAUAAGGAAACUAUGAUUGAACUCCCUCAUAAAGUGAAACUCAAGGUCAAGAACAUCGACUACACAAACCAAACUAUUGAACUAUCCGAUCCACAAGGUUGCCUAUACAUACAGUUCCACAACCUUAAUCUUUCAUCUUCUCAUUUCAAGCAAGUAUCCGAUACACGGUACUUCUACGAUAAAGUUGAUAGCUAUCACUUUUUUAAUUGUUCACUUUUGAUUAGAGAUGAUGAUAUGGAUUCCUAUUUGGUUCCGUGUCUAAGCACUUCAACCUCUCAAACAUACGCUAUCCCUGCUUAUGAACCUAUCAAAUUCUUUCCUCUCACGUUUUGCACCAAAAUGUAUAAUGUUUCAGUAAUGGGCCCUUCAUAUUCCGGAACUAUUCCAAAGAAAAAUUUUCUUCGUUUGAAGUGGUCUGAGCCUAAUUGUAAACACUGUGAAUCAGAAGGAAAAAGAUGUGACUGGAAGAAUACUACUAGUAAUAGUACCAACAAGGAAGUAUAUUGUUUUGCCAAAAACAACAAUAAAGGUAAUUUACCUUGCUAGCUAUUUGUAUUAAUUUGAAGACAAUUCUAUUCUUUGUUCAAUUUAAUUAUAUAUUCAAUCUUCAAACUUAGUAAAACAAAUUGAACAAGUCGUAGUUCUUUAACAUUGAAUCAAGAUUAUGGAAUUUUAAAGAGAAGCUGAGCAAUUUAACAACAUAGUUUUUCAAAAUUUAUAUUAGAAUGACUUGGAUCUUCUACAACUUCAAACUCUCCGGUCAAAUCUCAAUGGUUAGAUUAACCUAAUGGUCAAUAGCAUUAUAUAUUUUUUCCGACAAUAAUAGUAUUAUAUCUUGGAUUAAUCCAAUGACGAGGUUUAGCUGAAGAAAAUGCAAAUGAUUUAGAGUAUUUGAUAAAAAAAAUCCUUAAGAAUAGUCUAAAAUAUUAUUAUUUAGGUUAAAAUACAUCAUAGGUCCUUAACUAUAUUGUUUUCCGACAUAAACUAAGGCUUGCAAGUAUGACUUUGUAGGUUCUUCAACUACCCUAGUCAACACAGGUCAGCUUUUAAGUUUAAGUUUGCUUUAUUUUAAUUUUAAUCUAUAUGAAAAUUAUCAUUUUUCUUAAAUUAAUUUUCAUAAAUGCAGGAUCAAUUUUAGGUUCGUUAUUUUUUGUCUUGUUGACUGGUGCAAUCUACCAUAUUUAUGACUCUUACAUACAAAAGAAAGAAAAACAAGCCAUUAUAGAAAAGUUUUUAGAAGAUUAUAGAGCUCUUAAGCCCACAAGAUACUCAUAUGAAGAAAUUAAAAGAAUCACAAAUAAUUUUGGCGACAAGUUAGGACAAGGUGCCUAUGGAACUGUAUAUAGAGGAAGCAUUUCAAAAGAAAUCAUUGUUGCUGUGAAGAUACUAAAUGUUUCACAAGGAAACGGGCAAGAUUUCCUCAAUGAAGUUGGUACAAUGGGUAGAAUCCAUCAUGUUAAUAUUGUUAGAUUGGUCGGUUUCUGUGCUGAUGGAUUUAAAAGAGCUCUUAUUUAUGAAUUUUUACCAAAUGGUUCGCUCCAGAAGUUCAUUAAUUCACCAGAAAACAAGAAAAACUUCCUUGGUUGGAAAAAGUUGCAUGAAAUUGCUUUAGGUAUAGCUAAAGGAGUUGAGUAUCUUCAUCAAGGUUGUGACCAACGCAUCGUCCAUUUCGAUAUCAAACCACAAAAUGUGUUACUUGACCAUAACUUUAUUCCAAAGAUAUCUGACUUUGGUCUAGCUAAAUUAUGUUCAAGGGACCAAAGCAUAGUGUCAAUGACAGCAGCUAGAGGAACUUUGGGCUACAUUGCUCCAGAAGUUUUCUCAAGGAACUUUGGAAAUGUGUCUUACAAAUCAGAUGUUUAUAGUUAUGGAAUGAUGUUGCUUGAAACAAUAGGAGGGAAGAAGAUAACAGAGGACUUAGAGGAAAACAGUAGUCAUGUUUACUAUCCGGAGUGGAUUUAUAAUCUUAUAGAUGAUCAAGAGGAAAUGAGAAUACAGGUUGACGAUGAAGGGGAUGAAAAAAUUGCAAGGAAAAUGGCCAUUGUGGGAUUAUGGUGCAUUCAGUGGCAUGCUAUGCAUCGACCAACAAUGCAAAUGGUGGUUCAGAUGUUGGAGGGAGAUGUCGACAAAACUCCAAUACCUCCAAAUCCUUUUGCUUCUCAAUCUAGACAACCUAGGAGAAAUGGCGGAGCUAAAAUUACUAGACAACUAACUCAAGAGUUGGAUGUAAUUCAAGAGUUAGAUUGACUUACAAUUGUAAAAUAUGUGCCAGAAUCAGCUUUUGUCUGAUUUAUAAAUAGCUUUUGAACCAUAAUCAGCCUGCUUUCUCUCACUCCCACACAUAAAUUCGUACAUAUUGUGUAUAACUGUAGCUUAUAUAUAAAAUAUUUGAACAACAAUGUAUAUGUUGUUUGUAUGGAUUUCUUGCAGUUGCUAGUAAUCACUAAAACAGAAACAGAAAUACUGAGUGCAUUAUGCCUUUUGAGCUCAACUCCCUUGGAAUCACUUUGUGACUUCAUGCUCUGCAAAUAGUGCUUGAGAAUUUUCCAUCUAUAAAGUAUUCAAAUUAGAGUUAAAUUCUUCCUACAAAUAAUAAGAUAAGAUCUUUUUUCUUUUUAUAAAGAACGCGCACUUCUUUAUAGGGGAAAGUUCCUCUUCAGAUGCUAUAUUCUUCUUAGUAUGCAAGUUAGGAAACAUUUCCCUUAGAGGGGCCGUUGUUUAUUUUCUCAGUAUUUUAUUUUUCCCAGAUGCCAAAUAGAUGGAUGUGUUCUUUGUAAAAUCUAUUCGCCAAAGAAAUUGAGGAAUACAUUAAUUAAACUUUGAUAUAAAAAAAAAGAAAAUAAUUACAAUAUUUUUAUUAUAAACAAAACUGCCAAAGACUUCAGAAUCGCUUUUCUCCAUGAUAUCAUGAUCCGUGGCAGAAUCAGAACUGAAAUUUUCAUCAGAAGCGUCGUGUUCAUUCCUUGGAUAUCCCUCUGCUAACAUGUGAAGAAUCAUGGGAUGAGAGGGUUAUAAAUCAUACUCAUAAGAGAGAGAAAGCGAGCAUAUGAAUUAUAAUGAGGUAAAAGCUCAAAAGGUAACUAGCAACUCUAGUUACCUAACAAACGGUUAGUUAUUCAACUAACAACAAAACUAACUUUGAAUUAUAUCAACUAAUGUAAAAAGCGAUGCCUUAUGCUUUAACAUAGAAGGAACACACAUCACAUUAAAAGUGUUGUCUAAUGCAUAUUUUUGGAGUAAUUGGGUGUAGUUCUAAUCUAGCUUCAAGAUCAACGGACCAUUGGUAGAUCAAGACAAAUGUGUUUCUAUAUCUAGUUAUACCAUAUAUUAUUGAACAAAUGAGUUUUCACCAAAUUUCAAAAGCAUUCUUGAUACAUAAUAAUAUGUUACAACAACGAUACCCAUAGAUCCGAUACCAUAAUAUCUGUUACUAUCCCAUGAUAAUCAACCAAAGAAAAUACUCAUUUAUUCUAUUAACAAACAUUCACACACACACACACACACAUAAAAACUGCUACUUAUAUUAAUGCUUGGUACCAACAAUAUUAAAUGUACUUCAACCAAGAACCAAAAAGAGAUUAGGUUGGUCCCUUGGGAUCACUAACUGAUGUACCAUAGGAAGUCCAUGAGUUGCUACUACUAUUAUCUCCAACAUCCUCUACUGGUGGAUCUUGUGGACAAAAGUAAGGCUUAUUAGGAAUUUGCAAGUCCCCAUCUUCUUCUUCAAGCAUCUCCUAAAACUUUUUCCAUUGAAGGACGAUCCUCGGGAUUUGUUUGUAUACACCACAAAGCCACGAUCAUCAUUUUCUUUGCCAAUUUCAUUUCCUGAUCUGUGUUGUUACACCCUGUUUUUGGACCUAAAAAUACUGGGCCCAAUUUCAUUUCAAACCUUGUCAAUUAUUAAAUUUCAACUGCAUAGUUCAAAUUGUCUCUGCCUCGCAGUAUUUUCAAUCACAAUUUUACCUAUGUUUUUCUUGCAUAAAACCUUUCAAAAUGUCUUUACUUGUCUUGUAAGUCAUUCAAAAGUGUCUCUGAAUCAUUGCAUUGCUUUUUCUACAGUUUAUUUCAAAAUUUGCAAAAAGUCAUACAGAAGGGUAUUUUGGUCAUUUCCUGCAGUGGGACCCAUUUUCAUCCUUGUGGCUGUCUCUGAGUCUUUUCAAAUUGUUUUUCAGUAAACCUUGUUAAAAUUCAUUUCAAACUUGCGUCUGAGUCAGUGUCAAGUCUGUUUGAGUCAGUUUAGGUCAUUUUUAGCCCUAGGGGCAUUUUAGUCAUUUCACACGAAAUUUUGGCAUAGAGAGGUUACUUUGAAGUACCUCAUUUAGGUCAUUGGUUCGUUUUAGUCCGUUUUGUCAAUUUUAUUUUUGUUUCGCUUUACGUUUGAUCAAAUUGCGUUUUAUUCAAUUUCAUUUUUUUAUUGCAUUUUGGUCCAGUUUCUUUUCCAAUUUGCAUUUUAGUCCUUUUUUAUUUUCAUAUUAGUCCCUUAAUUUUUCAAUUUUGCAGAAAGGUCCCAAAUUAAUUCUAAGUCCAAAGCCGUGCCUUUUUUUUUACAAGUCCAGGUGUCCUUUUCUUAUUGGUUCCAAUGCACACAUGUCAGCUAUAAAAGCAUUGAGUCAGAAUCAGAAGCAAUGAUCACACGCCACUUCACCAAAAACAGAAUCAAACUUUCUCUUUCUUGUCAGUUAGAUCAAACCAAAAAAUCACAGAGAAAUCACCAAGAACACAAGAACCCUAAGAUUUCCAGAACAAAAUUCAUACACAAAUUCAUUGAUUUUCACAUCAAUCCUCAGAGAUUCGUGUGAAUCUUCAUCACCGGAUUGAAGAAUUCCCCUAUGUUAUACCCUGUUUUUGGACCUAAAAAUACUGGGCCCAAUUUCAUUUCAAACUUUGUCAAUUAUCAAAAUUCAACUGCACAGUUCAAAUUGUCUCUGCCUCGCAGUAUUUUCAAUCACAAUUUUACCUAUGUUUUUCUUGCAUAAAACCUUUCGAAAUGUCUUUACUUGUCUUGUAAGUCACUCAAAAGUGUCUCUGAAUCAUUAUAUUACUUUUUCCACAGUUUAUUCCAAAAUUUGCAAAAAGUCAUACAGAAGGGUAUUUUGGUCAUUUCCUGCAGUGGGACCCAUUUUCAUCCUUGUGACUGUCUCUGAGUCUUUUCAGAUUGUUUUUUCAUUCCAUCAGUAAACCGUGCUAAUUUCAUUUCAAACUUACAUCUGAGUCAGUGUCGAGUUGAUUUGAUUCUGUUUAGGUCGUUUUAGCCCUAGGGGCAUUUUGGUCAUUUCACACAAAAUUUUGGCAUGGGGAGGUUACUUUGAAGUACCUCAUUUAGGCCGUUGGUUCGUUUUAGUCCUUUUGUUGAUUUUAAUUUUAGUUUCACUUUACGUUUGGUCAAAUUACGUUUUUUAUUCAAAUUUUAUUUUAUUGCAUUUUGGUCCCUCAAUUGAGGUCCCAAAAUUGCAUUUUUGUCCAAACUGUUCUUUUAUUUCAUUUCAAGUUUUUUUUAAUUUUGCAGUUUAGUCCUUAAAAUUCUUAUUUUUUGCAAAAAGGUCCAAAUUUCUUUUUUCUUUCAAAACCGUGCCAUUUUUUUUCUCUCCAAGUCCAGAUGUCAGCUUCCUAUUGGUUCCAAUGCACACAUGGCAGCUUAUAAAAGGGAAACAGUGUCAGCUUUUUUUCAGGAGAUCCAUUCAUCACACGCCACUUCACCAAAAACAGAUCAAAACUUUCUCUCUCUUUUCUGUUAGAUCAAAACAGAAUCAACACAAAAAGCUUCAAAGAUUCAUCAAUGGCAGAAACCCUAACCACCUCAAUUCACCAUUGAUUUCCACCGAAUCAACACAAAAACACCAAAUUCAACAGAAUUCAACAAAGUUUCUUUGAUUACUCAUUGAUUCUCAGAGAUUCAAUACGGAAUCAUCAUCACAGAACCAAUUUCCUCGCAAUUCAAAGUGCGAGUUCAUCACUGAAACGCGACGAACUCAAGCACUGAUCACGAGGAAGCAGUGAAGAGAAAGAAAAAGGAAAGAAGCAGAAUCUGCAGAAUCUGGACCGGUGAAGCAGACGAAGAAUCACUGAUUUAUUUUCAGUGUCAAAGCCAAGAAUCAACAACACAGAAAGCACAGAAUCAAGUUUCCCGGAGAAACUCAACAGAAUAUCCAUCACAAACAUCAGGUAAAACUCAGAACCUUGUUUUCAAAAUAAAAUCAUAGUUAAACCUGAAAAAUCACGCAAGCAUAUCGAAAUUUUUCCAGAAUCACAAACCGUAACCGUAACCGUAAACACGUAAAUCUCGCUUUUCUCUUUUCAAAAAGCAUCAACGCAAGGGAAUCGUUACAGAUCAAGAAGGAUAAAAGAGGAUUUGAUCCAAGAAAGUUUCAAAGAAAAAAAGAGUUUCAAAACCGUGACAUAAAACCUCAGAUCUACAACGAUUCAGACCUUGCAUGCAAAAUCUAACGCCAUAUUCUUGUUUAGGACAAAAAAGGAUGUCUUAAUCUGUAAAAAAUUUUGAAAACGGUGGAGUUUCUCGCCUCCGGUGCGGCGGCGCCGCCCUGUUGGGCCGGCAAGCCACCACACCGGAGCAGUAAAGCUCACCGGAGAAGACAACCGGAGGAGAGGAGAGAGGUGAGAGCUUCUCUCACUAGGUUUAGGGUUAGAGAGAGAGAGGAGAAGGAAAAAUGGACUGGACCGGUCCUGUAAUCCUUUUAUAAGCAGCUGAACCGGACCGGUCCAGCUCUGGUUCGUUCCCUUUAAUCUAGACCGUUGGAUCUAGGGUUCCAUCUCCUGGAUCAAUCCAACGGUCCCUGCGCUUUCCUGUGUUUUGACUUUGGGCUUUGGGUUUGGGCCUAGGUUUCCAUACGUUUUUUGCUUUUUUUGCUACUUGCACCAUACUUGCCUACUGUUUGCACCCUCUGUUCAUGUUAAUUUUUAUCAAUAAAUUCCAAGAAAUUUACUAUAUCAUUUUACUAUUUUUCUUGAUAAUUUUCAGUGGUAUUUUACUUGGAAAAGUUGAUAAAAAUUUUAGUGUUGUUUUGUCAAGGGUUUUUACUAUUUUAAGUCAUUUCUCUCGCAUUUCUACCCGUUACUUCAUGUGCAUAAUGUUCGUGCUCGUCAUGUUUGAUUUGCAUACUAUUCCAUGUGAAUUUUGCUACUGUUUGCUAUGCAUAUGUCACUGUUUUGAUGUGUUGAGUUUUAUUCUUGCAUCAUGCGCAUUAUUCAUCACAUGUUUCCGGCUUAUUUUCAUCGUCACUUUACCGUCUUAUGCCAUACUUUCUUCUAUCGCUUUAUGCCAUAUUCUUUUUUUAUCAUUUUCUACUAACAUUUCCUUUCAUGUUGAUCACUUCAUAGCACUUCAUUAUCUUCACUAUUGUCUCCAUUAGUUUAGUUUUCUUUUUUUUACAAAUUGUAAUUCAUUCGGUAAUGUAAUAUUUUACCAUUGGUUUGUAGCUUGGCAAAGAGGCCAUAGAAUGUAUUUAGGUAAUUUUUGUAAUAUGGACUAUGGACACUAUGACGCACCGACACGCACACACUCACCUUAGAUGUAUGCAUAGGAUUGUAUGGUUAAAUAAGCGUUUAGGUUUUAAACACUUAGAGAAAAUCCAUUUUUUUUAAAAGAAAAAACAAUUGAACUUCACUUCAAAAAUUUUCAUAAUAAAUAUGAAGUCAACACUUCAUUUUUUCCUUUCUUUUUUCUUAAGAAAAAUUCAAUUCAUCUUAAUCAUUUAGACUUUCUUUUCAAUCACUAAUCAAACCUCACUUUUUGCUAAAUCUAAUGCCCUUGAGGCCUCUCAUCUCUAUUCUUCAAAAUCUCUUUUCAAACUUAAAAUCAACCAAUAAAAACAAAAACCAUCUUUGAGCAAGAACUACGCCGGUUUUGAUCCCGUAAAACGGUACGUAGGCAAUGAGUCAAAACUCAUCCAAGCCGAAAUAAAAAAUCAAAUUCUACUUCUUCUCACCCCCCAUUCUUAACUAAUCACACUUUCUUUUUUACGAAUAAGCAAUAAAACUAAAGCGUAGAAAUAAACUUAGGAGAGCGGCUCUUAUGGAGUACCAUAAUCGCUCCGGGUGCCUAACACCUUCCCGUAGCGAAAACGACCCCCGAAUCUAGAACUUUUUAAGGGUUUUUCUCCUUUUACCCUUCCCAAGAAAAAAGAGAGAUAUCAACGGUCGAAAGGUACAAGUCCAAUUAAUGGCUUGGCACCCAAAAACCAUGAUAACACCCUACAAUUCAAAGUGCGAGCUCACAUUGAAGCAAGCUCAAGCACUGAUCAUAGGGAUUUUUCACGCAGAUUCAAAAACGUUGAAGCAAGCUCAAGCACGUAAUCACAGAGAAGCAGAGAAAGAAUCAGAGAAGAUGAAGAUGAACCGGUAAACCGAUUUAUUUUCGGUCCAAAGCAAGCAAAAUCAUCAAAACCGUCAAGAACAUUCAAGUUUUUUCCAAAGAUUUUCCUCCAUUAAAAGUUUCAACCAAAACUUCAGGUAAAACUCAUUUUCUUCUCUUAGAAAGUAAUAUCACAGUUAAACCUGCAAAUAGAAAACAGAAAAGUUUCCAGAAUCACGAAACAAAGCCGUAACCGUAAACACAAAACCUAGAUCCAUAAGGAUCUAGGUUUUGAAAGCAAGAACAAGUAUCAGAAAAGCCAUCAAACGACGAAACGAUGUAGAUCUUUAAAGAUCUAAACGAUUUAGUUCAAAAAUCAAAAAUCAUUUCAAAACCGUAAAAGUUUUUUCCAAGAUCUACGUCGUUUCAAGCUGUGCAUGAGAAAAUAAUUGCUGGAUCCGUGUUUAGGGUUAAAGGACGAAUCGUUAGAUGUAAAAAUCAUAAGUUUCUGGAAAUUUUCACGGCGGAACCCUAGAUCUUCACCGGAGAAGAUGAAGUUUCCGGCGACCUAUGAAGGUUCCGGCCGGUCCUUCAUCCUCUCCGGCGUGCCAUGCCAGAAUCCGGUGAGUUGAGAGAAGAGAGAAGAGAGAGAAGCUCUGAGCUAGAGAGAGAAAGGAUUUGUAAAAUGAGAAAAACCGGUGCUAGCAUGUUUAUAUAGGCAACUGAACCGGACCGGUUCAAGACCGGUCCAAUCCCUUCAAUCCUGAGCGUUGGAUCUAGGGCUUCCCCCCCUGGAUCAAUCAAACGCUCCCUGUGCAUCCGGAUCCUUGUAGUUUUGGGCUUUGGUUUGGGCUUAGUUCUUUUUACGUUUUUUUGUUAUUUUCUUGCUAUUUGCACUGCCUUUCUUGCUAUCUGGACCUGUUACUUGCCUACUUUUUUUAUAAAAAUUCCUAAAAAAUCCUAGUUGUUUCUUAAUGUAUUUUUGGUAUUUCCAUGGUAUUUUUGCAUGUAAAAAAAAUGGUAAAGUGGCAUGAACUAAUUUCCAUGUGUUUUUACACUUUUGGUAUACUUUUUGCUAUGUUUUUGUUCUUGAUACUUUGAUAUGUGUUAUGAAUAAAUGAUACCCUAUCUUGUGAUGAAUAUGCCUCUGGACAUGUGUUUCUUUUUGCUGUUUUGAAUAUGAUUUUAUGGAUUUCUUGUUUUACAAGCAACAAGUGUUUGUUUUAAAGAAUAAAGUGUCAAAUUUCUCUAUGAAUUUGGUGUGAUACUUUGCUUGCAUGUGUCUCCAUUAAUUUCAUGUCAUGGCUUGAAACAAAAUCUCUUUCAAAGUUGCUAUGAUGUGAUGAUUAUGGGUUACAAGUACCUUUAAGUAUCAUAUCAAAUUUCUAGGUUUAUUACCACUUUAUAACUUUCUUUCGCUUUUCCUAUGCAAUUUCUUUUUGUUUAUUUCCUACUAUUUUGUGCUUUGUGAUUACUAACCAUUUCAUCUCAUGUGUCAUACAUUUCAUAGCAUUCCACCACCCUCUCCACUCUCCAUUUUCUUUAGCUUAGCAUUUAUUUUUUGCAAAUUUUAAUUCAUUUGGUGAUGUAAUUUGGUAUCAUUGGUUUGUAGCUUGGCAAAGGGGCCAUAGAAUGUACUUAGGCAAUUUUUGUAAUAUGGACUAUGGACACUAUGACGCACCGACACGCACACACCCACCUUAGAUGUAUGCAUAAGAUUGUAUGGUUAGAUGAAUGCUUAGGUUUAAACACUUAGAUAAAAAUCAACUUUUUUCCAAAACAUGCAAAUAACACUUGAAAACCUUUUUGAAAAUAAAAUGGAGUCAAAACUCCUUAUUUUCCCCUUUAUUUUCUUAAGUAAAAUUUUCAAUAAAUCUUAAUCCUCCAUAGACUUCAUUUUGAAAAAGACUAAUUCCACCUCACUUUUUCCAAAUCUUAUGCCCUUGAGGCCUCUCAUCUCUAUUCUUCAAAAUCUCUUUUCAAACUUAAAAUCAACCAACAAAAACAAAAAAUCCUUCUUUAGCAAGAACUACGCCGGUUUUGAUCCCGUAAAACGGUACGUAGGCAAUGAGUCAAAACUCAUCCAAGCCGAAAUAAAAUCAAAUUCUACUUCCUCUCACCCCCAUUCUUAACUAAUCACACUUUCCUUUUUUACAAAUAAGCAAUAAAACUAAAGCGUAGAAAUCAACUUAGGAGAGCGGCUCUUAUGGAGUACCAUAAUCGCUCCGGGUGCCUAACACCUUCCCGUAGCGAAAACGACCCCCGAAUCUAGAACUUCUUAAGGGUUUUUCUCCUUUUACCCUUCCCAAGAAAAAAGAGAGAUAUCAACGGUCGAAAGGUUCAAGUCCAAUUAAUGGCUUGGCACCCCAAAACCAUGAUAACAGAAAUGGCGACUUCACUGGGGACUUUUUUUAGCGGGUCACGCCUAGUUUUCCUUAGCUUAUUUACGCUUUGUUUUAUUGCUUACAUAUGGGAAUACUUGUUUAUUUUCAUUUGACGUGUGGGGUGAGAAUAUCAAAAGUCCUAACCCGGGCUGAGUGAACUUAUGUUUAGGUAGAGAUAUAAUCGACAAUUCGAUCCGGGGGUUGCCUCGUGUAUUGGAUUAUGCGAUCAAUCUCACAUAGCUGAGGCAUUUUGAAGGUGAUAUUGUCGGCGUGUGUUGUCAUGCUUAGGCACUUCACUUUCAAUUGUUCGACGAAGCUAUGAACCGUAGUUACCAAACCCAUCCUAGCCUUUUUAGGACGUAGUGCGGUGGCUAAAUUGAGUGUUGUCUCAAACUUUAGUCGUCACGCGAUACUACACUCAAACUAGACCUUCUCACAAAUAAUCAUGGAACGGGUGUCGUCCUGUACUACCAUGAUAUAUGUGAGAGAGGUUGCAGUUUGGGAACUGUGUUAGAACCUUGGUUACUACUAUCCAAAGCCUUAGUUCACCGGACGCCGUGUCCAUCCGUGGCCCCGUUACUUUGAAACUCAACCCACUUUGUUCUUUAAAAACACAAUCAUGCAUACAUGCAUUCAUGCAUAAACAUUUUUCAUGCAUUCAUCGAAGGGUUUAAACAAAUGGAAAUUUUUGUAAAUAAUCACAGGUAUGAAGAAGACAAAGUGCUACAAGUUCAAGGAAGUGGAUUUGGUUAGUUUGAGAGAGUUGGCACUCAAGGUCAAGAGUCAAACAGGGUUCCGACUCCGGUAUGGGGGAUUGCUUACUUUGCUUCGAACCGAUGUAGAUGAGAAGCUAUUGCACACUCUGGUGCAAUUUUAUGAUCCGAGCUUCCGUUGCUUCACUUUCCCGGACUUCCAGUUGGUUCCUACUCUCGAGGCUUACUCCAAUCUAGUGGGUUUACCUAUAGCCGAGAAGACGCCUUUCACCGGUCCCGGGGCUUCUCUUACUCCUCUGGUUAUUGCUAAGGAUCUCUACCUCAAGACUUCCGACGUCUCCAACCAUCUUAUUACCAAGUCUCACAUCCGGGGGUUCACUUCGAAGUAUCUUCUUGAUCAGGCCAAUCUCGGUACUACUCGUCAGGAUACACUCGAGGCUAUUCUUGCUUUGCUUAUUUACGGGCUCAUUCUCUUUCCGAACCUCGACAACUUCGUGGACAUGAAUGCUAUCGAGAUCUUCCAUUCCAAGAACCCGGUUCCUACUUUGCUAGCAGAUACCUACCACGCCAUUCAUGACAGGACUCUCAAGGGCCGUGGGUAUAUUCUUUGCUGCACAUCUCUUUUGUAUAGGUGGUUUAUUUCGCACCUUCCGAGUUCCUUCCAUGACAACUCGGAGAAUUGGUCCUACUCGCAGCGGAUUAUGGCCCUCACUCCUAAUGAGGUUGUCUGGCUCACUCCGGCCGCUCAAGUGAAGGAAAUCAUUAUGGGUUGUGGAGACUUUCUCAAUGUACCUCUUCUUGGUACCCGUGGGGGAAUCAACUACAAUCCCGAGCUUGCUAUGAGACAGUUUGGUUUCCCUAUGAAGUCGAAGCCCAUCAAUCUUGCUACAUCUCCAGAGUUCUUCUUCUACACGAAUGCUCCUACCGGACAAAGGAANNNNNNNNNNNNNNNNNNNNNNNNNNNNNNNNNNNNNNNNNNNNNNNNNNNNNNNNNNNNNNNNNNNNNNNNNNNNNNNNNNNNNNNNNNNNNNNNNNNNNNNNNNNNNNNNNNNNNNNNNNNNNNNNNNNNNNNNNNNNNNNNNNNNNNNNNNNNNNNNNNNNNNNNNNNNNNNNNNNNNNNNNNNNNNNNNNNNNNNNNNNNNNNNNNNNNNNNNNNNNNNNNNNNNNNNNNNNNNNNNNNNNNNNNNNNNNNNNNNNNNNNNNNNNNNNNNNNNNNNNNNNNNNNNNNNNNNNNNNNNNNNNNNNNNNNNNNNNNNNNNNNNNNNNNNNNNNNNNNNNNNNNNNNNNNNNNNNNNNNNNNNNNNNNNNNNNNNNNNNNNNNNNNNNNNNNNNNNNNNNNNNNNNNNNNNNNNNNNNNNNNNNNNNNNNNNNNNNNNNNNNNNNNNNNNNNNNNNNNNNNNNNNNNNNNNNNNNNNNNNNNNNNNNNNNNNNNNNNNNNNNNNNNNNNNNNNNNNNNNNNNNNNNNNNNNNNNNNNNNNNNNNNNNNNNNNNNNNNNNNNNNNNNNNNNNNNNNNNNNNNNNNNNNNNNNNNNNNNNNNNNNNNNNNNNNNNNNNNNNNNNNNNNNNNNNNNNNNNNNNNNNNNNNNNNNNNNNNNNNNNNNNNNNNNNNNNNNNNNNNNNNNNNNNNNNNNNNNNNNNNNNNNNNNNNNNNNNNNNNNNNNNNNNNNNNNNNNNNNNNNNNNNNNNNNNNNNNNNNNNNNNNNNNNNNNNNNNNNNNNNNNNNNNNNNNNNNNNNNNNNNNNNNNNNNNNNNNNNNNNNNNNNNNNNNNNNNNNNNNNNNNNNNNNNNNNNNNNNNNNNNNNNNNNNNNNNNNNNNNNNNNNNNNNNNNNNNNNNNNNNNNNNNNNNNNNNNNNNNNNNNNNNNNNNNNNNNNNNNNNNNNNNNNNNNNNNNNNNNNNNNNNNNNNNNNNNNNNNNNNNNNNNNNNNNNNNNNNNNNNNNNNNNNNNNNNNNNNNNNNNNNNNNNNNNNNNNNNNNNNNNNNNNNNNNNNNNNNNNNNNNNNNNNNNNNNNNNNNNNNNNNNNNNNNNNNNNNNNNNNNNNNNNNNNNNNNNNNNNNNNNNNNNNNNNNNNNNNNNNNNNNNNNNNNNNNNNNNNNNNNNNNNNNNNNNNNNNNNNNNNNNNNNNNNNNNNNNNNNNNNNNNNNNNNNNNNNNNNNNNNNNNNNNNNNNNNNNNNNNNNNNNNNNNNNNNNNNNNNNNNNNNNNNNNNNNNNNNNNNNNNNNNNNNNNNNNNNNNNNNNNNNNNNNNNNNNNNNNNNNNNNNNNNNNNNNNNNNNNNNNNNNNNNNNNNNNNNNNNNNNNNNNNNNNNNNNNNNNNNNNNNNNNNNNNNNNNNNNNNNNNNNNNNNNNNNNNNNNNNNNNNNNNNNNNNNNNNNNNNNNNNNNNNNNNNNNNNNNNNNNNNNNNNNNNNNNNNNNNNNNNNNNNNNNNNNNNNNNNNNNNNNNNNNNNNNNNNNNNNNNNNNNNNNNNNNNNNNNNNNNNNNNNNNNNNNNNNNNNNNNNNNNNNNNNNNNNNNNNNNNNNNNNNNNNNNNNNNNNNNNNNNNNNNNNNNNNNNNNNNNNNNNNNNNNNNNNNNNNNNNNNNNNNNNNNNNNNNNNNNNNNNNNNNNNNNNNNNNNNNNNNNNNNNNNNNNNNNNNNNNNNNNNNNNNNNNNNNNNNNNNNNNNNNNNNNNNNNNNNNNNNNNNNNNNNNNNNNNNNNNNNNNNNNNNNNNNNNNNNNNNNNNNNNNNNNNNNNNNNNNNNNNNNNNNNNNNNNNNNNNNNNNNNNNNNNNNNNNNNNNNNNNNNNNNNNNNNNNNNNNNNNNNNNNNNNNNNNNNNNNNNNNNNNNNNNNNNNNNNNNNNNNNNNNNNNNNNNNNNNNNNNNNNNNNNNNNNNNNNNNNNNNNNNNNNNNNNNNNNNNNNNNNNNNNNNNNNNNNNNNNNNNNNNNNNNNNNNNNNNNNNNNNNNNNNNNNNNNNNNNNNNNNNNNNNNNNNNNNNNNNNNNNNNNNNNNNNNNNNNNNNNNNNNNNNNNNNNNNNNNNNNNNNNNNNNNNNNNNNNNNNNNNNNNNNNNNNNNNNNNNNNNNNNNNNNNNNNNNNNNNNNNNNNNNNNNNNNNNNNNNNNNNNNNNNNNNNNNNNNNNNNNNNNNNNNNNNNNNNNNNNNNNNNNNNNNNNNNNNNNNNNNNNNNNNNNNNNNNNNNNNNNNNNNNNNNNNNNNNNNNNNNNNNNNNNNNNNNNNNNNNNNNNNNNNNNNNNNNNNNNNNNNNNNNNNNNNNNNNNNNNNNNNNNNNNNNNNNNNNNNNNNNNNNNNNNNNNNNNNNNNNNNNNNNNNNNNNNNNNNNNNNNNNNNNNNNNNNNNNNNNNNNNNNNNNNNNNNNNNNNNNNNNNNNNNNNNNNNNNNNNNNNNNNNNNNNNNNNNNNNNNNNNNNNNNNNNNNNNNNNNNNNNNNNNNNNNNNNNNNNNNNNNNNNNNNNNNNNNNNNNNNNNNNNNNNNNNNNNNNNNNNNNNNNNNNNNNNNNNNNNNNNNNNNNNNNNNNNNNNNNNNNNNNNNNNNNNNNNNNNNNNNNNNNNNNNNNNNNNNNNNNNNNNNNNNNNNNNNNNNNNNNNNNNNNNNNNNNNNNNNNNNNNNNNNNNNNNNNNNNNNNNNNNNNNNNNNNNNNNNNNNNNNNNNNNNNNNNNNNNNNNNNNNNNNNNNNNNNNNNNNNNNNNNNNNNNNNNNNNNNNNNNNNNNNNNNNNNNNNNNNNNNNNNNNNNNNNNNNNNNNNNNNNNNNNNNNNNNNNNNNNNNNNNNNNNNNNNNNNNNNNNNNNNNNNNNNNNNNNNNNNNNNNNNNNNNNNNNNNNNNNNNNNNNNNNNNNNNNNNNNNNNNNNNNNNNNNNNNNNNNNNNNNNNNNNNNNNNNNNNNNNNNNNNNNNNNNNNNNNNNNNNNNNNNNNNNNNNNNNNNNNNNNNNNNNNNNNNNNNNNNNNNNNNNNNNNNNNNNNNNNNNNNNNNNNNNNNNNNNNNNNNNNNNNNNNNNNNNNNNNNNNNNNNNNNNNNNNNNNNNNNNNNNNNNNNNNNNNNNNNNNNNNNNNNNNNNNNNNNNNNNNNNNNNNNNNNNNNNNNNNNNNNNNNNNNNNNNNNNNNNNNNNNNNNNNNNNNNNNNNNNNNNNNNNNNNNNNNNNNNNNNNNNNNNNNNNNNNNNNNNNNNNNNNNNNNNNNNNNNNNNNNNNNNNNNNNNNNNNNNNNNNNNNNNNNNNNNNNNNNNNNNNNNNNNNNNNNNNNNNNNNNNNNNNNNNNNNNNNNNNNNNNNNNNNNNNNNNNNNNNNNNNNNNNNNNNNNNNNNNNNNNNNNNNNNNNNNNNNNNNNNNNNNNNNNNNNNNNNNNNNNNNNNNNNNNNNNNNNNNNNNNNNNNNNNNNNNNNNNNNNNNNNNNNNNNNNNNNNNNNNNNNNNNNNNNNNNNNNNNNNNNNNNNNNNNNNNNNNNNNNNNNNNNNNNNNNNNNNNNNNNNNNNNNNNNNNNNNNNNNNNNNNNNNNNNNNNNNNNNNNNNNNNNNNNNNNNNNNNNNNNNNNNNNNNNNNNNNNNNNNNNNNNNNNNNNNNNNNNNNNNNNNNNNNNNNNNNNNNNNNNNNNNNNNNNNNNNNNNNNNNNNNNNNNNNNNNNNNNNNNNNNNNNNNNNNNNNNNNNNNNNNNNNNNNNNNNNNNNNNNNNNNNNNNNNNNNNNNNNNNNNNNNNNNNNNNNNNNNNNNNNNNNNNNNNNNNNNNNNNNNNNNNNNNNNNNNNNNNNNNNNNNNNNNNNNNNNNNNNNNNNNNNNNNNNNNNNNNNNNNNNNNNNNNNNNNNNNNNNNNNNNNNNNNNNNNNNNNNNNNNNNNNNNNNNNNNNNNNNNNNNNNNNNNNNNNNNNNNNNNNNNNNNNNNNNNNNNNNNNNNNNNNNNNNNNNNNNNNNNNNNNNNNNNNNNNNNNNNNNNNNNNNNNNNNNNNNNNNNNNNNNNNNNNNNNNNNNNNNNNNNNNNNNNNNNNNNNNNNNNNNNNNNNNNNNNNNNNNNNNNNNNNNNNNNNNNNNNNNNNNNNNNNNNNNNNNNNNNNNNNNNNNNNNNNNNNNNNNNNNNNNNNNNNNNNNNNNNNNNNNNNNNNNNNNNNNNNNNNNNNNNNNNNNNNNNNNNNNNNNNNNNNNNNNNNNNNNNNNNNNNNNNNNNNNNNNNNNNNNNNNNNNNNNNNNNNNNNNNNNNNNNNNNNNNNNNNNNNNNNNNNNNNNNNNNNNNNNNNNNNNNNNNNNNNNNNNNNNNNNNNNNNNNNNNNNNNNNNNNNNNNNNNNNNNNNNNNNNNNNNNNNNNNNNNNNNNNNNNNNNNNNNNNNNNNNNNNNNNNNNNNNNNNNNNNNNNNNNNNNNNNNNNNNNNNNNNNNNNNNNNNNNNNNNNNNNNNNNNNNNNNNNNNNNNNNNNNNNNNNNNNNNNNNNNNNNNNNNNNNNNNNNNNNNNNNNNNNNNNNNNNNNNNNNNNNNNNNNNNNNNNNNNNNNNNNNNNNNNNNNNNNNNNNNNNNNNNNNNNNNNNNNNNNNNNNNNNNNNNNNNNNNNNNNNNNNNNNNNNNNNNNNNNNNNNNNNNNNNNNNNNNNNNNNNNNNNNNNNNNNNNNNNNNNNNNNNNNNNNNNNNNNNNNNNNNNNNNNNNNNNNNNNNNNNNNNNNNNNNNNNNNNNNNNNNNNNNNNNNNNNNNNNNNNNNNNNNNNNNNNNNNNNNNNNNNNNNNNNNNNNNNNNNNNNNNNNNNNNNNNNNNNNNNNNNNNNNNNNNNNNNNNNNNNNNNNNNNNNNNNNNNNNNNNNNNNNNNNNNNNNNNNNNNNNNNNNNNNNNNNNNNNNNNNNNNNNNNNNNNNNNNNNNNNNNNNNNNNNNNNNNNNNNNNNNNNNNNNNNNNNNNNNNNNNNNNNNNNNNNNNNNNNNNNNNNNNNNNNNNNNNNNNNNNNNNNNNNNNNNNNNNNNNNNNNNNUUGACGGAUCUCGAAAGAAUGUGCUGGGGGAGAUAGACUUGCCGAUAACCAUUGGCCCUGAGAAUUUCUCGGUUACCUUCCAAGUGAUGGACAUUAAUGCAUCCUACAGUUGCCUGCUGGGAAGACCGUGGAUACACGAUGCAGGUGCGGUUACUUCCACCUUACAUCAGAAGUUGAAAUUUGUGAAGAAUGGAAAACUCGUUACAAUCCAUGGUGAAGAAGCGUACUUAGUCAGCCAGUUGUCUUCUUUUUCUUGUAUUGAAGCAGGGUCUGCUGAAGGGACUGCUUUCCAGGGUUUGACCAUUGAAGGUGCAGAGUCUAAGGAAGCUGGGGCUGCUAUGGCUUCAUUGAAGGAUGCUCGGAGAGCCAUCCAAGAAGGUCAGACUGCCGGCUGGGGCAAGGUGAUACAGCUCUGUGAGAACAAGCGUAAAGAAGGUCUCGGGUUCUCCCCGUCAUCAAGGGUUUCCUCGGGAGUCUUCCACAGUGCAGGGUUUGUUAAUGCUAUCUCUGAAGAAGCCACUGGAUCUGGUCUCAGGCCUGCAUUUGUUACACCAGGAGGCAUUACGACAAAUUGGGAUGCCAUUGACGUUCCUUCAAUCAUGCAUGUUUCUGAGUAAUGUGUCUUGUUGCUUUAAUGCUUUGUUUUCAAAAUAACAAUCCUCUCGCUCUGCCCAAAGCGAGAGUGAUAUUUUCUGUAAGGGCAUGUUUGUUUCGGCAUUGCCGUUGAUUAAUAAAAUUUUGUCGUUUCUUCCACGACUACUUUUUUUUUAGUGCUUUUUCCCUUGGAAACAAUGGUAAUGCCAGAAAAAAACCAAAACGUCUGUAUUUUCUUAUUAAUUUCAAAAAUCUGCAUGAAAAAAAAAACUCUUUCUAAAAUCAUCCAAUCAUUAUAUGCAGGUUGAACCAUAAUAAACCCGUUGAACACAGUAAUCCUACGGUUCCUCCAAAUUUUGAUUUCCCUGUGUAUGAAGCCGAAGAUGAGGAAGGUGAUGAUAUACCAUAUGAGAUUACUCGGUUACUUGAGCAAGAAAAGAAAGCCAUUCAGCCUCACCAGGAAGAGAUUGAGCUUAUCAACAUAGGUACCGAGGAAAACAAGCGAGAAAUCAAGAUUGGUGCUACUCUAGAGGAAGGGGUUAAACAGAAGAUCAUCCAACUCCUCCGGGAAUAUCCGGAUAUUUUUGCAUGGUCCUAUGAAGAUAUGCCAGGUUUAGACCCUAUGAUCGUGGAGCAUCGGAUCCCUACCAAGCCUGAAUGUCCUCCCGUCAGGCAGAAAUUGAGAAGGACUCAUCCUGAUAUGGCUCUCAAGAUCAAGAAUGAAGUUCAAAAGCAGAUUGACGCGGGUUUCCUCAUGACAGUUGAGUAUCCCGAAUGGGUUGCCAAUAUUGUGCCCGUGCCAAAGAAGGAUGGUAAAGUCCGGAUGUGUGUUGACUUCAGAGACCUGAACAAAGCCAGCCCAAAAGACAACUUUCCAUUACCUCAUAUUGAUGUGCUUGUUGAUAAUACUGCUCAAUCUAAGGUGUUCUCCUUCAUGGACGGUUUUUCUGGUUAUAAUCAGAUCAAAAUGUCUCCUGAAGAUAGAGAAAAGACAUCUUUUAUCACUCCAUGGGGUACUUUCUGCUACAAAGUGAUGCCAUUCGGUCUAAUUAAUGCUGGUGCUACCUAUCAAAGGGGAAUGACUACUCUGUUUCAUGACAUGAUUCACAAAGAAGUUGAGGUAUAUGUGGAUGACAUGAUUGUGAAGUCAGCAGAUGAGGAGCAGCAUGUUGAAUAUUUAACAAAGAUGUUCGAAAGGUUGAGAAAAUACAAGCUGCGAUUGAAUCCCAACAAAUGUACAUUCGGUGUCAGGUCCGGAAAGUUAUUAGGCUUCAUUGUCAGCCAAAAGGGCAUUGAAGUCGACCUUGAUAAAGUCCGGGCCAUCCGAGAAAUGCCAGCUCCACAGACAGAGAAGCAAGUCAGAGGUUUCUUGGGACGUUUGAAUUACAUCUCCCGAUUCAUAUCUCAUAUGACUGCAACCUGCGGGCCGAUCUUCAAGCUACUUAGAAAGAACCAGCCUGUUGUAUGGAAUGAUGAAUGCCAAGAAGCUUUUGAUAGCAUCAAGAAUUACCUGCUGGAACCACCUAUCCUUGUCCCACCCGUGGAAGGAAGGCCUUUGAUUAUGUAUUUGGCAGUGUUUGAUGAAUCCAUGGGAUGCGUGCUUGGUCAACAAGAUGAAACUGGAAAGAAAGAGCAUGCUAUCUACUAUCUAAGCAAGAAGUUCACCGAUUGUGAAACUCGGUAUACAAUGCUUGAGAAGACUUGUUGUGCUUUAGCUUGGGCUGCCAAACGCCUGCGUCAUUAUUUGGUGAAUCAUACAACUUGGUUGAUAUCCAGAAUGGAUCCGAUCAAGUAUAUCUUUGAGAAAGCUGCUGUUACUGGAAAGAUUGCACGCUGGCAGAUGCUUUUGUCUGAAUAUGAUAUUGUGUUCAAAACUCAAAAGGCAAUCAAAGGUAGCAUUCUUGCAGAUCAUCUUGCUUAUCAACCUCUUGAUGACUAUCAACCAAUUGAAUUCGACUUCCCUGAUGAAGAGAUCAUGUAUUUGAAAUCCAAAGACUGCGACGAACCGUUGAUUAAUGAAGGUCCAGAUCCCAAUAGCAAGUGGGGUUUAGUCUUUGAUGGUGCUGUCAAUGCUUAUGGCAAAGGAAUUGGGGCAGUCAUUGUAUCCCCGCAAGGGCAUCACAUUCCCUUUACCGCCCGAAUUCUGUUCGAAUGUACCAACAAUAUGGCUGAGUAUGAAGCAUGUAUCUUUGGGAUCGAGGAAGCAAUUGACAUGAGAAUCAAGCACCUCGACAUCUAUGGAGAUUCUGCGCUCGUCAUCAAUCAGAUAAAGGGUGAAUGGGAGACACACCAUGCUAAUUUGAUUCCUUAUCGUGAUUAUGCGAGACGUUUGCUGACAUAUUUUACAAAGGUUGAGCUGCACCAUAUUCCUCGUGAUGAGAACCAAAUGGCUGAUGCUCUUGCUACUCUAUCCUCCAUGUUUCGAGUAAACCAUUGGAAUGAUGUGCCAAUAAUUAAAGUGCAACGCCUUGAAAGACCUUCGCAUGUGUUUGCUAUUGGGGAUGUGAUCGAUCAGGCUGGUGAAAAUGUGGUUGGCUAUAGACCCUGGUACUACGACAUCAAACAGUUCUUGCUAAGCCGUGAGUAUCCGCCGGGUGCUUCCAAACAAGACAAGAAGACCUUGAGAAGAUUGGCCAGUAGAUUCCUGUUAGAUGGAGAUAUUCUGUACAAGAGAAACUAUGACAUGGUAUUGUUAAGAUGUGUUGAUGAACAUGAAGCAGAGCAGUUAAUGCAUGAUGUACAUGACGGUACCUUCGGGACCCAUGCUACAGGGCAUACUAUGUCAAGGAAGUUGUUACGAGCAGGUUACUACUGGAUGGCCAUGGAGCAUGAUUGCUACCAGUACGCCAGAAAAUGCCACAAAUGUCAAAUCUAUGCUGAUAAGAUUCAUGUGCCUCCGCACGCUCUCAGUGUUAUGUCAUCCCCAUGGCCUUUCUCAAUGUGGGGCAUCGACAUGAUUGGAAGAAUUGAACCGAAAGCUUCAAAUGGUCAUCGUUUCAUCUUAGUGGCAAUUGACUACUUUACCAAAUGGGUUGAAGCAGCAUCUUAUACCAAUGUGACCAAGCAAGUGGUAGCUAAGUUCAUCAAGAAUAACAUCAUCUGUCGAUAUGGUGUUCCCAGCAAGAUUAUUACCGACAAUGGUACCAACCUGAACAACAAUGUGGUGCAAGCUCUUUGUGAAGAAUUCAAAAUUGAGCAUCAUAACUCUUCUCCUUAUAGACCUCAGAUGAAUGGUGCAGUUGAGGCCGCCAACAAGAAUAUCAAGAGAAUUGUCCAGAAGAUGGUAACCACUUACAAGGACUGGCACGAGAUGUUACCCUAUGCUCUGCAUGGUUACCGUACUACAGUGCGCAGUUCAACCGGGGCAACCCCUUUCUCUCUUGUAUAUGGUAUGGAAGCAGUUCUUCCUUUGGAAGUGGAGAUCCCAUCCCUCCGUGUGAUCAUGGAAGCAAAGUUAUCUGAGGCUGAAUGGUGCCAAAGCCGGUAUGAUCAGUUGAAUUUGAUUGAGGAAAAACGUAUGGAUGCCAUGGCUCGCGGACAGUCAUAUCAAGCAAGAAUGAAGACUGCCUUUGAUAAGAAAGUUCAUCCUCGAGAAUUCAAGGUAGGGGAACUUGUAUUGAAAAGGAGGAUAAGCCAGCAACCCGACCCAAGGGGCAAGUGGACGCCUAACUAUGAAGGUCCUUAUGUUGUCAAGAAGGCCUUCUCCGGUGGUGCUUUAAUCCUUACACACAUGGAUGGUGUAGUACUUCCAAAUCCAGUGAACGCUGAUAUAGUCAAGAAAUACUUUGCCUAGAAAUAUGAAAAGAACAGCGUGGUAGGUCGAAAACCCGAAAGGGCGGCCUAGGCAAAAAUGCGCUUCCCGGUGGAUCGAAAACCCGAAAGGGCGGUCCAGGCAAAAAUAAGGGACAAAAAAAAAAAAAAAAAAAAAACAAAUAUGAAAAGCUCGCUGAGAUUGUAAACAACUCAGGCAAGAAUGAGCGUCUCGAUGAGCCGAAAACCCGGAAGGGCGGUUCAUGCAAAAAUGAGAUUGAAACAAAAGGCAAGUAACUAUAUCUGGCUAACCACCGUCCCCCUUGGGGCAUCUGCAGCUGUUAAUGACUAUCUUCAUCAAAAGCUCCUACACUUGCGGAUUCAAAGUUUCCAGGAAAUGUAAUGAUUGCUGUGUUCAAUGUACCACCAACCAAUAAAAUUACCAUUUUCCAAGCUUUGUGAAUCUGUGGAGUCAUGCCUUUGGCUGACCACCACUCUUAUACAUCAAUUUGAGCCUUUGCUUUUGUUUGAAAACUCUAUUUUUUCUUCUACUUUCAAAGCUAUAUACAAAACAUUUUCUUUUUAUUUUGAUAAUGACAAUGCUUGAAACAAACAUUUUGAAAAUUGAAAACUUUUUGUCUAUUUUGAAAAGUAAACCUGAGCAACAGGGUACAUUCAAACGAAACAUGCAUAAGCGAGAGUAUGUCGAUGUCUAUUUCAAUAUAUGUUACAAGCAGGUUCUCCUCCAAGAUAAUCUGUGGUCAAUGGCAAGAAUGAAAAAACAGAAUGAAAAUGCAUGAAAAUGAAUGAGCUCGCUAAGUUGAAAACCCGAAAGGGCGACUUAGGCAAAAAUGAGCACCCCGCUGGAUUGACAACCCGAAAGGGCAGUUCAGGCAAAAAUGGGGCAUUGAAAAGAAUUUAUUACCCCGGUGGAUCGAAAACCCGAAAGGGCGAUCCAGGCAAAAAUGGGAUGCAAAAAAUGAUGAAUGAAAAUUGAGAAAAUAACAUGCAAAAAGCAUUGACCACAGAUGCGAUGUUUACAACUUACCCAGUACUGAAAUGCCCAGCACAACGGCGUUUUCCCCAGUGGAGCCUCUCAAGAUUCUAUCUCCAGCAAGUUGUUUAGCUACCUGCCCUCAGCCGUGGUUCCGACACGUCUCCCAACGACGUCAUCUCCAAAGAGGAUUUCCAAGAAUGUGUAAUAUAGCACGAGCCACUACGUGCCCAAUACUCUAAUGUCUUGUCUUCCCCGUAAAGUCGUGCCUACAAACUGCCAACAGUCAUGCAUUACAAGCAUUCAUACAUGCAUAAUCAUGCAUAUUACGUACCCAUGCAUAUUAAUGAAUCUGUUAUAUCAUCCAUGCAUAUCGCAUUUCCAAUAUCAAUAUCAGUCUCAAUUCAAAACUCAUGACAGGUUCUUUGUCAAAACCUUGUGAGCCAAUAAUAUCGGUCAACUUCUACCUUUCAAAUCAAAUCGACGUCAAGUCAAUCUCAAUCUACAUUUUGCCAACAAACCAAUCCCCAGUGAAUAUGUUUCUGUCUGGUCAAGUGGCUAGUUCAAGUCCAAGAACAGCUUGUACCUAUCAAUUUGCUUAUGUUAUCGGUCGAGUGCCCAGCUCAAUCCAAGAGCAGCUUGUACCUGUCAAUAUGUUUCCGUUUGGUCAAGUGCCCAGCUCAAUCCAAGAGCAGCUUGUACCUAUCUAUCUGUUUGUCUCCGGUGGAGUAACCAGUUCGCAUCCAAGAACAAGCUCGCACCUGUCUAUUUGCCUUGCUUUCAGUCGAGUAACCAGUUCGAAUCCAUAAGAACAACUCGUACUUGCCAAUUUUCUCUUUUUCCCAGUCGAGUCACCAGUUCGAAUCCAUAAGAACAACUCGCACUUUCCAAUAUCCCCAAGUGAGUUACCAGUUCGAAUCCAUAAGAACAACUCAUGUUUGUCCAGUAACCUCUAUCCCCUGUGAAGUGACCAGUUCGAAUCCAUAAGAACAACUCGCAGUUAUCUGUUUGUUUCAUCCCCGGUCAAGUGGCUAGUUUGAAUCCAAGAACAGCUUGUACCUGUCCAACUUGUUUCUAGUUUCCCGUUACUCUGCUAUUCACUACCUUUGUCAAUGUCUACCAAUCCCGCAAUGGAUACGACAUAUUUUGUUAAUUCCAAUCCCCAUGAGGUCUUGCAUUCAUAAUCCAAAUGAUGCAUGGCAUGCAUAUUAUUUGAAAAUGGGUAGGCGUAUUUUUACGUCCAAACACAGUGCAAAUGCUAAUAUUUAAGUAUCUUCGUCCUGUCAAGCCAAAGACUCCGUCUCUUGACUCUCCAGACAAAGAAACUUAAAUAGGGGCAGCUGUUAUACCCUGUUUUUGGACCUAAAAAUACUGGGCCCAAUUUCAUUUCAAACUUUGUCAAUUAUCAAAAUUCAACUGCACAGUUCAAAUUGUCUCUGCCUCGCAGUAUUUUCAAUCACAAUUUUACCUAUGUUUUUCUUGCAUAAAACCUUUCGAAAUGUCUUUACUUGUCUUGUAAGUCACUCAAAAGUGUCUCUGAAUCAUUAUAUUACUUUUUCCACAGUUUAUUCCAAAAUUUGCAAAAAGUCAUACAGAAGGGUAUUUUGGUCAUUUCCUGCAGUGGGACCCAUUUUCAUCCUUGUGACUGUCUCUGAGUCUUUUCAGAUUGUUUUUUCAUUCCAUCAGUAAACCGUGCUAAUUUCAUUUCAAACUUACAUCUGAGUCAGUGUCGAGUUGAUUUGAUUCUGUUUAGGUCGUUUUAGCCCUAGGGGCAUUUUGGUCAUUUCACACAAAAUUUUGGCAUGGGGAGGUUACUUUGAAGUACCUCAUUUAGGCCGUUGGUUCGUUUUAGUCCUUUUGUUGAUUUUAAUUUUAGUUUCACUUUACGUUUGGUCAAAUUACGUUUUUUAUUCAAAUUUUAUUUUAUUGCAUUUUGGUCCCUCAAUUGAGGUCCCAAAAUUGCAUUUUUGUCCAAACUGUUCUUUUAUUUCAUUUCAAGUUUUUUUUAAUUUUGCAGUUUAGUCCUUAAAAUUCUUAUUUUUUGCAAAAAGGUCCAAAUUUCUUUUUUCUUUCAAAACCGUGCCAUUUUUUUUCUCUCCAAGUCCAGAUGUCAGCUUCCUAUUGGUUCCAAUGCACACAUGGCAGCUUAUAAAAGGGAAACAGUGUCAGCUUUUUUUCAGGAGAUCCAUUCAUCACACGCCACUUCACCAAAAACAGAUCAAAACUUUCUCUCUCUUUUCUGUUAGAUCAAAACAGAAUCAACACAAAAAGCUUCAAAGAUUCAUCAAUGGCAGAAACCCUAACCACCUCAAUUCACCAUUGAUUUCCACCGAAUCAACACAAAAACACCAAAUUCAACAGAAUUCAACAAAGUUUCUUUGAUUACUCAUUGAUUCUCAGAGAUUCAAUACGGAAUCAUCAUCACAGAACCAAUUUCCUCGCAAUUCAAAGUGCGAGUUCAUCACUGAAACGCGACGAACUCAAGCACUGAUCACGAGGAAGCAGUGAAGAGAAAGAAAAAGGAAAGAAGCAGAAUCUGCAGAAUCUGGACCGGUGAAGCAGACGAAGAAUCACUGAUUUAUUUUCAGUGUCAAAGCCAAGAAUCAACAACACAGAAAGCACAGAAUCAAGUUUCCCGGAGAAACUCAACAGAAUAUCCAUCACAAACAUCAGGUAAAACUCAGAACCUUGUUUUCAAAAUAAAAUCAUAGUUAAACCUGAAAAAUCACGCAAGCAUAUCGAAAUUUUUCCAGAAUCACAAACCGUAACCGUAACCGUAAACACGUAAAUCUCGCUUUUCUCUUUUCAAAAAGCAUCAACGCAAGGGAAUCGUUACAGAUCAAGAAGGAUAAAAGAGGAUUUGAUCCAAGAAAGUUUCAAAGAAAAAAAGAGUUUCAAAACCGUGACAUAAAACCUCAGAUCUACAACGAUUCAGACCUUGCAUGCAAAAUCUAACGCCAUAUUCUUGUUUAGGACAAAAAAGGAUGUCUUAAUCUGUAAAAAAUUUUGAAAACGGUGGAGUUUCUCGCCUCCGGUGCGGCGGCGCCGCCCUGUUGGGCCGGCAAGCCACCACACCGGAGCAGUAAAGCUCACCGGAGAAGACAACCGGAGGAGAGGAGAGAGGUGAGAGCUUCUCUCACUAGGUUUAGGGUUAGAGAGAGAGAGGAGAAGGAAAAAUGGACUGGACCGGUCCUGUAAUCCUUUUAUAAGCAGCUGAACCGGACCGGUCCAGCUCUGGUUCGUUCCCUUUAAUCUAGACCGUUGGAUCUAGGGUUCCAUCUCCUGGAUCAAUCCAACGGUCCCUGCGCUUUCCUGUGUUUUGACUUUGGGCUUUGGGUUUGGGCCUAGGUUUCCAUACGUUUUUUGCUUUUUUUGCUACUUGCACCAUACUUGCCUACUGUUUGCACCCUCUGUUCAUGUUAAUUUUUAUCAAUAAAUUCCAAGAAAUUUACUAUAUCAUUUUACUAUUUUUCUUGAUAAUUUUCAGUGGUAUUUUACUUGGAAAAGUUGAUAAAAAUUUUAGUGUUGUUUUGUCAAGGGUUUUUACUAUUUUAAGUCAUUUCUCUCGCAUUUCUACCCGUUACUUCAUGUGCAUAAUGUUCGUGCUCGUCAUGUUUGAUUUGCAUACUAUUCCAUGUGAAUUUUGCUACUGUUUGCUAUGCAUAUGUCACUGUUUUGAUGUGUUGAGUUUUAUUCUUGCAUCAUGCGCAUUAUUCAUCACAUGUUUCCGGCUUAUUUUCAUCGUCACUUUACCGUCUUAUGCCAUACUUUCUUCUAUCGCUUUAUGCCAUAUUCUUUUUUUAUCAUUUUCUACUAACAUUUCCUUUCAUGUUGAUCACUUCAUAGCACUUCAUUAUCUUCACUAUUGUCUCCAUUAGUUUAGUUUUCUUUUUUUUACAAAUUGUAAUUCAUUCGGUAAUGUAAUAUUUUACCAUUGGUUUGUAGCUUGGCAAAGAGGCCAUAGAAUGUAUUUAGGUAAUUUUUGUAAUAUGGACUAUGGACACUAUGACGCACCGACACGCACACACUCACCUUAGAUGUAUGCAUAGGAUUGUAUGGUUAAAUAAGCGUUUAGGUUUUAAACACUUAGAGAAAAUCCAUUUUUUUUAAAAGAAAAAACAAUUGAACUUCACUUCAAAAAUUUUCAUAAUAAAUAUGAAGUCAACACUUCAUUUUUUCCUUUCUUUUUUCUUAAGAAAAAUUCAAUUCAUCUUAAUCAUUUAGACUUUCUUUUCAAUCACUAAUCAAACCUCACUUUUUGCUAAAUCUAAUGCCCUUGAGGCCUCUCAUCUCUAUUCUUCAAAAUCUCUUUUCAAACUUAAAAUCAACCAAUAAAAACAAAAACCAUCUUUGAGCAAGAACUACGCCGGUUUUGAUCCCGUAAAACGGUACGUAGGCAAUGAGUCAAAACUCAUCCAAGCCGAAAUAAAAAAUCAAAUUCUACUUCUUCUCACCCCCCAUUCUUAACUAAUCACACUUUCUUUUUUACGAAUAAGCAAUAAAACUAAAGCGUAGAAAUAAACUUAGGAGAGCGGCUCUUAUGGAGUACCAUAAUCGCUCCGGGUGCCUAACACCUUCCCGUAGCGAAAACGACCCCCGAAUCUAGAACUUUUUAAGGGUUUUUCUCCUUUUACCCUUCCCAAGAAAAAAGAGAGAUAUCAACGGUCGAAAGGUACAAGUCCAAUUAAUGGCUUGGCACCCAAAAACCAUGAUAACACCCUACAAUUCAAAGUGCGAGCUCACAUUGAAGCAAGCUCAAGCACUGAUCAUAGGGAUUUUUCACGCAGAUUCAAAAACGUUGAAGCAAGCUCAAGCACGUAAUCACAGAGAAGCAGAGAAAGAAUCAGAGAAGAUGAAGAUGAACCGGUAAACCGAUUUAUUUUCGGUCCAAAGCAAGCAAAAUCAUCAAAACCGUCAAGAACAUUCAAGUUUUUUCCAAAGAUUUUCCUCCAUUAAAAGUUUCAACCAAAACUUCAGGUAAAACUCAUUUUCUUCUCUUAGAAAGUAAUAUCACAGUUAAACCUGCAAAUAGAAAACAGAAAAGUUUCCAGAAUCACGAAACAAAGCCGUAACCGUAAACACAAAACCUAGAUCCAUAAGGAUCUAGGUUUUGAAAGCAAGAACAAGUAUCAGAAAAGCCAUCAAACGACGAAACGAUGUAGAUCUUUAAAGAUCUAAACGAUUUAGUUCAAAAAUCAAAAAUCAUUUCAAAACCGUAAAAGUUUUUUCCAAGAUCUACGUCGUUUCAAGCUGUGCAUGAGAAAAUAAUUGCUGGAUCCGUGUUUAGGGUUAAAGGACGAAUCGUUAGAUGUAAAAAUCAUAAGUUUCUGGAAAUUUUCACGGCGGAACCCUAGAUCUUCACCGGAGAAGAUGAAGUUUCCGGCGACCUAUGAAGGUUCCGGCCGGUCCUUCAUCCUCUCCGGCGUGCCAUGCCAGAAUCCGGUGAGUUGAGAGAAGAGAGAAGAGAGAGAAGCUCUGAGCUAGAGAGAGAAAGGAUUUGUAAAAUGAGAAAAACCGGUGCUAGCAUGUUUAUAUAGGCAACUGAACCGGACCGGUUCAAGACCGGUCCAAUCCCUUCAAUCCUGAGCGUUGGAUCUAGGGCUUCCCCCCCUGGAUCAAUCAAACGCUCCCUGUGCAUCCGGAUCCUUGUAGUUUUGGGCUUUGGUUUGGGCUUAGUUCUUUUUACGUUUUUUUGUUAUUUUCUUGCUAUUUGCACUGCCUUUCUUGCUAUCUGGACCUGUUACUUGCCUACUUUUUUUUAUAAAAAUUCCUAAAAAAUCCUAGUUGUUUCUUAAUGUAUUUUUGGUAUUUCCAUGGUAUUUUUGCAUGUAAAAAAAAUGGUAAAGUGGCAUGAACUAAUUUCCAUGUGUUUUUACACUUUUGGUAUACUUUUUGCUAUGUUUUUGUUCUUGAUACUUUGAUAUGUGUUAUGAAUAAAUGAUACCCUAUCUUGUGAUGAAUAUGCCUCUGGACAUGUGUUUCUUUUUGCUGUUUUGAAUAUGAUUUUAUGGAUUUCUUGUUUUACAAGCAACAAGUGUUUGUUUUAAAGAAUAAAGUGUCAAAUUUCUCUAUGAAUUUGGUGUGAUACUUUGCUUGCAUGUGUCUCCAUUAAUUUCAUGUCAUGGCUUGAAACAAAAUCUCUUUCAAAGUUGCUAUGAUGUGAUGAUUAUGGGUUACAAGUACCUUUAAGUAUCAUAUCAAAUUUCUAGGUUUAUUACCACUUUAUAACUUUCUUUCGCUUUUCCUAUGCAAUUUCUUUUUGUUUAUUUCCUACUAUUUUGUGCUUUGUGAUUACUAACCAUUUCAUCUCAUGUGUCAUACAUUUCAUAGCAUUCCACCACCCUCUCCACUCUCCAUUUUCUUUAGCUUAGCAUUUAUUUUUUGCAAAUUUUAAUUCAUUUGGUGAUGUAAUUUGGUAUCAUUGGUUUGUAGCUUGGCAAAGGGGCCAUAGAAUGUACUUAGGCAAUUUUUGUAAUAUGGACUAUGGACACUAUGACGCACCGACACGCACACACCCACCUUAGAUGUAUGCAUAAGAUUGUAUGGUUAGAUGAAUGCUUAGGUUUAAACACUUAGAUAAAAAUCAACUUUUUUCCAAAACAUGCAAAUAACACUUGAAAACCUUUUUGAAAAUAAAAUGGAGUCAAAACUCCUUAUUUUCCCCUUUAUUUUCUUAAGUAAAAUUUUCAAUAAAUCUUAAUCCUCCAUAGACUUCAUUUUGAAAAAGACUAAUUCCACCUCACUUUUUCCAAAUCUUAUGCCCUUGAGGCCUCUCAUCUCUAUUCUUCAAAAUCUCUUUUCAAACUUAAAAUCAACCAACAAAAACAAAAAAUCCUUCUUUAGCAAGAACUACGCCGGUUUUGAUCCCGUAAAACGGUACGUAGGCAAUGAGUCAAAACUCAUCCAAGCCGAAAUAAAAUCAAAUUCUACUUCCUCUCACCCCCAUUCUUAACUAAUCACACUUUCCUUUUUUACAAAUAAGCAAUAAAACUAAAGCGUAGAAAUCAACUUAGGAGAGCGGCUCUUAUGGAGUACCAUAAUCGCUCCGGGUGCCUAACACCUUCCCGUAGCGAAAACGACCCCCGAAUCUAGAACUUCUUAAGGGUUUUUCUCCUUUUACCCUUCCCAAGAAAAAAGAGAGAUAUCAACGGUCGAAAGGUUCAAGUCCAAUUAAUGGCUUGGCACCCCAAAACCAUGAUAACAGAAAUGGCGACUUCACUGGGGACUUUUUUUAGCGGGUCACGCCUAGUUUUCCUUAGCUUAUUUACGCUUUGUUUUAUUGCUUACAUAUGGGAAUACUUGUUUAUUUUCAUUUGACGUGUGGGGUGAGAAUAUCAAAAGUCCUAACCCGGGCUGAGUGAACUUAUGUUUAGGUAGAGAUAUAAUCGACAAUUCGAUCCGGGGGUUGCCUCGUGUAUUGGAUUAUGCGAUCAAUCUCACAUAGCUGAGGCAUUUUGAAGGUGAUAUUGUCGGCGUGUGUUGUCAUGCUUAGGCACUUCACUUUCAAUUGUUCGACGAAGCUAUGAACCGUAGUUACCAAACCCAUCCUAGCCUUUUUAGGACGUAGUGCGGUGGCUAAAUUGAGUGUUGUCUCAAACUUUAGUCGUCACGCGAUACUACACUCAAACUAGACCUUCUCACAAAUAAUCAUGGAACGGGUGUCGUCCUGUACUACCAUGAUAUAUGUGAGAGAGGUUGCAGUUUGGGAACUGUGUUAGAACCUUGGUUACUACUAUCCAAAGCCUUAGUUCACCGGACGCCGUGUCCAUCCGUGGCCCCGUUACUUUGAAACUCAACCCACUUUGUUCUUUAAAAACACAAUCAUGCAUACAUGCAUUCAUGCAUAAACAUUUUUCAUGCAUUCAUCGAAGGGUUUAAACAAAUGGAAAUUUUUGUAAAUAAUCACAGGUAUGAAGAAGACAAAGUGCUACAAGUUCAAGGAAGUGGAUUUGGUUAGUUUGAGAGAGUUGGCACUCAAGGUCAAGAGUCAAACAGGGUUCCGACUCCGGUAUGGGGGAUUGCUUACUUUGCUUCGAACCGAUGUAGAUGAGAAGCUAUUGCACACUCUGGUGCAAUUUUAUGAUCCGAGCUUCCGUUGCUUCACUUUCCCGGACUUCCAGUUGGUUCCUACUCUCGAGGCUUACUCCAAUCUAGUGGGUUUACCUAUAGCCGAGAAGACGCCUUUCACCGGUCCCGGGGCUUCUCUUACUCCUCUGGUUAUUGCUAAGGAUCUCUACCUCAAGACUUCCGACGUCUCCAACCAUCUUAUUACCAAGUCUCACAUCCGGGGGUUCACUUCGAAGUAUCUUCUUGAUCAGGCCAAUCUCGGUACUACUCGUCAGGAUACACUCGAGGCUAUUCUUGCUUUGCUUAUUUACGGGCUCAUUCUCUUUCCGAACCUCGACAACUUCGUGGACAUGAAUGCUAUCGAGAUCUUCCAUUCCAAGAACCCGGUUCCUACUUUGCUAGCAGAUACCUACCACGCCAUUCAUGACAGGACUCUCAAGGGCCGUGGGUAUAUUCUUUGCUGCACAUCUCUUUUGUAUAGGUGGUUUAUUUCGCACCUUCCGAGUUCCUUCCAUGACAACUCGGAGAAUUGGUCCUACUCGCAGCGGAUUAUGGCCCUCACUCCUAAUGAGGUUGUCUGGCUCACUCCGGCCGCUCAAGUGAAGGAAAUCAUUAUGGGUUGUGGAGACUUUCUCAAUGUACCUCUUCUUGGUACCCGUGGGGGAAUCAACUACAAUCCCGAGCUUGCUAUGAGACAGUUUGGUUUCCCUAUGAAGUCGAAGCCCAUCAAUCUUGCUACAUCUCCAGAGUUCUUCUUCUACACGAAUGCUCCUACCGGACAAAGGAAAGCUUUCAUGGAUGCUUGGUCUAAGGUCCGAAGGAAGAGUGUGAAGCAUCUAGGUGUGAGAUCCGGUGUUGCUCAUGAGGCCUAUACUCAGUGGGUGAUAGAUCGAGCUGAGGAGAUUGGUAUGCCUUACCCGGCUAUGAGAUACGUGUCUUCAUCCACUCCGUCUAUGCCUCUACCUCUACUUCCCGCGACUCAGGAUAUGUAUCAGGAGCAUCUAGCUAUGGAGAGUCAUGAGAAGCAAGUAUGGAAAGCUCGGUACAAUCAAGCCGAGAACCUAAUCAUGACUUUGGAUGGUAGAGAUGAGCAGAAGACUCAUGAGAAUCUAAUGUUGAAGAAAGAGCUAGCUAAGGCCCGGAGGGAAUUGGAAGAGAAAGACGAGCUGCUUAUGAGGGAUUCCAAGAGAGCUCGAGGACGACGAGAUUUCUUUGACAGAUACUGUGAUUCAGAUUCCGAGUCCGAUGAUCUUCCGACUACUUCCUAUGCUUGAGAGCUUUAUUUGUUUACCUUGUUGAAAAUGUUGUGUAAUUUUGUUUAUUUGCAAGAUUUCUAAUUUGUUUUAAAAUCCUUCGAUGAAAAAAAUAAGUCUUUUGCAUUCGCAUUUGCAUAUCAUGCAUCAUAUGCAUCAUGCAUUGGUCACAAAGGCUUCCAAGUGCUCACUAUCUCCUGGUUCCUCUGCCGCAGUGUGAAAAGUGGCUCGUGCUCAGAGAGUUUACGAACCAGAUAGAAUUGAUCGAACCAGAGAAUACAGAAGAAAGAAAAGGGCUAUGGAAGAAGAGAACGCUCAGCUUCGCACCGAGUUAGCCUCUCUAAAGGAGGAAUUGGCUAAAGCUAAUGACGUCAUGACUGCUCUACUAGCUGCUCAAGAGCAAUCAGCUACAGCUAUCCCUACAACCACAGCCGCACCAGUAACUACAAGCGUGCUCCCUACCACUUCUGCAGACAAUCGCUUUACUAUGCCAGUGGGGUUUCCAUAUGGGCUUCCACCGUUCUUCACUCCCGUUGCUACAGCAAGCACCUCGGGCACUGCUAACAAUGUUCUGAUCCCUGCAACAAAUGCCGCCUCCAUCAUUGCUACUUUGCCACAAACAACAGCAGCUGUCACUGAGCCUCUGGUACACACUCUGCCUCAAGGUAUUAACAUCAACACACAGCACAGAAGCAUCCCCGUAACCAAGACUAUGGAAGAGAUGAUGGGGGAACUUGCUAAAGAACUCCGUCACGAGAUCCAGGCCAAUCGAGGGAAUGCAGACUCUGUCAAAACUCAAGACCUUUGCUUAGUAUCAAAAGUGGAUGUUCCUAAAAAGUUCAAGAUUCCGGACUUCGACCGGUACAACGGGCUAACUUGUCCUCAAAAUCACAUCAUCAAAUACGUCCGGAAGAUGGGCAAUUACAAAGACAAUGAUUCCCUUAUGAUCCACUGUUUUCAGGAUAGUCUGAUGGAGGAUGCCGCAGAGUGGUAUACUAGUUUGAGUAAGAAUGACAUCCAUACCUUUGAUGAGUUAGCCACCGCUUUCAAGAGCCAUUAUGGGUUUAACACUCGACUGAGGCCAAAUAGGGAGUUUCUCAGGUCCCUAUCUCAGAAGAAGGAGGAAAGUUUCCGUGAAUAUGCGCAAAGGUGGAGAGGGGCGGCUGCCCGUAUCACUCCUGCUUUAGAUGAGGAAGAAAUGACCCAGACGUUCUUAAAGACGUUGAAGAAAGAUUAUGUUGAGAGGAUGAUCAUCGCUGCCCCGAACAACUUUUCGGAGAUGGUCACUAUGGGAACCCGUCUUGAGGAAGCAGUCAGGGAUGGAAUCAUUGUGUUUGAGAAAGCUGAAUCCUCUGUGAAUGCAUCGAAGAGGUAUGGUAAUGGACACCACAAGAAGAAAGAAACGGAAGUGGGGAUGGUGUCAGCUGGAGCCGGUCAAUCAAUGGCUACUGUUGCUCCUAUCAAUGCAGCUCAAAUGCCUCCGUCAUACCCAUAUAUGCCGUAUUCUCAGCAUCCGUUCUUCCCACCGUUUUAUCAUCAGUACCCUUUGCCGCCGGGCCAGCCUCAAGUGCCCGUCAAUGCAAUUGCCCAACAGAUGAAACAACAGAUGCCGGUUCAACAACAACAACAAAAUCAGCAAGCUAGGCCUACUUUCCCUCCGAUACCGAUGUUAUAUGCUGAGUUGCUUCCAACUUUGCUCCAGAGAGGGCAUUGUACAACUAGACAGGGUAAGCCCCCACCUGAUCCGUUGCCUCCAAGGUUCAGGUCUGAUCUCAAAUGUGACUUUCAUCAAGGUGCCCUGGGUCAUGAUGUCGAGGGGUGUUAUGCUUUGAAGUAUAUCGUGAAGAAGCUCAUCGAUCAAGGGAAGCUGACUUUUGAGAAUAAUGUCCCACACGUCCUCGACAAUCCUCUUCCAAAUCAUGCCGCUGUGAAUAUGAUCGAAAUGUGUGAAGAAGCUCCGAGACUUGAUGUCCGCAACGUCGCAACUCCUCUGGUACCUCUACACAUCAAGCUGUGCAAAGCUUCUCUGUUCAAUCAUGAUCAUGCCAAGUGUUUAGGAUGCCUUUGUAAUCCCUUGGGUUGCCAUACUGUUCAGGACGACAUCCAAAGCUUGAUGAAUGAUAAUCUUCUGACUGUCAGUGAUGUUUGCGUGAUUGUGCCAGUUUUUCACGAUCCGCCUGUCAAGAGUGUACCUUUGAAGAAGAAUGCUGAGCCUUUGGUGAUAAGGUUGCCAGGACCAAUUCCUUAUGUUUCGGACAAGGCAGUGCCAUACAAGUACAAUGCUACUAUGAUAGAAAAUGGAGUAGAGAUGCCUCUAGCCUCCUUUGCCACAGUAAGCAAUAUUGCCGAAGGGACUUCUGCAGCGCUAAGAAGCGGGAAAGUCCGUCCGCCGUUAUUUCAGAAGAAAGUAGCUACGCCAAUCACUCCACCAGUUGAAAAAGCAACUCCAACCGUUGUUUCACCCAUUGCUACAGAUGUGAAUCAGCCAGGCAAAUCUAUAGAGGAUUCGAAUUUAGAUGAGAUUCUGAGAAUAAUAAAGAGGAGCGACUACAAGAUCGUUGAUCAAUUGCUGCAGACUCCUUCGAAGAUAUCUGUAUUGUCAUUACUCUUGAGCUCUGAGGCUCACAGGAAUACCUUGUUGAAAGUGCUGGAGCAGGCAUAUGUUGACCACGAAGUUACGGUAGAUCGGUUUGGUGGCAUAGUGGGAAAUAUUACUGCUUGUAACAACCUCUGGUUUAGCGAAGAAGAGUUGCCGGAAGUGGGAAAGAGUCACAAUCUGGCUUUGCACAUCUCGGUGAAUUGUAAAUCAGACAUGAUAUCAAAUGUGUUGGUGGAUACCGGUUCCUCUCUCAAUGUAAUGCCCAAGACAACUCUAGAUCAGUUGAGCUACCGUGGGGUCCCUUUGAGGAGAAGUACUUUCUUGGUCAAAGCUUUUGAUGGAUCUCGAAAGAAUGUGCUGGGGGAGAUAGACUUGCCGAUAACCAUUGGCCCUGAGAAUUUCUUGGUUACUUUCCAAGUGAUGGACAUUAAUGCAUCCUACAGUUGCCUGCUGGGAAGACCGUGGAUACACGAUGCAGGUGCAGUUACUUCCACCUUACAUCAGAAGUUGAAAUUUGUGAAGAAUGGAAAACUCGUUACAAUCCAUGGUGAAGAAGCAUACUUAGUCAGCCAGUUGUCUUCUUUUUCUUGUAUUGAAGCAGGGUCUGCUGAAGGGACUGCUUUCCAAGGUUUGACCAUUGAAGGUGCAGAGUCUAAGGAAGCUGGGGCUGCUAUGGCUUCAUUGAAGGAUGCUCAGAGAGCCAUCCAAGAAGGUCAGACUGCCGGCUGGGGCAAGGUGAUACAGCUCUGUGAGAACAAGCGUAAAGAAGGUCUCGGGUUCUCCCCGUCAUCAAGGGUUUCCUCGGGAGUCUUCCACAGUGCUGGGUUUGUUAAUGCUAUCUCUGAAGAAGCCACUGGAUCUGGUCUCAGGCCUGUAUUUGUUACACCAGGAGGCAUUGCGAGAGAUUGGGAUGCCAUUGACAUUCCAUCAAUCAUGCAUGUUUCUGAGUAAUGUGUCUUGUUGCUUUAGUGCUUCGUUUUCAAAAUAACAAUCCUCCCGCUCUGCCCAAAGCGAGGGUGAUAUUUUCUGUAAGGGCAUGUUUGUUUCGGCAUUGCCGUUGAUUAAUAAAACUUUGUCGUUUCUUCCACGACUACUUUUUUUUUUAGUGUUUUUCCCUUGGAAACAAUGGUAAUGCCAGAAAAAACCAAAACGUCUGUAUUUUCUUAUUAAUUUCAAAAAUCUGCAUGAAAAAAAACUCUUUCUAAAAUCAUCCAAUCAUUAUAUGCAGGUUGAACCAUAAUAAACCCGUUGAACACAGUAAUCCUACGGUUCCUCCAAAUUUUGAUUUCCCUGUGUAUGAAGCCGAAGAUGAGGAAGGUGGUGACAUACCAUAUGAGAUUACUCGGUUACUCGAGCAAGAAAAGAAAGCCAUUCAGCCUCACCAAGAAGAGAUUGAGCUUGUCAACAUAGGUACCGAGGAAAACAAGCGAGAAAUCAAGAUUGGUGCUGCUCUAGAGGAAGGGGUUAAACAGAAGAUCAUCCAACUCCUCCGGGAAUAUCCGGAUAUUUUUGCAUGGUCCUAUGAAGAUAUGCCAGGUCUAGACCCUAUGAUCGUGGAGCAUCGGAUCCCCACCAAGCCUGAAUGUCCUCCCGUCAGGCAGAAAUUGAGAAGGACUCAUCCUGACAUGGCUCUCAAGAUUAAGAGCGAGGUUCAAAAGCAAAUCGAUGCGGGUUUCCUCAUGACAGUUGAGUACCCUGAAUGGGUUGCUAAUAUUGUGCCUGUGCCAAAGAAGGAUGGUAAAGUCCGGAUGUGUGUUGACUUCAGAGACCUGAACAAAGCCAGUCCAAAAGACAACUUUCCAUUACCUCAUAUUGACGUGCUUGUUGAUAAUACUGCUCAAUCUAAGGUGUUCUCCUUCAUGGACGGUUUUUCCGGUUAUAAUCAGAUCAAAAUGUCUCCUGAAGAUAGAGAAAAGACAUCUUUUAUCACUCCAUGGGGCACUUUCUGCUACAAAGUGAUGCCAUUCGGCCUAAUCAAUGCUGGUGCUACCUACCAAAGGGGAAUGACCACUCUGUUUCAUGACAUGAUUCACAAAGAAGUUGAGGUAUAUGUGGAUGAUAUGAUUGUGAAGUCAACAGAUGAGGAGCAGCAUGUUGAAUAUUUAACAAAGAUGUUUGAAAGGUUGAGAAAAUACAAGCUGCGAUUGAAUCCCAACAAAUGUACAUUCGGUGUCAGAUCCGGGAAGUUAUUAGGCUUCAUUGUCAGCCAAAAGGGCAUUGAAGUCGAUCCUGAUAAAGUCCGGGCCAUCCGAGAAAUGCCAGCUCCACAAACAGAGAAGCAAGUCAGAGGUUUCCUCGGACGUUUGAAUUACAUCUCUCGAUUCAUAUCUCACAUGACCGCAACCUGUGGGCCAAUCUUCAAGCUACUCAGGAAGAAUCAGCCUGUUGUAUGGAAUGAUGAAUGCCAAGAAGCUUUUGAUAGCAUCAAGAAUUAUCUGCUGGAACCACCUAUCCUUGUCCCACCCGUGGAAGGAAGGCCUUUGAUUAUGUAUUUGGCAGUGUUUGAUGAAUCCAUGGGAUGUGUACUUGGUCAACAAGAUGAAACUGGGAAGAAAGAGCAUGCUAUCUACUAUCUGAGCAAGAAGUUCACCGAUUGUGAAACUCGGUAUACAAUGCUUGAGAAGACUUGUUGUGCUUUAGCUUGGGCUGCCAAACGCCUGCGUCAUUAUUUGGUGAAUCAUACAACUUGGUUGAUAUCCAGAAUGGAUCCGAUCAAGUAUAUCUUUGAGAAAGCUGCUGUUACUGGAAAGAUUGCACGCUGGCAGAUGCUUUUGUCUGAAUAUGAUAUUGUGUUCAAAACUCAAAAGGCAAUCAAAGGUAGCAUUCUUGCCGAUCAUCUUGCUUACCAACCUCUUGAUGAUUAUCAACCAAUUGAGUUCGACUUCCCCGAUGAAGAGAUCAUGUAUUUGAAAUCCAAAGACUGCGACGAACCGUUGAUUGAGGAAGGUCCAGAUCCCAAUAGCAAGUGGGGUUUAGUCUUUGAUGGUGCUGUCAAUGCUUAUGGUAAAGGAAUUGGGGCAGUCAUUGUAUCCCCACAGGGGCAUCACAUUCCUUUUACCGCCAGAAUUCUGUUCGAAUGUACCAACAACAUGGCUGAGUAUGAAGCAUGUAUCUUCGGGAUCGAGGAAGCAAUUGACAUGAGAAUCAAACACCUCGACAUCUAUGGAGAUUCUGCGCUCGUCAUCAAUCAGAUAAAGGGUGAAUGGGAGACCCACCAUGCUAAGCUGAUUCCUUAUCGUGAUUAUGCGAGACGUCUUCUGACAUAUUUUACAAAGGUUGAGCUGCACCAUAUUCCUCGUGAUGAGAACCAAAUGGCUGAUGCUCUUGCUACUCUAUCUUCCAUGUUUCGAGUGAACCAUUGGAAUGAUGUGCCAUUAAUCAAAGUGCAACGCCUUGAAAGACCUUCGCAUGUGUUUGCUAUUGGGGAUGUGAUCGAUCAGGCUGGUGAAAAUGUGGUUGACUAUAGACCCUGGUACUAUGACAUCAAGCAGUUCUUGCUAAGCCGCGAAUAUCCGCCGGGUGCUUCCAAACAAGAUAAGAAGACCUUGAGAAGAUUGGCCAGUAGAUUCCUGUUAGAUGGAGAUAUUCUGUACAAGAGAAACUAUGACAUGGUAUUGUUAAGAUGUGUUGAUGAACAUGAAGCAGAGCAGUUAAUGCAUGAUGUACAUGACGGUACCUUCGGGACCCAUGCUACAGGGCAUACUAUGUCAAGGAAGUUGUUACGAGCAGGUUACUACUGGAUGGCCAUGGAGCAUGAUUGCUACCAAUAUGCCAGAAAAUGCCACAAAUGCCAAAUCUAUGCUGAUAAGAUUCAUGUGCCUCCGCACGCUCUCAAUGUUAUGUCAUCCCCAUGGCCUUUCUCAAUGUGGGGCAUCGACAUGAUUGGAAGAAUUGAACCGAAAGCUUCAAAUGGUCAUCGUUUCAUCUUAGUGGCAAUUGACUACUUCACCAAGUGGGUUGAAGCAGCAUCUUAUACCAAUGUGACCAAGCAAGUGGUAGCUAAGUUCAUCAAGAACAAUAUCAUCUGUCGAUAUGGUGUUCCCAGCAAGAUUAUUACCGACAAUGGUACCAACCUGAACAACAAUGUGGUGCAAGCUCUUUGUGAAGAAUUCAAAAUUGAGCAUCAUAACUCUUCUCCUUAUAGACCUCAGAUGAAUGGUGCAGUUGAGGCCGCCAACAAGAAUAUCAAGAGAAUUGUCCAGAAGAUGGUAACCACUUACAAGGACUGGCAUGAGAUGUUACCCUAUGCUCUGCAUGGCUACCGUACUACUGUGCGCAGUUCAACCGGGGCAACCCCUUUCUCUCUUGUAUAUGGUAUGGAAGCAGUUCUUCCUUUGGAAGUGGAGAUCCCAUCUCUCCGUGUGAUCAUGGAAGCAAAGUUAUCAGAGGCUGAAUGGUGCCAAAGCCGGUAUGAUCAGUUGAAUUUGAUUGAGGAAAAACGUAUGGAUGCCAUGGCUCGUGGACAGUCAUAUCAAGCAAGAAUGAAGACUGCUUUUGACAAGAAAGUCCAUCCUCGAGAAUUCAAGGUAGGGGAACUUGUAUUGAAAAGGAGGGUAAGCCAGCAACCCGACCCAAGGGGCAAGUGGACGCCUAACUAUGAAGGUCCUUAUGUUGUCAAGAAGGCCUUCUCCGGUGGUGCUUUAAUCCUUACACACAUGGAUGGUGUAGAACUUCCAAAUCCAGUGAAUGCUGAUAUAGUCAAGAAAUACUUUGCCUAGAAAUAUGAAAAGAACAGCGUGGUAGGUCGAAAACCCGAAAGGGCGGCCUAGGCAAAAAUGCGCUUCCCGGUGGAUCGAAAACCCGAAAGGGCGGUCCAGGCAAAAAUAAGGGACAAAAAAAACAAAUAUGAAAAGCUCGCUGAGAUUGUAAACAACUCAGGCAAGAAUGAGCGUCUCGAUGAGCCGAAAACCCGGAAGGGCGGUUCAUGCAAAAAUGAGAUUGAAACAAAAGGCAAGUAACUAUAUCUGGCUAACCACCGUCCCCCUUGGGGCAUCUGCAGCUGUUAAUGACUAUCUUCAUCAAAAGCUCCUACGCUUGCGAAUUCAAAGUUUCUAGGAGAUGUCCUGAUUACUGUGUUCAAUGUACCACCAACCAAUAAAAUUACCAUUUUCCAAGCUUUGUGAAUCCGUGGAGUCAUGCCUUUGGCUGACCACCACUCUUAUACAUCAAUUUGAGCCUUUGCUUUUGUUUGAAAACUCUAUUUUUUCUUCUACUUUCAAAGCUAUAUACAAAAUAUUUUCUUUCUAUUUUGAUAAUGACAAUGCUUGAAACAAACAUUUUGAAAAUUGAAAACUUUUUGUCUAUUUUGAAAAGCAAACCUGAGCAACAGGGUACAUUCAAAUGAAACAUGCAUGAGCGAGAGUAUGUUGAUGUCUAUUUCAAUAUAUGUUACAAACAGGUUCUCCUCCAGGAUGGUCUGUGGUCAAUGGCAAGAAUGAAAAAACAGAAUGAAAAUGCAUGAAAAUAAUUGAGCUCGCUAAGUCGAAAACCCGAAAGGGCGGCUUAGGCAAAAAAGAGCACCCCGCUGAAUUGACAACCCGAAAGGGCAAUUCAGGCAAAAAUGGGGCAUUGAAAAGAAUUUAUCUCCCCGGUGGAUCGAAAACCCGAAAGGGCGGUUCAGGCAAAAAUGGGAUGCAAAAAAUGAAUGAAUGAAAUUGAGAAAAUAACAUGCAAAAAGCAUUGACCACAGAUGCGAUGUCCACGAUACAUCCGGCAUUAUCCCCAGUAAAGUCUCUCAAGAUUCUAUCCCCAGCAAGUGGCAUACCUACCUGCCCUCAGCCAUGGUUCCGAUACGUCUCCCAACGACGUCAUCUCCAAAGAGGAUUUCCAAGAAUGUGUAAUAUAGCACGAGUCACUACGUGCCCAAUACUCUAAUGUCUUGUCUUCCCCGUGAAGUCGUGCCUACAAACUGCCAACAGUCAUGCAUUACAAGCAUUCAUACAUGCAUAAUCAUGCAUAUUGCGUACCCAUGCAUAUUAAUGAAUCUGUUAUAUCAUCCAUGCAUAUUGCAUUUCCAAUGUCAACAUCAGUCUCAAUUCAAUACUCAUGUCAGGUUCUCCGUCAAAACCUUGUGAGCCAAUAAUAUCGGUCAAUUUCUACCUUUCAAAUCAAAUCGACGUCAAGUCAAUCUCAAUCUACAUUUUGCCAACAAACCAAUCCCCAGUGAAUAUGUUUCUGUCUGGUCAAGUGGCUAGUUCAAGUCCAAGAACAGCUUGUACCUAUCAAUUUGCUUAUGUUAUCGGUCGAGUGCCCAGCUCAAUCCAAGAGCAGCUUGUACCUGUCGAUAGGUUUCCGUUCAGUCAAGUGACUAGCUCAAUCCAAGAGCAGCUUGUACCCGUCUAUCUGUUUCUGUUCGCUCAAGUGGCUAGCUCGAUCCAAGAGCAGCUUGCGCCUGUCUAUUUUGUAUUUGUCUCCGGUGGAGUAACCAGUUCGCAUCCAAGAACAAGCUCGCACCUGUCUAUUUGCCUUGCUUUCAGUGGAGUAACCAGUUCGAAUCCGUAAGAACAACUCGUACUUGCCAAUUUUCUCUCUUUCCCAGUCGGGUCACCAGUUCGAAUCCAUAAGAACAACUCGCACCUUCCAAUAUCCCCAAGUGAGUUACCAGUUCGAAUCCAUAAGAACAACUCAUGUUUGUCCAGUAACCUCUAUCCCCUGUGAAGUGACCAGUUCGAAUCCAUAAGAACAACUCGCAGUUUGUCUGUUUGUUUCAUUCCCGGUCAAGUGGCUAGUUUGAAUCCAAGAACAGCUUGUACCUGUCCAACUUGUUUCUAGUUUCCCGUUACUCUGCUAUUCACUAUCUUGGUCAAUGUCUACCAAUCCCGCAAUGGAUACGACAUAUUUUGUUAAUUCCAAUCCCCAUGAGGUCUUGCAUUCAUAAUCCAAAUGAUGCAUGGCAUGCAUAUUAUUUGAAAAUGGGUAGGCGUAUUUUUACGUCCAAACACAGUGCAAAUGCUAAUAUUUAAGUAUCUUCGUCCUGUCAAGCCAAAGACUCUGUCUCUUGACUCUCCAGACAAAGAAACUUAAAUAGGGGCAGCUGUUACACCCUGUUUUUGGACCUAAAAAUACUGGGCCCAAUUUCAUUUCAAACCUUGUCAAUUAUUAAAUUUCAACUGCAUAGUUCAAAUUGUCUCUGCCUCGCAGUAUUUUCAAUCACAAUUUUACCUAUGUUUUUCUUGCAUAAAACCUUUCAAAAUGUCUUUACUUGUCUUGUAAGUCAUUCAAAAGUGUCUCUGAAUCAUUGCAUUGCUUUUUCUACAGUUUAUUUCAAAAUUUGCAAAAAGUCAUACAGAAGGGUAUUUUGGUCAUUUCCUGCAGUGGGACCCAUUUUCAUCCUUGUGGCUGUCUCUGAGUCUUUUCAAAUUGUUUUUCAGUAAACCUUGUUAAAAUUCAUUUCAAACUUGCGUCUGAGUCAGUGUCAAGUCUGUUUGAGUCAGUUUAGGUCAUUUUUAGCCCUAGGGGCAUUUUAGUCAUUUCACACGAAAUUUUGGCAUAGAGAGGUUACUUUGAAGUACCUCAUUUAGGUCAUUGGUUCGUUUUAGUCCGUUUUGUCAAUUUUAUUUUUGUUUCGCUUUACGUUUGAUCAAAUUGCGUUUUAUUCAAUUUCAUUUUUUUAUUGCAUUUUGGUCCAGUUUCUUUUCCAAUUUGCAUUUUAGUCCUUUUUUAUUUUCAUAUUAGUCCCUUAAUUUUUCAAUUUUGCAGAAAGGUCCCAAAUUAAUUCUAAGUCCAAAGCCGUGCCUUUUUUUUUACAAGUCCAGGUGUCCUUUUCUUAUUGGUUCCAAUGCACACAUGUCAGCUAUAAAAGCAUUGAGUCAGAAUCAGAAGCAAUGAUCACACGCCACUUCACCAAAAACAGAAUCAAACUUUCUCUUUCUUGUCAGUUAGAUCAAACCAAAAAAUCACAGAGAAAUCACCAAGAACACAAGAACCCUAAGAUUUCCAGAACAAAAUUCAUACACAAAUUCAUUGAUUUUCACAUCAAUCCUCAGAGAUUCGUGUGAAUCUUCAUCACCGGAUUGAAGAAUUCCCCUACAAUUCAAAGUGCGAGCUCACAUUGAAGCAAGCUCAAGCACUGAUCAUAGGGAUUUUUCACGCAGAUUCAAAAACGUUGAAGCAAGCUCAAGCACGUAAUCACAGAGAAGCAGAGAAAGAAUCAGAGAAGAUGAAGAUGAACCGGUAAACCGAUUUAUUUUCGGUCCAAAAGCAAGCAAAAUCAUCAAAACCGUCAAGAACAUUCAAGUUUUUUCCAAAGAUUUUCCUCCAUUAAAAGUUUCAACCAAAACUUCAGGUAAAACUCAUUUUCUUCUCUUAGAAAGUAAUACAGUUAAACCUGCAAAUAGAAAACAGAAAAGUUUCCAGAAUCACGAAACAAAGCCGUAACCGUAAACACAAAACCUAGAUCCAUAAGGAUCUAGGUUUUGAAAGCAAGAACAAGUAUCAGAAAAGCCAUCAAACGACGAAACGAUGUAGAUCUUUAAAGAUCUAAACGAUUUAGUUCAAAAAUCAAAAAUCAUUUCAAAACCGUAAAAGUUUUUUCCAAGAUCUACGUCGUUUCAAGCUGUGCAUGAGAAAAUAAUUGCUGGAUCCGUGUUUAGGGUUAAAGGACGAAUCAUUAGAUGUAAAAAUCAUAAGUUUCUGGAAAUUUUCACGGCGGAACCCUAGAUCUUCACCGGAGAAGAUGAAGUUUCCGGCGACCUAUGAAGGUUCCGGCCGGUCCUUCAUCCUCUCCGGCGUGCCAUGCCAGAAUCCGGUGAGUUGAGAGAAGAGAGAAGAGAGAGAAGCUCUGAGCUAGAGAGAGAAAGGAUUUGUAAAAUGAGAAAAACCGGUGCUAGCAUGUUUAUAUAGGCAACUGAACCGGACCGGUUCAAGACCGGUCCAAUCCCUUCAAUCCUGAGCGUUGGAUCUAGGGCUUCCCCCCCCUGGAUCAAUCCAACGCUCCCUGUGCAUCCGGAUCCUUGUAGUUUUGGGCUUUGGUUUGGGCUUAGUUCUUUUUACGUUUUUUUGUUAUUUUCUUGCUAUUUGCACUGCCUUUCUUGCUAUCUGGACCUGUUACUUGCCUACUUUUUUUUAUAAAAAUUCCUAAAAAAUCCUAGUUGUUUCUUAAUGUAUUUUUGGUAUUUCCAUGGUAUUUUUGCAUGUAAAAAAAAUGGUAAAGUGGCAUGAACUAAUUUCCAUGUGUUUUUACACUUUUGGUAUACUUUUUGCUAUGUUUUUGUUCUUGAUACUUUGAUAUGUGUUAUGAAUAAAUGAUACCCUAUCUUGUGAUGAAUAUGCCUCUGGACAUGUGUUUCUUUUUGCUGUUUUGAAUAUGAUUUUAUGGAUUUCUUGUUUUACAAGCAACAAGUGUUUGUUUUAAAGAAUAAAGUGUCAAAUUUCUCUAUGAAUUUGGUGUGAUACUUUGCUUGCAUGUGUCUCCAUUAAUUUCAUGUCAUGGCUUGAAACAAAAUCUCUUUCAAAGUUGCUAUGAUGUGAUGAUUAUGGGUUACAAGUACCUUUAAGUAUCAUAUCAAAUUUCUAGGUUUAUUACCACUUUAUAACUUUCUUUCGCUUUUCCUAUGCAAUUUCUUUUUGUUUAUUUCCUACUAUUUUGUGCUUUGUGAUUACUAACCAUUUCAUCUCAUGUGUCAUACAUUUCAUAGCAUUCCACCACCCUCUCCACUCUCCAUUUUCUUUAGCUUAGCAUUUAUUUUUUGCAAAUUUUAAUUCAUUUGGUGAUGUAAUUUGGUAUCAUUGGUUUGUAGCUUGGCAAAGGGGCCAUAGAAUGUACUUAGGCAAUUUUUGUAAUAUGGACUAUGGACACUAUGACGCACCGACACGCACACACCCACCUUAGAUGUAUGCAUAAGAUUGUAUGGUUAGAUGAAUGCUUAGGUUUAAACACUUAGAUAAAAAUCAACUUUUUUCCAAAACAUGCAAAUAACACUUGAAAACCUUUUUGAAAAUAAAAUGGAGUCAAAACUCCUUAUUUUCCCCUUUAUUUUCUUAAGUAAAAUUUUCAAUAAAUCUUAAUCCUCCAUAGACUUCAUUUUGAAAAAGACUAAUUCCACCUCACUUUUUCCAAAUCUUAUGCCCUUGAGGCCUCUCAUCUCUAUUCUUCAAAAUCUCUUUUCAAACUUAAAAUCAACCAACAAAAACAAAAAAUCCUUUUUUAGCAAGAACUACGCCGGUUUUGAUCCCGUAAAACGGUACGUAGGCAAUGAGUCAAAACUCAUCCAAGCCGAAAUAAAAUCAAAUUCUACUUCCUCUCACCCCCAUUCUUAACUAAUCACACUUUCCUUUUUUACAAAUAAGCAAUAAAACUAAAGCGUAGAAAUCAACUUAGGAGAGCGGCUCUUAUGGAGUACCAUAAUCGCUCCGGGUGCCUAACACCUUCCCGUAGCGAAAACGACCCCCGAAUCUAGAACUUCUUAAGGGUUUUUCUCCUUUUACCCUUCCCAAGAAAAAAGAGAGAUAUCAACGGUCGAAAGGUUCAAGUCCAAUUAAUGGCUUGGCACCCCAAAACCAUGAUAACAUGUGUCAUUUUCAAUAGAUACUUCCCUUCCAUCAUGUAAUCGAUCAUAAAUCCAGAAAGGGAAAUAAAUUUGGCUAGAUUGAUCGGCCAAUGCAUUCAAAUUCUUCCUUCUACUCGCCAUCUCCAUUAACAACAUCCCAAAGCUAUAGACAUCAGCUUUGUAAGAUAUUGUGCCAAUAUUUCUGUAGAACAGUUCAGGGGCCAUGUAUCCAAUCGUUCCUCUUGCAGCAGUUAAUGGCACAAUGCUUUUAUCUGUAGGACAAAGUCUAGCAAGUCCAAAAUCAGAAACUUUUGGAUUGAAAUAUUCAUCAAGAAGGAUGGUAUGAGGCUUUAUAUCAAAGUGUAGAAUUUUCAUAUCACAUCCAUUAUGAAAGUACUCAAUUCCACGAGCCACCCCAAGAGAAAUGGCAUGCAAUUUUUCACAACUCAAGGAAUUACUCUCUUCAAUGUGAGAAAAUAUGUAUUUUUCCAGUUACCCAUUUGGCAUGGCUGCGGUUAUGGUGCAUAAGGAAAUCCUUAUGCACCCUGCAUAAAUUCAAAAAUGGUUUCUGUGAAAAUAAAGAGUUCUUCGGAACUUAAGUGCCGAUUUUUUUUUUUUUUUUUCUUUCGUCGGCAGUUAACUGCAACCGGUUCCUUACUUCAGUAGUUAACUGUCGCAGAGGCAUUUUCGUCUUUUAUAUGUGUUUUUCAGCCCUAUCAUAUGUGUCAACAACAAUUCUCGGGAUCAAAAGCCAAAUAAUAAUGUACAUGUGUGGUAUCUGAGUCAUUAAAUUUGAUAUUCACAUAUGUACUGACCUGGUUAAAAUUAAGGGGACGUCAGUUUUGUAAAAAGAGCUAAAAUUAAGGGCCAAAACUGUUAUUUUGAAAGUUUGUGUUUCUCUCUUCUAAAGAGUAUCUCAUAAACAGUGAAGAAGAAUACAUUCCCUUUGUAGCAAACCUGGUUCACAGUGAAGCUGGUUAUAUUGAUCGAGCUCUGCAUACCGACCAUGAUUGCAAAUACUAUUGAGCCAAGAAAAUUCAAAUCCAUAAUACAUCAUACGACGGAAGUCCUUGCAAGAAAUGUUACUGUUGUUGCCAUCUUCAAAAUUUAAAGAUGUGAGAUACAUAAACUCUACACGACAAGUGUCUUUCAACACCAAUUCCGAAAGAGAUUUGCUGUAGCGACCAACAUAGAAACGAUUCCCGUGUUGUGAGUAUGAACCACUACUCAUACAGUUACCAACGUAUGAGUAUUCCGUCCAAUUUGGACAACUCACGUAUAACAUAGAUUUCGUCAAUAUAUGGUCAGUGUAGUUGGUGGAGGAGUGUGUGGAGUAAGAACUCAACUUAUAGAAUAGGUAGGGCGAGGUGAUGGAAGAACUGAAAUUAUAGAGUCCUAAAGAAUAAUAAGGAGGGCUGAAAUUAACAAGAUUGAAAUCCAAUAGCCGUAUGGUAAAGUUGUUGUAAUUAAUUGAUUGUACAUAAUAUUUUCCGGUGUAUUUCCCAACUUUAUAGUACAAGAUCAAUUGGUUGUUGUCCUCACAUGAUAAGAUAUACCUCUUGUCACCAGUGUUUGGGACUGUCUUUCAGCCGGAAAGGGUGGCUGAUGUUAUGGACACCGCAACUUCCAGAACAUGACUCAUGGUGUUCAUCACCAUACACUUUGUUGUUGUAAGGGAAUAUUAGCACAAGCAACACCACUGCAAGGGUUAAUGCAGUAGGGGUUGAGAAUGACUUUUUUGGUUUUUUGAUAGCAAGUAGAAAUCAAUUGUCAUAAUUUAUUAUAUGCAUGAGAAUCGUAUAAUAAAAAUCAAAUGGAUCCUGCUAACCGAUGCCCCCGAGCACUGGAUAAAUAUUACCAAAAUUGUUUUUAACUUUAUUAUAACAUAAUUUUAAUGCAUUAACUACUAUAUAAUCUCCUUUUUCAUAUCCUUAACAAGUGCCUCAGAGACACCGGCUAGCAUUUCCUUUUUAAUUAUUCUAAUUAUUUUUCUUACAUUUUUUAUUGUAAAAGAUUUAUUUAUAAUCAAAGUUUUAUAAAAAUAUAUUUUCAAUAUAAUCGAUGAAAGCAAAUUAAAAAAAUAUAUUUAUAUAGCACUAACCACUAAAUAAAACUAAUAAUUUUGAUGCCCCUAAAAAAAUGGUGCCUUGGACUGCCGCCCCGCCCGCCCACCCUCAGGGCCAUCCCUAAUAUUAGAAUAAAUAUUUUUUGAAUAAUGUAUAUAUCAUUAAACCCAAUUGAGUUGGUCUCUUGAUAUUGGUUUAAGACGUGUAGAUUAUUUUAGUUUUGAAAUAAGAUCUUUGCGGACCUACCUAAAGACAUGGUGUGGCUAUAAACACAUCAACUCGCCCUAGAAUUAAAAUAAAAAUAAAAAUAUUGACAUGGCUACAUAUGGAUUAGAGUCGUCUAGAAUGAUUAUUUGAAAUUCACAAAGCUUUACAUUCAUUGUACAAAGACUUCAUAUUGUUGGGGAAGCUGGCUAGAAGACUUGUGUGGCUAAAGAACAAACAAUUCUAUAUCAUGAGGGAAAUUACUAGGAAACUGUUAUAGUGAAAGUGAGUUUGAAAAAUUCCUAUAAACAGAGUCAAGACAUAGUACUAUUGCUCAAGAAUCAAUAACAUGAACACUUAUUAUGGUUUAUUGUUGUUUAUGGUUUAUUUUGUUGUUAGAACAACUACAGCCAUGGUCAAUGAUUGUCCAGAUUUAAGAUGUGGAAAUCAAAAUAUCAAAUUUCCUUUCUGAUUCAAAAACCGUCAAGCACCCAUGUGUGGCUAUCCAGGUUUUGAGUUAUUCUGUUCAUUGAAUAACGAAACAACGAUUGAACUCCCUCACUCGGUGAAACUCAAUGUUAAGAACAUUGACUAUAGACACCAAUUACUAGACAACUCAGUCAAGAGUUAGAUUGAUUUACAAUUGUUAAGAUAAGAUCUGUUUUCAUUUUAUAAAGAACGCGCACUUCCUUAUAGAGAAAGUUCCUCCUCAGGUGCUAAAUUCGUCUUAGUAUGCAAGUUAGGAAACAUUUCCCUUAGAGGGGCCGUUGUUUAUUUUCUGAAGUAUUUUAUUUUUCCCAGAUGCCAAAUAGAUGGAGGUGUUCUUUGUAAAAUCUAUUCGCCAAAGAAAUUGAGGAAUACAUUAAUUGAACUUUGAUAUAAGAAAAUAAAAUAAUUACAAUAUUUGCAUUAUAAACAAAACUGCCAAAGAAUUGAGAAUCGCUUUUCUACAUGAUAUCAUGAUUCAUGUCAGAAUCAGAACUGAAAUUUUCAACGGAAGAAUCAUCCUUAUUCCUUGGGUAUCACUCUGAUAACAUGUGAAGAAUCAUGGGAUGAGAGGGUUAUAAAUCAUACUCUUAAGAGAGAGAAAGGGAGCAUAUGAAUAAUCACGAGGUAAAAGCUCAAAAGGAGUAAUUUUUGAUUGAUAAAAGGUGGUGAAUCAUGAACACGAUUGUUUUACUAAUAGAACUCAAAAAUACCAACUAUUUGAGUGAGGAACACUUAUAUUUAGAGAUCUACUAAUAUAACUCAAUUAUACCAACUAAUUGAGUGAGGAACACUUCUUAUAUUUAAAGCAAACUCAUAAGACGUUUUCGACAUUUCAAAUGCAUUAAGAAAUUUAAUUAAAUUUGUAUGGAAAAAAUAUAUUAUGAAUUGUUCUAUAAAAUUGUUUGUAAUAAACGCUAUGUGAAAGAUAAAUUAAAAAAUCGAAAGAAGAGAGAAUAAUAAAUAGUUAAGGGUAUAAUAGGAAAAGUAACAUUAAUUUUUCAUUGGUAUUGUAAAAACGACUUAUAAUUUGGGAGAUUUUUUUUCUUUCCAAAAUGACUUUUAAUUUUGGAUAUGGAAAGAGUAGUGAUUUGUAGUUAAGAAAAUAAUCACUUACUUGGGACAGAGGGAGUAUAAUCAAAUCUUGAUGUUAGUGUUCUUAACACCUUUUCAAUCUUCAUCAAGUUAGUUAUAGUCUCACCAUUAAUUCCUUUUCAUUUGGUUUGUCAAGUUGAUCUAUCGACCAAAGUAUUGACUCAUUGAUUCUUUAUCGGUCAUUGCAAGAAGUUUAUACUGCCUCUUCAAUGCUUGUAAUAUCACAUUCUUCAAUUUGUCAUCUCCUGCAUACACCAUUUCCACUGUAUCCCAAGCUUCUUUUGCAUUUUCACAAUGCAUUAAAUUCUCUUAGAUGUUACCAUUAAUGCAUUGAUGCAAGAACAAUGGUUUCCCAUCUUUCUUCUGUAAGUCUUGAUGCAUAGUGACUUGUGCCUCAACUAUUACAAGCACUGACACUCGUUCCUUGAAUUAGAGACUAUUUAUACAACAUGAGAAUUAACAAUCAGUUAAAACCAACUCGUAACUUGCAACUCAAGUUACCUAACAAACGGUUAGUUAUUCAACUAACAACCAAACUAACUUUGAAUUAUAUAAACUAAUGUAUAAAGUGAUGCCUUAUGCUUUAACAUAUAUGGAAUACUCAUCACUUUAAAAGUGUCGUCUAAUACAUUCUUUUGGCGUAGUCGGGUGUAGGUCCUAUCUACCUACAAGAUCAUGGAGAAUUGGUAGAUCAAGACAAAAAUCUAUUUAUUGAUUUUCUAUAUCUAGUUAAACCAUAUAUUAUUGAACACGUGAGUUUUCACCAAAUUAAAUAAGGAUUAUUGAUACAUAAUAAUAUGUCACAACAACGAUAUCCAUAGAUCUGAUACCAUAAUAUCUGUUACCAUCCCUUGAUAAUCAACCAAAGAAAAUACUCAUUUAUUCUAUCUACAAACAUUCACACACACACACACACACACAGAUAAAAACUGCUACUUAUAUUAAUGCUUGGUACCAACAAUAUGAUAUGUAAUUCAACCAAGAACCAAAAAGAGAUCAGGUUGGUCCCUUGGAAUCACUAACUGAUGUACCAUACGAACUCCAUGAGUUUCUAUUAUAAUCAUCUCCAACAUCCUCUACUGGUGGAUCUUGUAAACAAAAGUAAGGCUUAUUAGGAAUUUGCAAGUCCCCAUCUUCUUCUUCAAGCAUCUCCAACACUUUAUCCAUUGAAGGACGGUCGUCGGGUUUUGUCUGUAUACACCACAAAGCCACAAUCAUCAUUUUCUUUGCCAAUUUUAUUUCCUGAUCUGUGUCAUUUUCAAUCGUUACUUCCCUUCCAUCAUGUAAUCGAUCAUAUAUCCAAAAAGGGAAAUAAAUUUGGCUAGAUUGCUCAGCCAUUGCAUUCAAGUUCCUCCUUCUACUUGCCAUCUCCAUCAACAACAUCCCAAAACUAUAUACAUCAGCUUUGUAAGAUAUUGUGCCAACAUUUCUGUAGAAUAGUUCAGGAGCCAUGUAUCCAAUGGUCCCUCUUGCUGCAGUUAAUGACACAAAGCUUUUAUCUGUAGGACAAAGUCUAGCAAGUCCAAAAUCAGAAACUUUUGGAUUGAAAUUUUCAUCAAGAAGGAUGUUAUGAGGCUUUAUAUCAAAGUGUAGAAUUUUCAUACACUACGCCAAUUUUAACAUUUAUUAGCGCCUAUUUAAUAGCAUUUUUAAAAGGAAUGCUAUUAAAAAGCUGACCUCGUCUCCCGUAAUAGCGUUUUGGCUGCAGGCGCUAUUAACAGAUGACAUAUGUAAUAGCACUCUGUAUAAAAACGCUAAUAUAGGUAGUUUAAAAAAAUAAAGGAAAAGUAUGAUAUCGCUUUUACAGGAACGCUAAUAUAAGGAUAUAUUAUUUGUUAGCACUUUAUGACUAAAUGCUAUCUUAGCCAUUGUCAAAUAAAAAAAAAUUAUUUUCCAAAAAAUUUAAAAAAACUGCAAAUGUUUUCAUCCUUUGGCGCUGAACUAUUUUUCCUUUCCCUCUCUUCUCCCAAAACCAGAUUUAACACAGUACCCUCUCAAAACCAGUACCCACAUCGAUCCAGACAACCCUUCUUCCUCUCAUCGUCGACCAAAACCAAUUUUCAUAUGAUCACAAAAAUGAAACCCUUCAAGCCCUAAACUAUCAUCUCAUCUUCUCACCGAACCCUUCAAACCCUAACCCUGUAAUCUCUACCCAUGGAUUCAUCUUAAUAGAAUCAUAACCCAUCAUCUCGUUCGAACUAAUCCACCAAACCCAUCAUCUCAACUUCUCAUCGAACCCUUUUCUGAAAGCGGCGAACUCGUAUGCGUAAGCCUUAUCCUUUUCUAUUUUGUUUUGAUUUUGAAAAUUUGAUUAUAGUUUUGUUUGAUUUGUUUAUGUUAUUUCGUUUCUGAUUCGUCUAGAUUUCGUUUGAUUUGUUAUUACUGGGUUUGAAGGUAUUGAAUGCUGCGGCCUUUUUGCCUAAUCUAUGCUAAUAAGGUACCUUUUGGUUAGUCUUUAUGUAUUCAUUUGGGGUGUUUGUUAUUUGAUUUGGAUAUUUGUUUGUGAAUUUGAGUAAUUUGGAUAAGUUCAUUAUGUUUAUCUGCCAUUAACUAGUGUACAUUAUUUCCCUUGUAAAUCAUCAAUUUUUAGUUUUGAACACAUCAAAACAAAUUAGUCCUACCUUAAUUUUAGUUGUAAUGUAAUUUUCAUAUCGUUCUCCGUCGAAACCAUUUGAAGAUAAGAACUCUUUCUGAUUCUUUUAUGAGUUUUAGGAUGUCAAUUUUGAUUUGGUGAUUUGAGUAAAGAAACUUAUUCUGAUAUGGUGAUUUGAUGAUUUCUUGUGUUUGAAAAACAUGGUUCUAGUAGACCCGAUACUGGGUUUCCUGUGGACUACAUUUGGUCUUGGAAUUGGUCGGUGUUUUGUUCUCUAGUCGUUUCGGUUCAGAGCUUGUUGAGUUCAAUUUCUGUCUGAUUGGUGUCCAUGAACUGUUGUCACCUGAUUUAUGUUGAAGGUUUUUGUGUGCUCAGGUGGGCCAGUUCAGCCCCGGGGGGAUUUUCUCUACCUCAUAAUUGUCGAAGUGUUUUAGUGUCUUUGAGUGCGAUAGGGUAGUAGUUCUGUUAAGGUGGCUUGGGAUUUUUUUUUUAAGGUUGUUUUAGUUAUGUGUUGGAUGUGUGUGUUAUGGUCAAGGAUAUUGUUAUUGGUUUGUUUUGGGGCUGUUCACUACAUACUAGUGUUGUUUUUUCAGGUGGUCUUGGUUGGCUUUAUUUUUGGGCCACUAGAGAUUUCUUGCUCAUUGCGAUUUUUUGCUUGGAGUUUGUAUUUAGUCUUUGUUUGUAUUCGAUUGAAAGAAUUCAAUUUGAACUUGUAAUUAAAAAAAUUCAAUCUGAACUAACGGAAAAAAAAAUUAACGUUAAGACUAUUGUGAUAAAGAGGAAAAGAACAAUGAGCAUCAUAUGUUUUUUGUUUUUGUUUUGACGAAUAAGAAUCAUAUGUUUUUUAAUAAUGAUUCUUAAAAAUUGAUGUCCCAUAUGUCUUACAAAAACUUACACAAUCAUUAUUGAUGUUGCACUUUCAAUUUUGGUUCAAUCAAAUGCAAAUUGUGGAGUAACUUAAGAAAGUCAGCAAAUUUUGAUGUUAUGCAUGUUAUAUAUUAUCCUAUAAGAAGUUUAUAUAUAGGAUCUGCCGAUCUGCAACUGACAAGAGCAGUCUGCUAAAAACAUGAAGAUGAUAAUGUAUUUUAUCAUACCCAUUGAUCUAUCCUGCUUUAAUAUGACAUGAACAGAUCCUAUAAUGCAUUUUAUCUUGUAUUUCAUUGCUGAAAUUCUCUAUUUGUCACUUAUGCUUGCUGACUGGUCUUAGGCUUCCUUUCAUUUCUACAACUUUUGUAAAAUUGUGUUGGUUGCCACAGUUAGGGAGUUGUUGGUUUGGAAUUUGACUAAGUAUUUUUAUACAUGUCUGCUAUCUUUCUCAUUUUCACAUUUUACCUUUGUUAUUUUGUAUUGAAAAUGUUGAAUAUGUCUUGCUUUUUGUCAUAUUCUAUAUGUGAAUGAUCCUACCUAUGAAGAGUUGUCUAUUUUGCAAGUAACGAUAAAUGAUCAACAUAAAAAAAAAUGUGAAAAUAGAGAUGUUGAGGAUGAUCCUUUCUUUAACACCCCUUAGAUUUGCUUGAUGUUGAACCAAUUACACAUAUUCCUGAUAUGAGAAACGAUCACAAUGGUGAGAUUUGGAUUAGAAAUCAUUUUGGGUAACUAAAAAACUGAAAACUUUGAAUCCAAUUAGAAUUAAGAGCAAAAGGCCAACUUGAUCUUCUAUGGAAUAUUGAUUUUUUUUAUUCUUUUAUUGUUAGAGUCUUAUUGUUAUUGAUUCUUAAUGUUAUUCAUUUAUGAUAUAGUAACUUCUUUACACUUUUUACAGGGAAAUGGCUUCUAAUAAUGAUGAAUGUGGUGUGACUCAGUUGCAAAAAAUUCACAGCCAAAAGCAAUCAGCAGUUUGGCGUUAAUAAAUAUUAGUGAUACUUUAGAGAUGGAAUUGGACAUGAUUUGUUGCUAAUUUUGGUUUCUGAAACUCUCUUAAUGUUAAUAUAUAUUAAUGAAACUUUAGUAAGAUUGCUGACUUUUUUUUUGCACUUCAAUUUUGUUAUAGGUUCAAUGGAAUGCAAGAGGUCAACCAAUCAAGCAUAAGAACAAGGAUUUUGCUAGUUUCGUUGGUGUCACAGUUCUUCACUUAGUUCCGAUUGCUAACAUUGGUGUCACAUUUGGGAUGACAUUCAAGUAACACACAAACUGAAGCUAGUUUUAAAAUUUUAUUUAAGUUAAUCUAUUUGUAGGGUUGUUUAAAUAAUUGUUUAGAACUAAACUGAACCUUGAACUGAACUCUCUUUUAAAAAGCUGAACUGAACUGUCAAAGUGAUUUACAAACUGAACAGAUUAUAGUUUUGCCAGAUUAUAGUUUUACUUCAUCAUAUUACCAAUUGCAAUUAUAGUACUAGUGAUACUGUUAAAGGCCACCUUUUUAUUAUCUAUUUGCAAAUAUAUAUAUAUAUAUAUAUAUAUAUAUAUAUAUAUAUAUAUAUAUAUAUAUAUAUAUAUUCUGAAGUUAAUAUUUUCCUUCCAUGACAAAUAUAUAUAUUCAAUUUGUAUUUAGUUCGAAGGUUGGAAGUUCUAGUCUUAAUCUGUGGCUAUGAGAGCUGGUCACUUUGGAAUUUUUUGGUUCGGCUGCUGUUGCGUGGGAUGGGCAGUGCUUCGGUUGGAAGUUGUUCCUAGUUUCUGCUGUUUUGUUGUCCUUGUUUUUUAGGUGAUAUUUCUUUUGUUAAGGGGAUAUGAGUAAAUUGUUUCGAAUUGAGCACCGUUGUAUUCUAUUGGAAAAUUUGGCUAUGUAAUACCCUUUUUUUUAUGUUAUCUGUAGACAGGUUUUGGAUCUUAUCAUAUUAUAUAUGCAAUAAGUAAAUAAAGUUUUAUUUGAUAUUGGAAAUUGGAAUGUAGUAUAUAGCUGCAUUUGGAUUACAAACCUAUCCUACUAGUGAUAUAUAUGUUACGCGUAAUUUUUUUUAUAGAAAAAGUUAGCCUUUUAAUAGCACUUUGUACAGAAAUUGCUAUUAAAGUUACAUCAUAUGUUAGCACUUUAAAAUGAAAGUGCUAUUAAAUUCUAUUCAAAAUACUUAUUCCAAAGCGUAAAAAUGCAUACUACAAUAGCACUUUUCAUGAAAAUGCUAUUAAACACCAGGCUUUUAAUAGCCCUUUAAAAGUGCUAUUAAAAACAGUAUACUUACAAUAGCGGCGGCUUUAAUAGCACAUUUUAGUGCUAUCAAAGGGCAAAAAAAGUGCUAUUAAAUCCCUUUUUUGGCGUAGUGAUAUCACAUCCAUUAUGCAAGUACUCAAUGCCACGAGCCACCCCAAGAGAAAUGGCAUGCAAUUUUUCACAACUCAAGGAAUUACUCUCUUCAUUAUGAGAAAAUAUGUAUUUUUCCAGUGACCCAUUUGGCAUGAAUUCAUAUAUAAGAACACGUUUUGAACCCUCCACGCAAAAACCAAUAAGGUGUACCACAUUAACAUGGUGAAUCCUACCAAUGGUGACAACUUCAUUGAUGAAAUCUUGACCAUUGGACUUGGCUUUGUCCAAUAAUUUGACUGCUACAAGACAACCGCUUCGUAGUUGUCCUUUAAAAACAGUUCCAUAACCUCCAUUGCCUAAUUUUGUUUUGAAUUGUUCUGUUAUCUUUUUUAUGUCUUUGUAAGAGUACCUUAUCGGCAUGAUGCUAUUGUCACUCCUCAGAAAAUCUUCAAUGCCAUCAUACACAGAUAAAUGUUCCCGUCGACAUUUGUAGAUUAAUAAUACAAUGAUGCAAGGCGCUCCAAGGACAAAUUUAACAAUGCUGAACAAAAAGCCAACCGAAGUUACCCAAACACCUAUAAAGAAAUGGAAAUGAAAUAAAGAAAAUGAAGUUAUAAUAAACUUCAUUAUUUAAAAUUGUCUAUUUGGAACAUACAGAAGUAAAAAUUGAAAAAUAUGAUGCUAUAUAUUUCAAUCAAUAUAUUUCACUUUUUUUCUUCGAAAUAUAUUUAUCUAACCAGAUAACUUUUUAGGUCAUCAGUGUCUUUUGCUAUUAACCAACAGGUUCAUCCAAUAAAGAUGGUGCUAUGAAGCCAAUUCACAGAAUAAUUGAUAUCCAGACAACUUGGGAAAAUUCUGUGUCAAGACCCAAUUGUAAGUCAAAAGUACCAUUUUACGGAAGAGAUGAGAUAUUGACCCUCAUUUAUGCUGCCACACGUCAGGCAUUUUACACACAUGGAAAGCAUGUUCGCAUUAGUUGUGCCACAUUUGACACUAUGCUCGUUGCGCUCAAGAACCAAUCAAAGACUGCAAGCGCAUUUAUUAGUACAAAAUCAAGGUGUUUGGAUGUAUGUGCGGCACGUUUAAAUGAAAGCUCAGAAAUUUUCUUUAAGAUAUCCUAACUUCAUCCAGAUGCAACAAUUAGGAAUUUUGAUAGAGAGAAAACAUAAUAGCAGUUCAAGCAACCUAUAAGGUGGCGAUUUUCAUUCAAGACAAGAUUGAAGAUAUAUAACAUCUCAAUUAAAUGUAUUGUUUCUUAUACAUUUAAUUAAGUUGUUAGCUAUUAUGAACGGUUAUAUUCGUUAAAUUAGGAUUGGAUGAUGAUCAUAUUUGAACCUAUUUUAACUAGGUAAUCUAUGAAUCCUAAUAUUUGCAAUAUGAGACUUAAUGUUUAUUCAAUGUUAAGGAGCCUCACAUUGAACAAAAUAUGGUAUGAACGUGUGUUUGUAAGUGAGGAUAAUCCACAUCUCACAUGCCGGCUUUGUAAGAAUUCUCACAAGCUGCUCCUAUAGAUCUCGGUCCAAUACAUUCACCUCACCAGCGGCAAUUAACCAGCAACGGCAGUUCUACCAUUGUGCUUUAAUCAACCUCAACCAAACUAUAAUUGUUACAUUUUAUUUAAUUGUUUUUUUUUUUUUAACGAUUCAACUGCUAUAUUAAAAUGUUUAUUUUAAUUAUUGUUUUAUUUUAAUUAUUGUCAGAGAGGUGUCACAAGUAGACUAUCUCCAUCUACUUGUUUGGGAUAUGACCGUCACACUCGAUGAUGUAGCGUGUAUUCUGUACAUCCCCAUCGAAGGGAAGCUCAUGGCACACACCUUUAGGUGUUGAUCUGAUGACGAUCCUAUUGGGUGUAUAUAGGGAUCAUGAUGCAAUUAAGCAUACAUGCGCACAGUGGGGUGAAUAUGUGAGUAUUCCAUGGUUGAAGAAGUUGUACGAGGGCUACCUUAGUCGGUGCAAUGAGUUAGAGGAGUCAACUGAUCCUAAGGGGGAGGUGGAGAGAGACCUCACACAGGAUGUAAUCAAAUUAUUUAUGCGAAGCCAUAAUCCGAAUUAUGCACGGGAGUUCCCACAUGCCAACCACUUUGUUCUAACAAGGGGCCAUGCUUCACGAAGUCAUCACAAAGGAAUCUUAGAUCAUAUUCCGAUGGAGGACGUGAUCUUCAGCAUGUACGAUGAUCACUAGGACGUUGUGCCUUUUGCGGAUAUAUGCUGGUACUCUUGGUUGGAUCAUGUGGAUCAUUAAGACGAUGUGCCAUCACUUGCCGAAGUGAGUGAAGAGGCAGUACGAGCUUGUCCAGAACAUUCUGAGGCAUUCUCGCUCCGUCGAUCUUCUUGAUCCACCCCAGAUAGUCCAGGCCUUCCGGGAUUUUAUGGUCCAUGUCAUACUGUUGGUUGAGGAGGGUGUGGUGGCAACAGAUCUUUGGUGGACUAUAGGGAGAUACAUGACUUGGUUUUGCCGUGUCUCUCAUCCGAUGAUGAUCGCACUAGUGCAAGUUGUUGAGUUACCUCGUCCUAGGCCUCCUAAUAAGGAGGUUAUUAUUUAGGAGAAGUAUGCAAGAGAGUGUCCUAACACACUAUGAGAGUAUGUUGAGGAGGAUCCAUGAUGAGAUGCUCCUAGUGACAUAGAUACCUCAACGCAAAAAAAUCAGAAAAAACAUUAAGAUUAAAUCAGAAAAUAUAAUCCGAUUUUUUUCAAAAUUAAAAAGAUUUUAAAAAAUUAUGGAAUUUUAAUUUAAAAAUACAAAUCAGAUUUUCAAAAUAAAAAAAGGUCAUAUGUUUUAAAAAAAAAAAUCAGGAAAAAAUUUUAAUUUUUAAAAAUCUGGACGUAAAUUUAGAAAAAAUUCAGAUUGUUUAUUCGAAAAUUUUAUUAAAAUUCCAGAUCUUUUUUUUUUUUUUUUUACAAUUUUUUUAUUAUAGCCCCAAAAUGGAUUUUUGUUAGAAUCAUUACCCAAAAUCGUAAAAUAUUCAUAAUUUUGUAAAAAUGAUUUUUUUUCAAUAUUUUAAUUUUAAAAAAGAUUUUAUAAAAAUUCAGGAAUAAAAUUUUCGAAAAAAAAAAUCUGAAUUUUAUCUAAAUUUGUAUCCAGAUUUUUAAAAAUUAAAAAAAAAAUUUCGAUUUUUUUUUUUUGUAUUUUAAAAAUUAAAUUCCAAAAUUUUUUAAAAUCUUUUUAAUUUCGAAAAAAAUUUGAUUAUAUUUUUCUAAUUUUUAAAUUUUGAAAAAAAAUUUGGUAAUAAAAUUUUUUCCAGAUUUUUUUUAAAAAGUUUCCGUAAAAGAAAAAUUAUUUCAUUUUUUACAAUUUUAUUUAUUUUCAAAUUUUUUAAAUUAAUUUUCUAUUUUUAAAUUAAUAUAAAUGAAUUUACAUUAUUUUUUUUCGAUUUUUUUAAAAUUUUCAUAAUAAAAUCUGAUGUGGCGAAUUAAUAAAAUAAAUGGAAAUGUUAACUUGUGCGCUUAGGAAGGGCACAAGAUAAAGAUCUUAAAAUAGAUUCCAAUAAUAAAUAUUGCAUUGAAAAGAUAAGUUUUUAAGAUUUUAAAGUUUAAAAUGCACAAUUUUCAAGGUUAAGUUUCUACAUUUAGUUUCUUAUCUUGUGCCCCAUAAAAUAAAAAACCAAGUCAGCGCCACAUAAGCGAAUUUGGUGAGUUGGACAAGGGAGGGGGGUUUUCUGAUUUUUUUUUUUUACGAGAAUGUAAAUCAAGCCAAAAAUUUUAUAGAGCGAAAAGUGAAAAUGACAUAUAUUACGGAGGUGAAAAACACUAUUAACCCAAAAUAUUUUCUAAACUUCAUUUUAAGUCUCACUUUGUCUAGCAUGUCUUGCAUUGACUUAAAACAAUGUGAAGGCUUACCUAAGAUCAAGGUAUCUUCUAUUAUGACCUCCCAACCAGAAAAGCGAAAUACUGCAACAUAUACACAAAACAUAGUUAACAAAUAAAUUUCCAAAUCGUCUAUUACCGAUAUAGUGAACUAUAUAGACCCAUUUCCAAAUGGUAGAAUCCAUAUGAAAUUUAUUAUUCAUGCACCUCACAAACCGAUUUUGAAAGGAUGAGUUAGACCUCAAAUUUCAACAUAACAUAUUCACGCACCAAGCUAAACAUAUAACUCAAUUUAUAUUCAACACAAUUUUAACCAAAAUCAAUUUAGUCAUCAUUAAUUUCAUAGGUUGUCUAAAUAUUGAGUGAAGUUGUUUGUAGCAAAUUACCUGGACGACGACAAUGAAGGUGGUUAUUUUGAUCAAACUCUGCAUGCCAAUCAUCUUUACAAAGACUAUUGAGCCAAGAGACUUCAAAUCCAUAAGACAUCAUACGGUUGAUGUCCGUGCAAGAAAUGUUAUUGUUGUUGCCAUCUUGAGGAGACCAAGAUGUGAGAAACAUAAGCUCUAUACGACAUCCAUCUCUCAACCCCAACUCCGAAAGAGUUUUGAAGUAGCCAUCAACAUAGAAAGAAUUCUCGUACCGUGAAUACAAACUACUAUUCCUACAGUUAUCUCUGUAUAUGUAACCAGCCUGGUUCGGACAGCUCACAUGCAACAUAAGUUUCGUCAAUCUAUUGCUCAACGAAUUGUUUUUUUCUAGAUAAGGUACGUAGAUAUUUGAGGUGAAAAAAGGACUGAAAUCACUAGGAGGGAUGGAGUUAUUAGAAAGAAUAUUGAAAUACGAUAGUUGGAUGGUAAAGUUGUUGUAAUUAAUUGAUUGUACAUAGUAUUUUCCAAAUGAACCAUGGUACAAAAUCAAUUGAUUGUUGUCCUCACAUGAUAGGUUGUACCUAUUGUCACCACAUUUUUUGGGACUGUCUUUCAAUCGGAAAGGGUGGCUGAUGUUAUGAACACCGCACCUUCUUGAACAUGACUCUUGUUGUUCAUCACCAUACACUUUGUCGCUCAGUAGCAACACUACUGCCACCAUAACAAAGGACGUUAAGGAAAGCAUUUUUGAAUUUUUUAUCAUAGCAAUUAGAAAUUCAUACUCACAAUUUAAAUGCAUAAGAUCCGUAUAAUAAAAAUACAUCACAUUUUACUCUUGUUGAUUGGAGGAGUUACGUACUAGCACCACAUAUAUCUUAUCAAAAACAAAAAUAACUAGCACCACACUAUAUAUAUAUAUAUAUAUAUAUAUUUAAAAUCAACAUAUUAAAUUUAAAGAAAAAUUUAAUUAUAGUCUAAUAAAUUAUAACUUUUUAAGUUUCGUUACUACAAAAAAAUUAUUCAAUCCUUGCCUAAACAAUGAGUGUUUUUGGUCAUUUAAUCUUGAUAAGAGCAAAUUAAGGAUUAAAAUUAAAUAAACUAUUAGGAACUUAACUUAAAAAUCGAGAAUGUUCUAUAGACUAAAACCAAAUUUAACCCUAAACUUAACUAAUAUGUUAAAAAAAACACAAUAAUUUUUACUUACAUGAAAUGUAAAUAAAAGCAAUAACAAAGAAAAUAAAAAUUGACAAUAACUAUUUAAAAAAGUUGGGCUCAACACAUUUUAAAAAGUUAAUUUUCUUCAGAAUUGAUUGCAUACUAAAUAUACUAAUAAUGUCUUUUUCAAUGUAAACAAAUAAGUUAUUUGAAAAAAGAAAAAAAAAAACUCAUUAUAUGUUUAAUUUGUUUCACUAUUGUUUUGACAAUUUUUAUUCUUCCAAAAGUUUUCUUCAAAUUUGUUAUUGAGAUCGAAAGUGUUGAACUAAUACAAAUAAAUCUAUCAAUAUCCCGUAGUAAUUUCUUAAAUUUCUUAUUUAUGUUAAUUUUUAACAAAUAAAUUUGUUUGGGGUAGCUAAAUAUUUUUUAUUUGGGGUAGCUAAAUAUAAAAACAUACCAACAUAUUCAAGAAUAAUACUUUUUUUGGGGGUAGUCAUAGCUACCUCAUGCUAAUGAAGGGAACCGCCCCUAUAUAUAUAUAUAUAUAUAUCUAUAUAUAUAUAUAUAUAUAUAUAUAUAUAUAUAUAUAUAUAUAUUGAAGAGAAAUGAUAUAUGUAUAUAUGUUAAACUAUUUUCUUACAACUUUUGAACAAUAUUUUCUUUUAUUUAGUUUUUACUCUCUCUAUAGAAGACUUGUGUAGUUGACUUGAAUUACCCGUUAACUAAUUUAAUUACAAGUAUUUGCAUUUGACCCAAACAAACAAUUCUAUCUCACGAGGGAAAUUACUAGGAAGCUGUUAUAGUGAAAGUGAGUUUGAAAAAUUCCUAUAAUAAACAGAGUCAAGACAUAGUACUAUUACUCAAGAAUCAAUACCAUGAACACUCAUUAUGUUAUGGCUUUAUUUUUGUUCAUGGUUUACUUUGUUGUUAGAACAACUACAGCCAUGGUCAAUGAUUCUCCAGAUUUAAGAUGUGGAAAUCAAGUUAUUAUCAAAUUCCCUUUCCAUAUCAAAAACCAAAAUCCAAAUCCAUCUUUGUAUGGCUAUCCAGAUUUUGAGUUAUUUUGUUCAUCAAAUAAUGAAACUAUGAUUGAACUUCCUUACAAAGUGAAACUCAAUGUUAAGAACAUUGACUACAAACACCAAACCAUUGAACUAUUUGACCCACAAAGUUGUCUUUACAAACAUAUCCACAACCUCAAUCUUUCAGAAUCUCAUUUCAACUACGUGAAAUAUGACUAUGAAGAUUUUGUCGACCAUCACUUUUUCAAUUGUUCGCUUUUGAAUAGAGAUGACAUAAAUUCUUAUUUGGUUCCGUGUUUAAGUACAUCAACCUCUCAAAUAUACGUUAUCCUCUCUUCUGAAUCAAUCGACUACCUCCCUCUUUCUUUUUGCACCAAAAUGUUUAAUGUUUCAUUAAUCAGCAUUUCUCGUUCUGUUCCAAACCAAAAGUUUCUUCGUUUGAUGUGGUCUGAGCCUAAUUGCAAACAUUGUGAAUCAAAAGGAAACAGAUGUGGCUGGAAGAAUACUACUAGUACUACCAACAAGGAAGUAGAUUGCUUCGCCAAAAACCACAAAGGUAAUUUUUACCUAGCUAACUGUUUGUACUCAGAAUUGUUAUUUCGCUUCUUCAGUCUCCUGAAUCUUGCAUAUAUUAUGCAUUGUCCCUACAAAUUGAGGUAAACUCACGAGGACAAUUAUUAUUCAUCCUCUAUUAUGUGGUUAACAUAUUUAAGAAACUAUAGUUAAGAGCGCUUCUAAUAUGGACCUAUAAUUUUUUAGCAAAAUAUCACACGUUUAAUUUCCACCCACUUUUUCUCUUACAAAAUUCACUAUUUUACUAAAUUUGAUAGAGAUUCAUAUUUGGAUUCUUCUUUUGGACUCUAUUGAAAACAGCCAUAUUCUUAUAUUAUUUUUUACAUUUUCAAUUUUUUUAGCUAACUAGGAAGAUGGAUGAAGAAAUGUCUAAACAUAGUUCACCUGAUUAAAACAAACAUAAAAUAUUUGUUGACUAAUAGAUUAUCUAACCAUGGUUAACUUAGUCAUGACUUAGAAUUUUCAAUUCUUGUAAAUAUAUAAUCAAUCUUUAAUUGCAUUUAAAAUUAUUUCAGAACAUUAACAAAUAUAAACUGAGUUUUGCAAGUUUGAUUUUUAUAGGUUCAUCAACGACGCUAGUCAACACAGGUCAGCUAUACAUUCUGUAUUUUCUUUAUUUUAAUUAUAGCAUGUAAGAAAAUCAUUUUUUUUUUAAAUUGUUUUUCAUAAAUGCAGGGUCAAUUUUAGGAUCAAUGUUUUUUAUCUUGCUCACCGCUGCAGUCUAUCAUAUUUACGACUCUUACAUUCUGAAAGGCAAUCAAAAUAAUCAAAUUCAACUAUAAUAUAAAAUCAUAUUCAAUUUCAUAAUACGAGAAUAAUCAACUUUAAAUAAAGUAUAGAAAUCCAACUUUAGUGAAAAUAAUCAAAUAGGUGAAUCGAGAACUACCUCCAUCUCGUUGAUAGUCUUCUCCUCCUAAUGAUGGCCUUUCCAUAGGGGCGGCUCAAUCUAUCGGAUAGCUCUUUUCUCUCGACUCAAAACAAAGUGUAAAACAUUUUCAAUUAGGGAGUUUACAUCUCAUCGAUAGCCCUCUCCUCCUAAUGGUGGCCUUUCCAUAGGGGCGGCUCCACCUAACGGAGUAACUCUACCUAACUGAUAUCACAUACUAGGUGCACUUAGGUCGUCGUCAUUAUACCCGUAAUUUUCAACCGGCUUGUGAGGUGAGGAUUGCCUUCACUUAUAAACACAUGUUCAUGCCACAUUUUUAUUAGAAUUUUAAUAAAUUCAGUUAGUUAGAGAGUUUAUCAUUUGAGUUAGUUAAAAGUCGAGAAAAACAAGGGUUAACUUGUCGGUUAAGUAAACUUAAGAUAACUAGUUUGUAAUAGUUUUUUUUACAGUUUUUGUAUAUAAAUACCUAUGCCUAGUUGCUGAUUAAUAAUAUGAGAAGCAUUAUAUUCUCAAGUCAAUAAAGUUUGUUUUAAAUUUUUCUGUUUCUCUCUAAUCUUCUAAAACCCUGCACUUAUAAGUUUCUUCACUUUCUCUCAAUUUGUUCUAUCAAUUUUGUCUGAUGUGGGACUCUUUAACAUUAAGUAUCUUUUACAAUCAAUCAAUGACAUAAACUAAGUUUGGCUAGUAUGAUUUUGUAGGUUCAUCAACGGCUCUAGUCAACACAGGUCAGCUUUUGAGUUUAAAUUUGCUUUAUUUUAAUUCUAACCUGUGCCAAAAUUACCAUUUUUCUUAAAUUAGUUUUCAUAAAUCCAGGAUCAAUUCUAGGAUCGCUGUUUUUUGUCUUGUUAACCGGUGCAGUCUACCACGUUUAUGACUCUUACAUACUGAACAAAGCAAAACAAGCAAUUAUAGAAAAGUUUUUAGAAGAUUAUAGAGCUCUUAAACCCACGAGAUACUCUUAUGUAGAAAUUAAGAGAAUCACAAAUAACUUUAGUGACAAGUUAGGACAAGGUGCCUAUGGAACUGUAUAUAGAGGAAGCAUUUCAAAAGAAAUCAUUGUUGCUGUGAAGAUACUAAAUUUUUCUCAAGGAAACGGGCAAGAUUUCCUCAAUGAAGUUGGUACAAUUGGUAGAACCCAUCAUGUUAAUAUUGUUAGAUUGGUCGGUUUCUGUGCUGAUGGAUUUAAAAGAGCUCUUAUUUAUGAAUUUUUACCAAAUGGUUCCCUGCAGAAGUUCAUAAAUUCACCAGAAAACAAGAAAAACUUCCUUGGUUGGAAAAAGUUGCAUGAAAUUGCUUUAGGUAUAGCUAAAGGAGUUGAGUAUCUUCAUCAAGGUUGUGAUCAACGCAUCCUUCAUUUUGAUAUCAAACCACAAAAUGUGUUACUUGACCAUAACUUCAUUCCAAAAAUAUCUGACUUUGGUCUAGCUAAAUUAUGUUCAAGGGACCAAAGCGUAGUUUCAAUGACCGCAGCUAGAGGAACAUUGGGGUACAUUGCUCCAGAAGUUUUUUCAAGGAACUUUGGAAAUGUGUCUUACAAAUCAGAUGUUUAUAGUUAUGGAAUGAUGUUGCUUGAAACAAUAGGAGGGAAGAAAAUCACAGAGGAUUUAGAGGAAAACAGUAGUCAUGUUUACUAUCCGGAAUGGAUUUAUAAACUUAUAGAUGAUGAAGAGGAAAUGAGAAUUCAUGUUGACGAUGAAGGGGAUGAAAAAGUUGCAAGGAAAAUGGCCAUUGUGGGACUAUGGUGCAUUCAGUGGCAUGCUAUGGAUCGACCAACAAUGCAAAUGGUGGUUCAGAUGUUGGAGGGAGAUGUAGACAAAACUCCAAUACCUCCCAAUCCAUUUGCUUCUCAAUCUAGACAACCUAGGAGAAAUGGUGGAGUUGCAAUUACUAGACAACUCACUCAAGAGUUAGAUGUAAUUCAAGAGUUGGAAUGACUUACAAUUGUAAAAUAUGUGCCUAUUUCUGAUUUAUAAGUAUAGCCUUUGAACCAUAAUCAGCCUGCUUUCACUCGCUCCCACACAUAAAUCUCUACGUAUUGUGUAUAACCGGACCUUAUAUAAAAAAUAUUUGAACAACAAUGCAUAUGUUGUUUGUAUGGGUUUCCUGUAGUCGCUGGUCAUCACUAAAACAGUUGAGUACCAAUGCAAAUGAAUAACAAAUGUACUCAUCUAUUAGAAACAGAAACACUGAAUGAAUCAUGCUACUAAUGACUAUCCAGAAACACUGGUCAUUAUGCCUUUUGAGCGCUGCAAAUGGUGCUUCGGAAGAACUUGAAUGCAUUAGCUGAGCAAUCUAGCCAAAUUUAUUUUCCUUUUUGGAUUUAUGAUCAGUUACAUGAUGGAAGUGAAGUAACAAUUGAGAAUGACACAGAUGAAGAAAUGAAAUUGGCAAAGAAAAUGAUGAUUGUGGCAUUAUGGUGUAUUCAGACAAAACCUAGUGAUCGUCCUUCAAUGGAUAAAGUGAUUGAGAUGCUUGAAGAAGAAGAUGGGGAUUUGCAAAUGCCUAAUAAGCCUUACCUUUAUCCACAAGAUAUACCAGCAGACGAUGUUAGAGAUGAUAGUACUAGCGUUUCUUGGUCUUCCUCUGGUGCAUCAAGAAUUGAUUCCAUGGAACAAGCCUAAUAAUCCCUCCCAAUUUGCAUCGAACUUCUUGGUUCAUGGCAUUUCUAACCAAUCAAAAUUACACUAUGAGUAUCGAUAGCAAUGUAAGACAAAAUAAAACAGAUGCAAUCAGACUGAUAUAAUAUUGAUUACUUGUUAGUGUUUUCUCUAUUUAUUUUUCAUUAUCUGCAAGUUAAACUGUUGUUAAAUGUAUUUUACAUACUUAUAAAUGUCCUCCUUUAUUUUUUGGUGAAAAAAGGGUCUAAAGACCCUAACAACUGGAAACCACAAGGAAAGACAACAGCUGAAGAUUCAGCAAAAACAACGUUCAAAAUGAAAUAGGAACAAAGUCAAAUACAAAAACAUUACUCUAGUCAAAGUAACAUACAAAAAUAAAAGUAACCGAACAUGUUACCAUUUACACUAUUAUUUACAACAUCACCUUUAGCUUUGAAAUCAAGGUCUGUUGAGGAACACUCAUCCGAAAGAAAUCUUCUUGCCACCUGUCUGAAUCAGACUCAAUAUAUGGAAAGUUUUAAAGCCUCUUCUCCAUGCCAGUCUAGUGCAAAUAAGAAUGUAGAUCGUGGCUUAACACAUUUCUUUAUUUUAGAAGUUACUUUAAAUAAUGAUGGUUUUACUUUCAAUCUUUUGGUCUGAUAAUUCUGUUGAAAAUGCUCAAAAGGUUAUUGAAACAAAAUAUUAAGGGACCAAGAAUGUCACCAAAGCUGUUGCAACAUUUAAGGUAUAAAGUUAUAGUAUUCUAUGUCACUCAUGCACUCUUCAGAAUUAAUUUUGGCUUAUCUAAAAUGAAUACAUUUCCAACUACUAAUUGUGAAUGCAAUUUGUAGCGCUCCUCUAUAAAAAGAAGACUAUUCUUCUUCUUUUAGCUCUAUGCAAGUAGGAUUUUAUCUUCAUCAGCAACUUGAUACAAGCAGUUUUAUGGGGGUGUCUCGCUGUACCGAGUCUCUGAUGUGAAGGAGAUGAAGCAGGCUGAUUCUAGUUCAAGAGCGAUUUCUAAAUCUUCUAGUGAUUGUUGUCUCAUUUGUUAGAUAAUAAGAUUGGGCUUAUGUUAUUGGACAUUUAUGUUUCUAAGAAGGGCCGACUAAGGCCAAGUGCAAGCAGCCCUAUUGCACAGGGCAUCCAAAUUUUGGGGGUCAAAAAUAUAAUAAAAAAAUUAAAUAAAAAAUAUUUAAGGAUCAUUGUUUUUGACAUUUAGUUUCACUUUGUGAGGGAGUUCAUCAUAGUUUCAUUAUUUGAUGAACAAAAUAACUCAAAGCCAGGGUAGCCACACAAAGAUGGAUUUGGAUUGUGGUUUUUGAUAUGGAAAAGAAAUUUGAUAACUUGAUUUCCACAUGUUAAAUCUUCUUGACAGUUAAUUACCGUGGCUAUUGUUGUUCCAACAACAAAGUAAACCAUCAACAACAACAAUCCCAUAACAUAAUAGCAAGUGUUCAUUAUCUUGAUUCUUAUGAAAUAGUAAUAUGAUUGUAUGAAUAUUUCAAACUCAUUUUGACUUCAGCUCCCUAAUAAUUUCUACUGUAACAUAAGAGCUUAGUCAAUUCACAAGUUUCUUUGACUACACAAGUCUUCUAGCUAGCUUCCGAGACACUGCAUUUAAGUCUUUACACAUGUUUCUUUUGUAAGGAAAAAAAAAAAUUCUUGACUAUGACGAUAUGGUGGUCCACUUUGAAUUAGUAGUACAUGAAAAAAGAAUAUCAUCUGGAAUUUCAAAUGUUACUUAACGACUUUUUUUCGACAAUAGUCUUACGUCAACUUUAAGAAGUGACGUUCACGGUACUAAUAUUCUCAGGAACACUUUCGACCCAAGGCAAACCCUUGAUAAAAGUCUUACAUCGACUUUAAGAAGUAACAUGACUCUUGUUGUUCAUCACCAUACACUUUGUUGCUCAUCAGUAACACUGUUGCCACUAUAACAAAGGACGUUAAGGAAAGCAUUUUUAAAUUUUUUAUCAUAACAAGUAGAAAUUAAUACUCACAAUUUAAAUGCAUGUGAUCCGGCGUGUAAUAAAAUUAAAAAUAUAUGACAUUUUACAUCACGGCAGUAUCGUGGAAGCUGCUAGCAUUUGGCAAGGUCGAAGACUUUUAUAGUCUUCGGAUGAAUUUUAAUAGAUGUUGAUAUGAGUAGAUAGAUCAAUUAUUUGUUCUCGUAGGUGUUACGUCCUAGCACCACAUAUAGCUUAUCAAAAACAAAAAUAACUGGCACCACAUAUAUAGUGAGAGACUCGCGUGUUGCCUGGGCGUAGAAAAAGUUUUUCCUUAUAUCAAAUUUGAUAAAGUUAAUAGUGUAAGGUUUCUAAACAAAAUAAAUUAUACAAAAAUCUAACCUAUGAAAGUGAUAAUAUUAUUUUCAAGCACAUAAAGAGGUUAGUCAUGAAAAGCAAAUGUAUUGGACAAUCAUCCACCUAAACUCUUGCUUGCAGCUCAAAUUUCAGCAUUAGUUAGUAAACUUGCACAUAUGUUAAUAUGAUAUGAUGAUGAUUAAGUAUCCAAAUUAAUGGAUUGAUCAGUUUAUAUUAAAAAAAAUAAAAGUCAUUUCAGAUAGAAAUCAUGCAAAUAAUAGUGUUAUUAGUCUCUCGAUCAAACAAACUAACAAUAACCGUUGUGAAUUCGAACAAACAAUCACACCAAUAAAACUUACAUAUGUAGAGUAAAGAAAGUAGUAAUCAAUGAAUAAAGUAGCCUCAAGGUACAACAAAUAGUCCUAAAAUUAAGUGUGAAGCAACACCACAUGCAGAUUCAUAGCAACGAAGAUAAAAAAAAAAAGUGGAGAAAAUUAAACAACACACCAAUAUUGUUUACCCAGUUCGGUUUAGAAUGACCUACUCUUGGUGAAAGCAACUCUUUGAUCCACUAAUAAGAGUGAUACAAAUAUGUUACAAGAAAUUAACUUAAAAGAUAACAAAUAACAAACCCUAAUUUCUACCCAUUUUUCAAGUCACCCUCACUCACGUUGAAUCCUAAAAGAAAAACACUAAAGGAAGCUUUUUUUUAUCAUUCCUCUAAUGACAUUUCACUAUCCAAGGUGUUUAAAAAUGUUUCCCAACCUAAGAAAUUAAGAAACUCUCACCACAUACACUCAGCCUUAAAGUUCCCUCAUUUGGUUUCAUAAGUUUCUCUCUUCAAGCUUUCCCAAAGCAUGAAGAAUGAAGUCUUAUAUAAUGCUCAUAUCCCCCGAGAGAAUUGUUCCACGUUAGGCACCCAUCGUGCCAUGAUUGUGUUGGAACAAAAUGUGUUUCACAAUGAACCUUAUUAAGUUUUGAUGAUAACAAGGUAUUAAAAAUUGUCAAUUGGUUAUUACUAAUAAUUGUUCAAGUGUACAGGACCAAAGGCUACUCAAGUUAUUUCAAUAGGUCUUGGAAGAACAAUGGAAAGAAAAAGAAAUUCUGAGCAUCUGAAGAAAACUGCUCCUGAAGCUGAAGUGCUUCUGAAGAGAUGACGUCAUUAGAAGCAGAAGGUCAUCAGAAGCAAAAGUUUUCAUCAGAAGCAAUAUCUUCACCAGAAGCUAUGUUUGAUCCUUUAAUCAAACUAAAGAUUCAAAGUAGCUGAUUCUCAAUUCAGUCUUAUCAAAGAAGAACGAAGAAUUGAAAGGGAGGUAUCAACGGAUAUAUGGAUAGCACUGAGCACUUGUCUCUCAUUAAUAGAGUUGACAAAGUACAAGUGUACAACCACUACCUCCACUACUCUGUUUUCUGUCUACGCUACAAGACAAAACAACAGCCAUGCCUGCAGAAUUUGUACACUCAAGAUGGGAAUGAAUUUGAAGUUUAUUCUUCAAAGGACUACACCCAAAUCAGGCAAAGGAUCACUGGUGGAUAAUCAAAGGAUUUCAAACGACUCUUUAGAAGUGCUGAUUAUCUCAACGUCUCUUUCACGCCUCUAUAUAAAGGAGUGAAGACUUGAAGAUUGCAGAUAGAGAUACAUAAGUUCAAAAGCGCCAAAACUCUGUCAAUUUGAUUCUACAAAGCACACUGAAUUUCUGCACUGAUUUGAUACAUCUUAGAAAUUCAAAGUCUAGAGUCUUUUCUGCAUUGUAUUGUGAACACCACUGAUUGUAUAUCAAGUGUUCAAUUCAAACUCAAUUCUCUGUAUUUUUGUUUGAUUAGAAGUCUCUUGCCUGCGUGCUUGAGCAUUAGAAGUCUCUUGCUUAGUGCUUGAGCAUUGGAAGACUCUUGCGUGUGUGCUUGAGCAUUUUUGUGAAGUCUCAUACUUAGAAAGUAUUGAGCAGUUGUAAUCUUUGUGAUUAUAGUGAAAUCUCCUUGGAAGUGCAAGGGGGACCGGACUACUUCCGUGUUGUGGAAGGAACCAGGAUAACUGCUUGUGUCUUUGUCUUUCUUUUCUCUGCUCUGUUCUUUUCCGCUGCAAUCUGACUCUGAUCAUUUCAUCAGAAGCAAUCAAACUGCUUCUGAAGUUUUAUCAGAAGAAGUAUUUUUUAAGAGAAAAAGAAAACACAAUUCAACCCCCCCCCCCCCCCUUCUUGUGUUUUUCACCUUCAGAUUGCAGUUAGUACACUAGUACAAUACUGCAUUAUAUUUGUUAAUCGUUCCACGAUGCCUUUCCAUUAUGACAUGGUAUUUCCAGUGUCAACCUCCCAAAAAAUGAACCAAAAUCGUGUUACGAUCCCAUGCUCACGUGCCACGGUUUUCAAAAACUUCAACAUCCAAUUUUGAGCAAAUUUGAACAAUUUACAACACCGUCUUUAGGUUGAAAAACAAGGAUACCAGCCACAAGUUGUGCACUAGGGUUUGUAAAGGAACACUUACCCGAAAGAAAUUUAUCGACACAUGUGAAUCAGACACAAUGAGUAAAAUGUAGAUUGUGGUUUAACACAUUUCUUUAUUUUAAAAGUUACCCUAAACAAUGCUGGUGUUAAUUUCAAUCUUUUGAUCUUAUAAUUUUAUUAAGGGACCAAUAAUGUUAUUGAAGUUGUUCCUUCAUUUAAGGUAUAAAGUUAUAGUAUUCUAUGUCAUUCAUGCACUCGAAAGAAUUAAUUUCGGCUAUCUAAAAUGAAUACAUUUCCAACUACUGAGUGUGAAUGCAAUUUAUGGUUAAGUUUUCUUUUGAUCUUAUUCAUUAGUGUAAAAUUGUUGUCAAAAUUUAAGCUAAAAUAAUUAUAGAAUCUCCAUAUAAACAGAGGAGUCCACUUAGUUCAAAAAUCACACCAAAUAAUUUUAUUGAGUUGUCGAGAACUUUUUAUCUCUUCUCCAUAAGAGAUAAUUUUAAAUAUAUUCUAUUUUUUAUUUACUAUUGCUAAAUAUACGUUAUUUAUUCCUUAAAAAAAAAUAUACGUUAUUUAUAAUUUUAAAUUAUAUUUAAUUAUGACAUGUUAACCCCAGUUCCACCCUAGUGGAACCUUCAAACCUUGAACUCAUAGUUUUACAGGUUUAAUGUCCGUUGGGAUUACCUUACACAAAACCAAAGUUUCAAUUUGUUCACCAACAUAAACAAACAUCUAUCAGAAUAAUCAAGGAAAGACUUUGAAAAAGUCUUCCAUCUUGUUAAAUGCUAUCUUCAACGGUAAUGCCUUGAACUAAUUUGAUUUUUUCUACUUCUCAGAAAACCAAAAAAUGUCAUUCUUUGCAACAUUGAACCUUGUGGUGGUGGUGCUGCUGCUUAUACUUCCAUACAACAACGUGCAUGGAGAUGAACAACAAGAGUCAUGCUCUAAAAGGUGUGGUGUCCAUAACAUAAGCCACCCUUUCCGAUUGAAAGACAGUCCCGAAAACUGUGGUGACAAUAGGUACAUCUUAUCAUGUGAGGACAACGACCAAUUGAUUUUGUACUAUGGUUCAUUUGGAAAAUACUAUGUACAAUCGAUUAAUUACAACAACUUUACCAUACGAUUAUUGGAUUUCAAUAAUCUUGGUCACUCUAAUUAUUCCCUCCAACCUCAUCCACUAGGCUUGUAUAAUUUCACUUCAACGACCAUCAAUCCAAGAGUCUUGCCAUAUACAGUGUUUGAUGAUUACAAUAUAGAUUUGUUCAACUCUAUGUUAUAUGUGACAUGUCCUAAACAUGUCCAAUAUUCUUCAGGUAUUUACUUUGAUGCUGCUUGUAUGAACAUUAGUAAUUCUUAUGAGCAGCAGAAAGGGAACUAUAUUGUGUUUGGGGACAGAUCUCUUUUGGAAUUUGGUCUAGGAGAUGGAUGUCGUAUAGAGUUGAUGUUUCUUACAUCUUGGCCUUUUGAACAUGGUGGCAACAACAUUUUUUGCACGGAUAUUCGUCGUAUGAUGUUUUAUGGAUUUGAACUUUCAUGGCUCAAUAGCCUUUGUAAACAUGGUUGGUAUUCAGAAAUCCUCGAUUACAAUAACCAACGUCGUGGUUGUGCACGUUUAGGUAAUUUUCUCCAAACGACUUCCUCAACAGGCUGAUUCUAGUUCAAGAGCGAUUUUUAAAUCUUCUAGUGAUUGUUGUCUAAUUUGUUAGAUAAUAAGAUUGGGCUUAUGUUAUUGGACAUUUAUGUUUCUAAGAAGGGCCGACUAAGGCCAAGUACAAGCAGCCCUGCUGCACAGGGCCUCCAAAUAUUUAGGGUCCAAAAUAUAAUAAAAAAAGAAAAAAGAAAUAUUUAAGGAUCCAAAUAUUAUUUAAAUUUAAAAUUUUAAGUUUAAUUAUAUCAAUAAAUCUUAAAUUUUGAGCAUUAAGUCUAAAUUUCUGCAUAUACCAAUUUUUAGGGGUCCAAAUUUAUGCAUAUAUAGUCAACAAAUUCAUCAUAGUCAUGUUUCAAGUAGUUGAAAUGAGAUUCUGAAAGAUUGAGGUUGUUGAUAUGUUUGCAAAGACAACUUUGUGGAUCGGAUAGUUGAAUAGUUUGGUGUUUGUAGUCAAUGUUCUUAACAUUGAGUUUCACUUUGUAAGGAAGUUCAAUCAUAGUUUCAUUAUUUGAUGAACAAAAUAACUCAAAGCCAGGAUAGCCAUAUACAAAGAUGGAUUUGGAUUGUGAUUUUUGAUAUGAAAAGGGAAUUUGAUAACUUGAUUUCCACAUGUUAAAUCUUCUUGACAAUUAAUUACCGUGGCUGUUGUUGUUCCAACAACAAAGUAAACCAUCAACAACAACAAUCCCAAAACAUAAUAGCAAGUGUUCAUUAUCUUGAUUCUUAUGAAAUAGUAAUAUGAUUGUAUGAAUAUUUCAAACUCAUUUUGACUUCAGCUCCCUAAUAAUUUCUACUGUAACAUAAGAGCUUAGUCAAUUCACAUGUUUCUUUGACUACACAAGUCUUCUAGCUAGCUUCCGAGACACUGCAUUUAAGUCUUUACACAUGUUUCUUUUGUAAGGAAAAAAAAAAAUUCUUGACUAUGACGAUAUGGUGGUCCACUUUGAAUUAGUAGUACAUGAAAAAAAUAAUAUCGUCCGGAAUUUCAAAUGUUACUUAACGACUUUUUUUCGACUAGUCUUACGUCGACUUUAAGAAGUGACGUUCCUGGUACUAAUAUUCUCAGGAACACUUUCGACCCAAGGCAAACCCUUGAUAAAAGUCUUACAUCGACUUUAAGAAGUGACGUUCACGGUACACGACGCUUGACCACCAUUAUCAGGAAGAAUUUCGACCCAAGGAGUCUGGCAAACCCUUGUAGAACCAUCAACUCUGAUACUAAUAUUGGGCCCUUGAGGGGAGUUUAAGAGAUGAUCCACAUUGGAUCAAGAGCAAUCACACAAGAGAGUUGCACACCACAUUUUGACUAAAAACCUUAAACAUCUCAAACAAACGUCUUUUCAUCCACAAAUACGUAUACCACUAUUACCACAUUAUUUACAUGACAUGUUGCUUCAAACAAGGGUUGGCCCAAUGUUAUUAAAAGUAAGCGAGGCCUAGAGCAGUGUUGAAUAUACGAGGCCUUUUUUGUUCAAAUAUGAUGCCUUUUUAUUUGUAAAAUUUAAUGAAAACUAUUUUUUUGUGGGCCUAAUGGGAGGGCUUUAGUGGCCUAUCCUUGGGUCGGUCCUGCUUCAAACUAUUGGCCAGAUAUUUUCUCGUGAUGUAUAUGAACGCUCUUGAGUUUAUUGGUCAUAUCACUUAUAUAUUGCUCAACUCACUUUAUUGUUUUGAUAUUUAGUCACACAAACUAUUAUGUUCAAAUUGCUAGGUACUAUAGUAACGUAAUAAUAUUACGCAACUGAACUAAAGAUGAUACACUUUAAUGUUUUCUCUCUGUCUAUUUCUCUCUGUAUAUUUCUAUAACAUAAUUCUUCGUGUUCUAUUUUAUUCUCUACACUGCAUAUAUAUUCAUGUGUUUUAUAAAAAAUCACAAUAGUAAACAUUGGAAAUGUCUAUGACACAAGAGCUUACGUCAAAACUCCCAGCAACAUCUAUCAGAUUGACCUGAACACUUUAAAAUUUGAUGAAAAAGUCUUGGAGCUUGCAUCAAAAGUUUGGAAUCUUGGACUUUUAAAUUCAAUCAUGUUACUCCUAUAAACAAACAUCAAUCAGAAUAGUCUACUAAAGACUUCAAAAAGUCUUCCAUCUUGUUAAAUGCUAUCUUCCACGAUAAUGCCUUUAACUAAUUUGAUGUAAAAGUAUGAGUUUUUGCCACUUCUCAGAAAAUAAAAAAAUGUCAUUCUUUGCAACAUUGAAUCUUCUGGUGGUGUUGGUGAUGUUGCUUAUACUUCCAUACAACAACGUGCAUGGAGAUGAACAACAAGAUUCAUGCUCUACAAGGUGCGGUGACCAUAACAUAAGCCACCCUUUCCGAUUGAAAGACAGUCCCGAAAACUGUGGUGACAAAAGGUACAUCUUAUCAUGUGAGGACAACAACCAAUUGAUUUUGUACUAUGGUUCAUUUGGAAAAUACUAUGUACAAUCAAUUAAUUACAAUAACUUCACUAUACGUCUAUUGGAUUUCAAUAGUCAUGGUUACUCUAAUUAUUCCCUCCCACCUCAUCCACUAGGCUUCUAUAGUUUCGAUUCAAGGACCAUCAAUCCAAUAGCCUUGCCAUAUAGAGUGUUUGGGGAUCACUAUAUAGAUUUGUUCAAGUCUAUGUUAUAUGUGACAUGUCCCAAACAUGUCCAAUAUUCUUCAGGUAUUUACUUUGAUGCUGCUUGUAUGAACAUUAGUAAUUCUUAUGAACAGCAGAAAGGGAACUAUAUUGUGUUUGGGGACAAAUCUCUUUUGGAAUUGGCUCUGGGAGAUGAGUGUCGUAUAGAGUUGAUGUUUCUUACAUCUUGGGAUUUUAAGCAUGGUGGAAACAACAACAUUUCUUGUACGGAUAUUCAUCGUAUGAUGUUUUAUGGAUUUGAACUUUCAUGGCUCAAUAGUCUUUGUAAACAUGGUUGGUAUUCAGACAUCCUCGAUUACAAUAACCAACGUCGUGCACCUUCAGGUAAUUUUCUCCAAACGACUUCCUCAAAGUUUUUUUCUUCUUCUCUGUCUGUGAUUGUAGAUUAGACGAUGAGGCAGGGAGUAGAGGGAUAAUUGUUGACCAUUUAUACCAUGUUUAAAAGAAAAUGUAUGUAAGUUAUGAUGUCAUGUCAUUGUUGAUUAUUUAUACCAUCUCCAAAAUUGAUGUACUAUUUUUAUGAGGAUGGUCAACAUAGACCUUUGAUCAUCUAUUUUUUUAUUUACAGGAUUUCGAUUAUAUAAUCCGAAAUAGCACAAUUAAACUUCAUAUUAUAUAAUCUUAACCGGGGCAAUUUGAGAAUUUUUUAGGGCCCUUGAGAAGUUAGGAGGAUUGAAAAAUCUCUUUUAACAACUCUGUACUUAUUUUCAAAAUCAUAAUUGGUGUUUGCAUACAGUUCAAUAGUGCAAAAAACAGUAUCCAUACUAGACGAACUGGUAGUUUUGUGUUAAUCAUAUUACGUUUAUGUUAUUGCAGAAACUUGGAGUUUACAGGCUCUGGUAACCGUAUCUAUCUUGAUGUACAUAGGUAAGCUCUCGCAUUCCCUUAAUUAAGUAAGAGAUCUUUAGUUAGAAUGCAUGAGUAUUAUGCAUGAUCACUCCUUUCUUCUAAAUAAAUACUCCUCUCGGUAUUAAUUAUACGGCCAUUGACCCAAUGGGUUAGGAUUCUCAAUGCUAAAUGCAAACUCAAUAUAGUUUUGAUUGAGAAAGAAUAGAUCCAUUAUGAUCUCAUGCAAACAAUUCAAAAUAAUAAAAUAUUGAAGCUAUCUCAAUUUAAUAUUGAAAAUUGAGUAAACGAGAUCAGUGCAGUUCUUUUAAUUUAAAUAAGGAAGUUCCUAAAAUUUGUUUACAGGUAUAUUGCUUGGUUUUCUUUCCGGUGUUAAAUUUGUUCUUGGAGUACCUAUUGUAUUAUUAAUCUACAAAUGGCGACAAAAACAUUUAUCUGUGUAUGAUGGCAUCGAAGAUUUUCUACGCAGUGAUAAUAGCAUCAUGCCUAUAAGGUACUCUUACAAAGACAUAAAAAAGAUAACAGAACAAUUCAAGAUAAAACUAGGCAACGGAGGUUAUGGAACUGUUUUUAAAGGAAAACUUCGAAGUGAUCGUCUUGUAGCGGUCAAAUUAUUGGACAAAGCCAAGACCAACGGUCAAGAUUUUGUCAAUGAAGUUACUACCAUUGGUAGGAUUCACCAUGUCAAUGUGGUACAACUCAUUGGAUUUUGUGUGGAGGGUUCAAAACGUGCUCUUAUAUAUGAAUUCAUGCCAAAUGGAUCACUGGAAAAAUACAUAUUUUCUCUUAUUGAAGAGAGUAACUCUUUGAGUUGUAAAAAAUUGUAUGCCAUUUCUCUUGGUGUAGCUCGAGGUAUUGCAUACUUGCAUAAUGGAUGCAAUAUGAAAAUUCUACACUUUGAUAUAAAGCCUCAUAACAUCCUUCUUGAUGAAAAUUUCAAUCCAAAAGUUUCUGAUUUUGGAUUAGCUAGGGUUUCUCCUACAGACAAAAGCAUUGUGUCCUUAACUGCAGCAAGAGGAACCAUUGGAUACAUGGCCCCUGAACUAUUCUACAGAAAUGUCGGCACAAUAUCUCACAAAGCUGAUGUCUAUAGCUUUGGGAUGUUGUUGAUGGAGAUGGCAAGUAGAAGGAAGAACUUGAAUCCAUUGGCUGAGCAAUCUUGCCAAAUUUAUUUCCCUUUUUGGAUUUAUGGUCAGUUACAUGAUGGAAGUGAAGUAACAAUUGAGAAUGACACAGAUGAAGAAAUGAAAUUGGCAAAGAAAAUGAUGAUUGUGGCUUUAUGGUGUAUACAGACAAAACCAGGUGAUCGUCCUUCAAUGGAUAAAGUGAUUGAGAUGCUUGAAGAAGAAGAUGGGGAUUUGCAAAUGCCUAAUAAGCCUUACCUUUAUCCACAAGAUCUACCAGCUGAGGAUUUUAGAGAUGGUAAUACUAGAAGUUCUUGGUCUUCCUCUGAUACAUCAAUAAAUGAUUUCAUGGAACCAACCUGAUCUCGUGUUGGUUCUCGGAUGAGUUGCACAAAAAUUGAAGCAUAUUCACUGCCAACCAACUCUUUCAGAAGUAUUUCCCAACUUAUGCAAUUAAUUUUAAAUCUGUAUUGGUAUCACCAUGAUAGUCUUGCAAUAUGUAUUGGUCUCACCAUGUUGAGACAUCCAUUGUCACCACCAACGGUUUGUAGGUCAUUGAGCAGACACCAUAUAAGCAUCGAAAUUGUAUGCGUUAAUGGUUAUAGGCCUCUAAGUACAUGUGUGAAUACACGAUGAGGACGUUAGUGGUUGAUAUACAAAAUAAAAAACAUAAUAUCUAGCUUGAUCCAAUAAGCCUUUACAGAAAACUCGGUUUUUCUUUGUUGAUCCAAUGUGUUAGUGGUCUUUAUAAUCAUCAUUUUACCACACUUCAUUGUACUAAUUUGUUACAGUAUUUUACAUGUAUUCUUGCAAAUAUAUAUUAAGGUUUAUCUUCCACCUUCCACACUUUAUUUCUUUCUUGAAUUAAAGAGUGUUUUUUAAUAUUUAAAAGUAAAAAAAAAAAAAAAAAAUGCUCCUGAAAAAUGGAACUGUGUUUAGAGGGAGGAGAAAUACUAGGAACACUCUCUUAAUAUAUUAAAAUAAAUUUUAUAUUUUAACUUUAUUUUAACACGGAUCAUGAUAUCAUGGAGAAAAACGUUUCUGAAUUCGGUUUUGGCAGUUUUGUUUACAAUGCAAAUAUUGUUAUUAUUUACUACUUUGUUUAUAUCAAAGCUCAACUAAUGUAUUCCUCAAUUUCAUGGGGAAUAGAUUUUACAAAGAACACCUCUAAGGGAAAUAAAUAAUGGCCCCUCCAAGGGAAAUGUUUCCUAACUUGCAUACUAAGGAGAAUUGAGCAUCUAAGGAGGAACUUGCCCCUGCAAUUGCAUCAUAUGAGAAAGAUGCCACUUCCUCCUCGAGUUGAUUUGUUCAAGUUAAUCUGUCAUGGUGUUCUUGUUCAGACAAGUGGUGAAGCUGCUUGUGGAUGUGUCCUUUGCGAUCAUCAUGGAACAAUUUUAUUUGCUUUUGCAUCUUGAUUAGGUCGUUGUUAAUUUGAUAACACAAGCUAGGCUCUGGGAUAUUUUUCUUGACACUAAGUUGGUAAGGAGGCUUUAGACAAAUCCAAAUUGAGUCUGAUUCACUGGUGGGAAUAAGAUAUCUUUCGGAUGAGUGUUCCUCUACAGACCCUUGUGCACAACUUGUCGUUGGGAUCCUUGAUUUCCAAGCUAAAGGCAGUGUCUAUCGGUGGUCUCUUGUUUUACAGAAAGCUAAUCAGGUUGCUGACCGUAUGGCAAAGUUUGAUCUCUCUCUAGAUGACAAGAGUAAAGUUUUUGAUUUUGUUCCUACUUUCAUUUUGAACGUUGUUUUCGCUGAUUAUUUGGUUGUUGUCUUUCCUUGUAGUUUCUAGUGUUUAGGCUGAGAGCAACCUUGUUUGCGACUAAACACAAUAAUAUGGCUUUUUGUAAAUACUUUUUUUUUUGGAAAUCCAAAAACAACACAUAUAUAAGUUAGUGCCCCUACAUCUCCCCCUCUGACUCUGAGGAUUAAUAUUGGGAUAUAUAUUAAAAUUAAAGAAGCUAAUCAUACUCAAUAAACAUUAACCAUUAUCAGAAGCUAACUUCUGUACAGACCAAAAAGAGAAAAAAGCUAACUAUAUAUAGCACAUUUAAUUCCACAAGUCUAAAGAAAAAUAAGUUUUCAACGCAUCCUUAAAACAUAACAAGAUAUCACAAAAGCAAAUAGAGAAAAUAAUCCUUAAUCCAUAUCUAACUCUUUGUUGGUUUUAUCCAUGAAUAUGUGUUGGUACGUAUUAGUAAUAUUUAUAUAUUUAGAACAAAAAAGUUAGAUGCAAAUUUUUGUGACUCAUGUUAACCAAAACCAGAUCAAAUUGGUUCCUUGGAAUCAGUUACUAAUGUACCAGAGGAAUACAAUGAACUACCAGUUCUAUCAUCUCGUACGUCUUGUGCAUCAAGGUCAGGCUGAUUAGGCAUUUGCAAAUCUUCAUCUUCUUCUUCAAGCAUCUCCAACACUUUAUCCAUUGGAGGACGAUCACUAGGUUUCGCUUGAAUACACCACAAAGCCACUAUCAUCAUUUUCUUUGCCAAUUUCAUCUCAUGAUUUGUAGCAUUCUCAAUUGUUAUUUCUCUUCCAUCUUGUAACUGAUCAUAAACCCAAAAAGGGAAAUAAACCUGGCUAGAUUGACCAGCCAAUACAUCCAAGUUCUUCCUUCUAUUUGCCAUCUCCAUUAACAACAUCCCAAAACUAUAAACAUCAGCUUUGUAAGAUAUCGUGCCGACAUUUCGGUAGAAUAGUUCAGGGGCCAUGUAUCCAAUGGUUCCUCUUGCUGCAGUUAAUGACACAAUGCUUUUAUCUGUAGGACAAAGUCUAGCAAGUCCAAAAUCAGAAACUUUUGGAUUGAAAUUUUCAUCAAGAAGGAUGUUAUGAGGCUUUAUGUCAAAGUGUAGAAUUUUCAUAUUGCAUCCAUUGUGCAAGUACUCAAUGCCACGAGCCACUCCAAGUGAAAUUGAAUACAAUUGUUCGCAACUCAAGGAAUAAUUCUCUUCGGUAUGAGAAAAUAUGUAUUUUUCUAGUGAUCCAUUUGGCAUAAAUUCAUAUAUCAGAACACGUUUUGAACCUUCCACACAGAAACCAAUGAGUUGUACCACAUUAACAUGGUGAAUCCUACCAAUGGUAGCAACUUCAUUGACAAAAUCUCGAUCGUUGGACUUGGCACUGUCCAAUAAUUUGACUGCUACAAGACGACCACUUCGAAGUUGUCCUUUGAAAACAGAUCCAUAACCUCCAUUGCCUAGUUUUGUCAUGAAAUUUCCGGUUAUCUUUUUUAUCUCUUUGUAAGAGUACCUUAUAGGGAUGAUGCUAUUAUCACUACUUAGAAAAUCUUCGACGCCAUCAUACAUAGAUUGAUGUUUCUUUCGCCAUUUUUUGAUUAAUAAUACAAUGAUAAAUGGCAAUCCAAGAACAAAUUUAACACCGCUAAGCAAACCAACCAAUACACCUGUAAGGAAAUGGAAUUGAAAUAAAGAAAAUGAAAUUAUAAUUAACUUCCAUAUAUAAGUUUGUUUUUUUAAAAACAUAACAAAGUGAAAACCGAAAAAUUUGAUGUGAUGUAUUUCAAUCAAAGUUAUACUCAACUUUUUUAAAAAGAACAGAAUAUGGGUAACCUGAACGAAUAUUUGUAUUUGACGUGGGGAUGUCGGCAAAAACAAGGGCCUUCAAUCUAAAAAUAUUUCUUGUACUACAAAUUUGUUUUCUGAACUUUGUGUUACAUUGACUUAAGAGAAUGCGAGGGCUUGCUUACCUAAGCCGAAUGAUAAACGUGCAACUAUCCAAGCCGCGUUAUUCCAGUAAUCUGCAAGAGCAAACAUAAAGCAUAGUGACAUAUUGAGUGUUAUUUAGUAGCACUCACUCUAACAAAUGGAUGUGGAAGAUCCACGCGAUUGUAAAUAAUAGAAAAAUUAAGCAUCGAAAUUGAAAAAAAUAGAGUAUAUAAAUCGCACAACUGCAUAUAUAUACCAACCAUAUUUACAGUGAGGCUGGUUAUAUUGAUCGAGCACUGCAUACCGACCAUGUUUACACCGACUGUUGAGCCAAGAAAGUUCAAAUCCAUAAUACAUCCUACGACGAAUGUCUGUACAAGAAAUGUUGUUGAUGUUGCCAUCAUCUUCAACAUCCCAAGUGAGAUACAUAAACUCUAUAUGACACCCGUCUCCCAACCCAAAUUCCAACAGAGAUUUACCAUAGCCACCAACAUAGAAAGAAUUCACAUCCUGUGAAUAUGAAGUUCUAUUCAUACAAUUACCAAUGUAUGAAUAUUCCAUCCGAUUCGGACAGCUCACAUAUAACAUAGAUUUCGUCAACAUAUGAUUAGUGUAGUUUUUGUAUCGAUGAUAGGCUAGGUAGGGUGAGGUGAAGAAAUUAGAACUGAAAUUAUAAAGCCCUAAAGAAUAAUAAGAAGGGAUGGAAUUAUUAGAAGAAGCAAGAUUGAAAUCCAAUAGUCGUAUGGUGAAGUUGUUGUAAUUAAUUGAUUGUACAUAGUAUUUUCCAUGGUAUUCUUCAAAUUCAUAGUACAAAAUCAAUUGGUUAUUGUCCUCACAUGAUAGGAUGUACCUUUUGUCACCACACUUUUCAGGACUGUCUUUCAAUCGGAAAGGGUGGCUGAUGCUAUGAACACCGCACCUUCUUGAACAUGACUCUUGAUGUUCAACAUCACCAUCUACAUUGUACGAGAAUAUCAGUAUUAGUAACACCACAACAAGGGUUAAGGAUGGCAUUUUUGGUUUUCCGAUUAUAGCAAGUGAAAAAAACUAGCACAUUAAAUACGUGCGAAUUAAGCAUCCAUCCAUAUAAAUAAAAAAGUAUAUGUCACAUUUUACAUGACGCUUAAUUAUCGCAGUAUAGUGGAAGCUAGCUAGCAUUUGAUAGUGACUUUACAGAAGUUAGGCUCCACCACAUAAGAAGUGCUCAAUUAUGAAGAUGGCAAGACGCGAUGAGAAAUUUAGGCACACGUUAGUUUUGACGUAAGCUCUUAUGUCAUAGGAAGAAUGAAUCAUUGAGGAAUUUUAUUUUGUUAAAAACUUUAGAUAGGUGAUACACACCCUCAAUUAUGGAAUUACGGACUUUAUCAAUUCAAAUUGUGUAGGGUUCUUUGUUGGAUCAUUAAUCCAACGUUGACAUUAUAUAUGAAUAACUAUGUAUUGUUGAUUGUCACUUAAGCUCAGUUAAGUUUAGCUGAAGUGGGCAACCCUAAACUCUAAUAGGGUGUGAGUUUUUAAUGCGUAGAGACUAAAGUGCAUAUCUAUUUUUAUGAUAAGUUUUAAUAGAAAUAUCAAUAGUCAAUCAUAAUUUGAGUUAUAUACUAAAUAGGUGUGGCCCAAGUCACAAAGGUAACAUAGUUCCUUCCAUGAGUCAACGGACUCUCUAGGAACAUUCACACAUAUAUAGAUAAAAAUUGCAUACUUAUAAUAAUAAUGCUUGGUGACAACAAUAUGAUAUGUAAUUCAAACGAGAACCAAAAGAGAUCAGUUUGGUCCCUUGGAACCACUAACUGAUGUACCAUCGGAAGUCCAUGAGUUGCUACUGUAAACAUCCGCUAUUGGUGAAUCUUGUGGACAAAAGUAAGGCUUAUUAGGAAUCUGCAAGUCUCCAUCUUCUUCUUCAAGCAUCUCCAAAACUUUAUCCAUUGAAGGACGAUCAUCAGGUUUUGUCUGUAUACACCAUAACGCCACAAUCAUCAUUUUCUUUGCUAGCUUCAUUUCCUGAUCUGUGUCGUUCUCAAUUGUUACUUCACUUCCAUCAUGAAAUUUAUCAUAAAUCCAAAAAGGAAAAUAAAUUUGGCUGGAUUGCUCAGCCAAUGCAUUCAAGUUCUUCCUUCUACUUGCCAUCUCCAUCAACAACAUCCCAAAACUAUAUACAUCAGCUUUGUAAGAUAUUGUGCCAACAUUUCUGUAGAAUAGUUCAGGGGCCAUAUAUCCAAUGGUUCCUCUUGCUGCAGUUAAUGACACAAUGCUUUUAUCUGUAGGACAAAGUCUAGCUAGUCCAAAAUCAGAAACUUUUGGAUUGAAAUUUUCAUCAAGAAGAAUGUUAUGAGGCUUUAUAUCAAAGUGUAGAAUUUUCAUAUUGCAUCCAUGAUGCAAGUACUCAAUGCCACGAGCCACUCCAAGAGAAAUUGAAUACAAUUGUUCGCAACUUAAGGAAUAAUUCUCUUUUGUAUGAGAAAAUAUGUAUUUUUCAAGUGAUCCAUUUGGCAUGAAUUCAUAUAUAAGAACACGUUUUGAACCUUCCACACAAAAACCAAUGAGCUGCACCACAUUAACAUGGUGAAUCCUACCAAUGGUAGCAACUUCAUUGACAAAAUCUUGAUCACUGGACUUGGCUUUGUCCAAUAAUUUGACUGCUACAAGACGACCACUUCGAAGUUGUCCUUUGAAAACAGAUCCAUACCCUCCAUUGCCUAGUUUUGUCUUGAAUUGUUCGGUUAUCUUUUUUAUAUCUCUGUAAGAGUACCUUAUAGGGAUGAUGCUAUUGUCACUACUAAGAAAAUCUUCGACGCCGUCAUACAUAGAUAGAUGCUUCCGUCGCCAUUUGUAGAUUAAUAAUACAAUCAUACAUAGUGCUCCAAGAACAAAUUUAAAAAGGCUGAACAAAACAAUCAACUCACCUAUAAAGAAAUGGAAAUUAGAUAAAGAAAUGAAGUUACAAUAAACUUCAUUAUUCAACAAAAUUGUCUUUAUUGCUUUUCAAAAAGACACAAAUUGUCUGUUUAGAACAUAACGAAGUGAAAAUUGAAAAGACAAAUGUUUUUCAUACACAAGUUUGACAUCAAAAAUACAUACAUAAAUGAACUGUUCACCCUAUUUAUAUAGAAGUGAUAUAUGUACAACCAUUUGUGAUAACUUUCAUUUUUUCUCUUCUCAUUUGUCCAAAACAAUAGAGAGAGAGAGAGAGAGAAUAAGAAUAUAAUGUGUGGUGUUGUCAAUUUAGAGGUCCUUGAGAAUUUAGGGCCUAACUCAUACGUCAAGGGGGCUUAAAAUACAUAAAGAUAAGAAUUUUGCUCUUCCCCAGCAAGUUUCGCUCCCACCCAGCUGAAUUGUCGAAAAUACCCAUGCCGCCAUGCGUGAGUUAAGUCGCACACCACUGGCCUGGGCGUGAGUUAACUCACGCACGUUGGCCGGUGGUAUGAGCUCAUGAACAAACGUUUUUUGGACGGUGGUCAAGUUUUCAACUUUCAAUCCACACGUUCUUUUACAACCUUUACACGUUUUUUUUUACCACAUUUAUGGUGGUUAUAACCUACACUACCAUUCCCACCUAUAAAUACCCUUUCAUACUUCCCUAUUUCCUCACACCAUAUCACUUUCUCUCCCUUCUCACUCUCUCCCUCUAUUUCUCUUCUUUCGUUUUUUUCCAAUAGUCUCUUUGGGGGCAAAAGUGAUCAGACUUUUUCAGAGAAAAAUAGUGAAUUGCCGACUUGGGCAAGUGAUCCAUUGGGAUAAAAUUAAAUUCUCUUCUUUUUACCCCAAAAACUUUCUACAUUGGAUAAAAAGAAUCUUCUUGGGGUAUAAAAAAAACCAGAUUUAAAUUUAGUCCAAGGGUUGAUGAUGUAUUUUCCCCAAGAAGGUUGCUCACUAUUUUGCCCCAAGAAGGCUGGUCACAUUUUACCCCAAGAGGGUAAAAAGAAAAUAAGUAGAUUAUUUAGUGAAUUCGAAUAAAUGUAUCAAUGUAUCAAUUAUUGUGUGAAGUUGAUUAAUAAAAUGAGAUGUUGUUAUAUGUAUUAAUUUUGUUCAUUUUUUUAUUUAUAUUUGCUUUUAUUUUCUAAUUUUGUAUUUAAUGAAUAAAUCUGAAUAAAUAUUUAUUAAUUUCAUUUCUUUUUAUUUAUAUUUGUAUUUAUUUAAUAAAUAAAUUCGAAUAAAUAUUUAUUUUAAAUGCAUAAAUAAAUUAGAAUAAAGUAAAUAAAUAAACCUGGCAGGAAUAAAAUGUUCUCAUGGACCAAAACUCAAGUGAUUAAUAUUUGCAGUUUAAAAUUGGAAGGAUUAGCAAAUACAGGGAUCAAAAUUGAAACGACCCCAUUUGCAAGGACUAACUAUAUAAAUAAGCUUAUAUUUUUUGCAUAUUUUACCAUCACCAUAUUUAGAAAAAAAAUAUGGACGAAGUCUGAAAAUAACCAUGUAAAGAGUUGAAAUACUUUGGCAAAAAAAUGGUUAAAAUAUGAUGAAUUCAAAAUUAAAUACACAAGCUUGGGUGAAAUCUAUGUUUUUUGUUACAAGGAUUAUUGUCAAAACCUCGCCCAAAUUUACGGGGUUUGUUUGAGAUACCAACCCUUUAAAUUACAAAUGUUAAAUACUUUGAUCUCUUAAAUAUGUUUUUUAAUGAGAACUUAUUUUUUAAAACUUCUUAACAUGUGCAAAUUUACAUACGAUAGAAAAACUUUUUUUUUUUAAAUAAAAAAAGUACAAUCCACCUUUACGCUAGUGUUAGCUGGUAAUUUCAUCAGCCUCAUUUAAUGUGGUCAACAUUAGCUUACUUUUACUCUUGCAGGAAUCGAAGUCUUUUCUUCAACUUAAGGAGUUUCGACGAGAUGUUGGACUUAGCAUGAAAGGAUGUAAAAGCCUUAAGGUUCGAUAAGACACGAGUCAGGAAUGCAAAGUCGUCGAAGUCAAGCAACUUCCAUUGAGGCAAGAAGAUUCGAAUUUCAAAGAGAAACGGUUUCCUCAAUGGAGAACGUGGGAGACAAGUGGUUGUCUACAUGGAAGAAGUGCUGAUCGUGGGAUUGUACUUUUUCCAGUUAUUUUUCUAUGUAUAUAUAGGAGUUUUCCAUAGGUAAAAUGGGUUGCAAAUCACCUAUACAAAAUUUUAAAACACUCGAAAUACCAGCUUGAGAGAAAAGAGUCAUAAAGAAUAUAUGUAAAGGAUUUGUCGAGCCACCUUUAUUUUUAAUGCAUUGUACUUUAUUUUUCCUUUAAGUUUCAGGAAUUUUAAACUUAAUGCCUUUACUUUGCUUUUAAAAACCCUUUUUCUAUUGAAAGAUAUCAUACGGUCUCGUCCUGUUCGUAAAACAACCUAUGAACUCGAUGAACGCUUGAAAAAUAAAUGCACAUGUACUAGGAUUUCUAAAUUGAUCCUGCUUGUAAUAACAAAAAAAAACCCUCGUAGUUUGCCAAACACAUCGGUAAACAACUAAUACUAAAAAAAUAACUCACAUUUUGUCCUCGUGAGUUUAGCUCAGUUGGUAGAGACAGUGCAUAAUAUAUGCAAGAUUCGGGAUUCAAACCCUUACCACAAAAAAAAAAAAAACUAAUAAAAUAACACUCUUACUAGUUUUUUUUUAAGGAACUCUCAUACCGGUUAAAAGAUUCGGUUUAAAAUUCUAUUACUGAAAAAAAUAAUUUCUUAAACUUUGAUUUGAAUCUCUCACCUCUAAGGUGCAUUUGUUUCAAGUUAUAUAUGUAGAUUCCUGGGAAUAAAAUGAUAGAAAUAUACAUGUCUAUGUUUGUUACAAGUUUAAUAAAUUAUAUUCACGGAUAUAAAAUGUUUCUGGGAAUAGAAAAAAAUUUCAAAAGAAAAGGGUGGAAAUAAAGUUCUCAUGAAGAUGAGAAUAAAUUCAUAUGUAACUACAUAUUUUUAUGGUUUCUAAGAAUAUUAAAAGGUUAACCAACAUCUUUUAUUGAAGAGCACUGCUAUGUAGUGGGAAGAUAUUUUUCGUGAAAAAUAUGUGUGAAACGGUGGUAGGAUAUAAGUUUUGGAAUUGGUGAAAUAAAAGAGGUAGUUGUGGUUAUAGAUUUGGUCAAAGUAGUGAAAAAGGAAUCUGGUGAACUUAUUGUUUAUUCCUAAAAAUAAAUUUGAUAAAUUUAAAACAAACACAUCCUAUGCAUUAAAUUGGGUUAAGAGUUAAGAGAAUGUGAGAGCUUACCUAUGUAAAUCAAGGUAACUUUGCCCCUCGCAACCCAUAAUUUCCGUUCUGUCAAAAAGAGAAAAAAGAACAUAAUUUAUGGGAUAUUGCAAGAACAUACACAUAACAUAACAUGGUUAACUUAACAAUAUAUAUAUAUAUGAGCUGCUAAUUUACAUCCACUUAAAAACACCAAGGUACAAGUUAACAAACUACAUCAAAUAGUUAUUUACCAAAAACCCCAUUUGCCAUUAUUUAAACCAAUUAUAAUUAGAAGGGUAAUUUUGUAAGUUACUUGUUCUUUACCAUGUUUCUUUUUUGUUCCGUGUUUCCUUUUUUAUGUUUCUGUUUUUUGGUAUUUCGUUUUUUCGUAAGUUAAAAUAAGUUUAGUAAUUAUGCUACUAGGUUAAGAUGAUAUUUUUCUACGUCGCCGUGAGUUUAGCUCAGUUGAUAAAGACAAUGUAUAUAUAAUAUAUACAAAUUCCAGGGUUAAAAAAUGGCUUACUAAGAAAAAGUCCAUUUUUUGUUUCAUUUAACAAAAAAAAUCCAGCAAGUUUAAUAUGAAUUUAUUAUGUAUAAUCACCAAAAAAAAAUGAAUUUAUUAUGUAUAAGUAAAUGAUAAUUGAAUGGCGUACUAUAAAAAAAAAGUUAAUUUUAAUGGUUUUCUCCAACAAAUCUAAAUUUCUAACUACGUUACUCGAAAAGAAAAAAGAAAAAAAAAACUUUGUUUAACAUGUCUGAUGUCGUACAUUGACUUUUCAAGAAUGUGUAGGCCUACCUAGGUAAUACGUCUUGAUAGGUCCAACUCUUACGGCCUCAAAAUACCGGUCAUCACCUGCAAGAACAUAACACAAAACAUGGUAAACAAACAUACACUAUGGUCUGGCUAAUGAGUUUUAUGGGACACUCUUUAAAAAUUAAAAAAAAAAAUUAUUUUAUAUAAAAAUUAAAUAUUUUAAUUUUCAAUCUAUUUAUUACAGAUAUUUUUAUAAAAAUUUACUAUUUAAAGAUCUUAAGAGUGCCUCCAGAGUGUCUAGGGCACUCGUUAACCUUUCCCAACUAAUUAUCAAUAUUCAUCUGUAUGCAUAGACUCAUAGUUAGAUUCAUUGACACAUGUCCAAUUUAACAUACAACUAAAGUACAUUAGAUGUCUUUUAAGUUACUCUAGUGGCGGAGCACCACUUGGGCCAAGGUGGGUCAUGGCCCACCCCCCAAUUUUUUAUUUAUUUUUAUUUUUAUUUGUUUAAGUAUAAAUAUACCACUAAAUUUAAAUACAAACAUUAAGCUGAUUCACUCAAUUAUUUUCACCUACAUGUGUAUGCUCUGUGAUUUGUUUACUUUAAGAACAAAUAUACUUUUGGAUCUCAUCAAAUGAUUGAUAUUUCAUUUAUUUGAGAAGUGUAUAAUACGUUAAUUUUGAGACAUUAAUUCUAAAUAUAACAUGACAAUUUAUACUGGAAGAGAAGUUAUUGUAUGUAGUAGUUUUGAUUCAAUUUUAUAUGAUUUCAAGUAUUUUGGAAUCCAUAGAUAAUUAUUUUAAAUUUUUAAUAUAUGUUGUUUAAUUUUUUGAUUUUCAACUUUAUGUUUAAUGCACACUACAACAUAAAAUUUGUUUUAUAUAUAAUAUUUCAUUUCGGUGGCCCACCGGAAAUUUUUUUUAGCUCCAUCACUGAGUUCCUCCCUCGGGUCAUAUUUAUAAGCAAAAAAACAACUUUUAGGUUUAUUAAAUAACAAAGGUAUCUGGUCUAUAUAAUGAUCAUAUACAUUAGUUAUUCAAUAAACCUAAAAAGUUGAUUUUUGUUUAUAAAUGUGAUCGGGGGAGUAAUUAAUUAUAAUAAAGUUGUCUUUAAGUUUUUUUCGUACCACUUACGUCUUUAAGUUAUUUAAUUGCAACAAAUUAGUCUUUUAGGUAUUUUUUGUAAUAUUAUAUUUUUAAGUUAUUUAGUUGUAAGGUUUAGGCCCUAAUUUAACUUACAUUUUUAAGAUUUUAAAUCUCUCAAAUUGUUACGGUUAAAUAGUUUAAAGGACCUAAUUGGAACGAAAAACAACUUAAAGAUCAACUUGUUACAAUUAAAUAACUUAAAACACCUAAGUGAUAUGCAAAAAAAAUAAGAAGAUUAAUUUAUUAUAAUUAAAUAACUUAAAGGACAUAUAGUGUAAUUUAACCUUAACUUACUUAUAUCUAUGAUAAUUUUGUGCAGAAUACAAAUUUUAUAAAUUUAAUGGUUGGAUCAUAUUGUAUUAUCUUGAUAUAUAAUCAUACAUUUAAACAUUUAUAUAAUUUGAAUAUCUCUUGUUAUGUCAUUUAGUAGUUCACAUUUGUUCAUAUUUUAUUGAAUAUCUCUUGUUAUGUCAUUUACUAAUACACAUUUAUUUAUAUUUUAAAUAUUAUAUCUAUUAUAAUUUAUUAAAUCAGAUCUAAACUAUUUUGCUGGCAUCUCAUCAAUUUUUUGUCAAGUAAUACUAUUUGUGCAAAGUCAUUCAUUUUUCCUAUGUGACACUUUUUAUAUUGCACUCUUAUUCCUAUUUCCUACCACUUCACAAUCCCCUACCAAACUUUUAGGCUUUUUCUGGGAGUUUGGAGGGGAGGGGAGGGAAGGAUUUUGGAAAAAAGGAAGGAGCAAGUGGAAGAAAUAUAUGACAUUGAGAGAAAAGGGCUUUGGAGGUUAAUAUUUUACUCAUAAUAAAAAUUCCCUCUCAUUUUGGGGAACUCAAAAAUUGUAUUAGGGGAGGGUUUUGGGGUUAUGAAGGGUUUAUAUGAAUUUUUCAAAUUCAAUUUAUAUAUGUUGUUAUAAUAUUCUUAAAAUUAAAAGUAUAUUAAUCAUAAGUAUUAGUUUAUCAUUCUCUAAAAAACUGUUCUUUCAAAAAAUGUGAAUUUUUUGUCUAUUUUUCUAUAUAUUUCCAACCCCCCAAAACCCUCCCCUCCUUUCCCCUACGAAUUCCCAAACAAAUCCUUCAUAACUUGUUAUACAUUACAAUAAAGUAAUCAGAUUGAGUGUCAAAUGAUAUUAGCUUUUUUAUGAAAUUUUAUAGGUUCAUGUUAAUUUGGGCACAUGUUAAGGAACCUAAAAUGAGCAACUUUGCAUUGGAAAACAUGAUAAUUUAACUUUUAAGAAGUUGACUGCACGACUUUUAAUACGUAUAUUUCUAUAAUAAGUUCCUUAACAUGUGCCCUUGAGAGCACAAGUUAACAUUUGCCAAUUUUAUAUAUUUGAUUUACUUAGUAAAACUAUUAAAUGUGUAAUUAUGUUAGAUUUUAUAUAUUGUAUCAAAGAAUCUUAACUCAUUUAUUGAGUAAAGUUAAUAUGAGUCUCACCAUUUUAUAUGGAACGUAUUUUUAAUGAAGGGACAUAUAUAAAUUUCACCUAAUAUGAUAAUGAGUAUUAGAAAAAUAGUAUUAUAGAAAAAUGGAUCGUCAACCUCAAAAAUCUAUAAUGUCGUAUCUACUGCAAUAAGCCACUCUCAACUCAAUCCAUGUACCUUUCCUAAAAGGCUUAAUUGCACUUUUGGACCCCUAUCUUUCCAAAAGUUGCGGUUAUGGACCCCUAACUAAUUUAAAUACAAAACAGCCCCCUAUGUUUUGAUUCUUUGGCAGUUUUGGCCCCCCAAGGCAAAAUAAAAAUAAAAAAUUUGACACGUGGCACCUCACUUAGGUUGCCACGUCAGCGUUGACCGAGUCAACACUGGACUAGGGGUUCAAAACUGCCAAAGAAUCAAAACAUAGGGAGCUGUUUUGUAUUUAAAUUAGUUAGGGGUCCAUAACCGCAACUUUUGAAAAGAUAGGGGUCCAAAAGUGCAAUUAAGCCUUCCUAAAUCUCAUUAACCAUUGCCACCGUCUUACCAAAAGGAAAGCUUGUCUUUCAUCUACCGAAAAGCAAUAGAUCUAUUCUCACUCGCAUAUUUUACUCGGAGAAAAAUCCAACAACGAUUGAUUAUUAUUGGGAAAAAUUCAAGUCCCACAUCAGAUAACUAAGACUCUUGAGAAGAGUUUAUAAAGAGGAGACAAUCUUCCCCUCACAAAUCGAUUUUGUAAGGAUGAGUUAGACCUCAAAUUUCAACAUAACAUAUUCACGCACCGAACUAGACAUAUAACUCAAUUUAUAUUCAACUCAAUUUUAACCAAAAUCAAUUUAGUCAUCAUUAAUUUCAUAGUUUGUCUAAAUAUUGAGUGAAGUUGUUUGUAGCAAAUUACCUGGACGACGACAAUGAAGGUGGUUAUUUUGAUCAAACUCUGCAUGCCAAUCAUCUUUACAAAGACUAUUGAGCCAAGAGACUUCAAAUCCAUAAGACAUCAUACGGUUGAUGUCCGUGCAAGAAAUGUUAUUGUUGUUGCCAUCUUGAGGAGACCAAGAUGUGAGAAACAUAAGCUCUAUACGACAUCCAUCUCUCAACCCCAACUCCGAAAGAGUUUUGAAGUAGCCAUCAACAUAGAAAGAAUUCUCGUACCGUGAAUACAAACUACUAUUCCUACAGUUAUCUCUGUAUAUGUAACCAGCCUGGUUCGGACAGCUCACAUGCAACAUAAGUUUCGUCAAUCUAUUGCUCAACGAAUUGUUUUUUUCUAGAUAAGGUACGUAGAUAUUUGAGGUGAAAAAAGGACUGAAAUCACUAGGAGGGAUGGAGUUAUUAGAAAGAAUAUUGAAAUACGAUAGUUGGAUGGUAAAGUUGUUGUAAUUAAUUGAUUGUACAUAGUAUUUUCCAAAUGAACCAUGGUACAAAAUCAAUUGAUUGUUGUCCUCACAUGAUAGGUUGUACCUAUUGUCACCACAUUUUUUGGGACUGUCUUUCAAUCGGAAAGGGUGGCUGAUGUUAUGAACACCGCACCUUCUUGAACAUGACUCUUGUUGUUCAUCACCAUCUGCAAUAUUGUACGAGAAUAUCAGUAUUAGUAACACCACAACAAAGGUUAAGGAUUGCAUUUUUUGUUUUCCGAUAUAAUAACAAGUAUCCAUUCAUAUAGGGACGGUGUCAGGAAUUGAACUUAUAGAGGGACCGGCAUUAAAAGUGUAAUUUAGUAAAAAAUAAAUUAAUUUUCAAAUGCAUAACUUAUAUAAAAAACUAGUAAACUAUAUGUGAUAUAUUCGAAGCUAUUAUUAUCAAAUAAAUAUAAAAAGAACUAACAUUUUUUUCUUAUAAAUUAAUCUUCAUGUUUGUUUUAUAUUUUGCUUAGUUGAAAGACUUUUGUUAGACAUUUACCAAGGUCUUUUGAUAGGCAAACAACAUGAAUUUUAUUAAAGUCAUUGUACAAAUGGAUUAUCUCUUUGCCAUUAAAAUCAUUGAAGAUGGUGAGAGUGUUUUACUUAUUUUUCAUCAUUUGUUAUCUCAGGUUAAGGUGUUAUGUCAUAUGUUAUCUGAUUUUCGCUGUCAAUAUGUUUCUCAUUGAUUUAAUCAAAUGGCUGGCUUUGCCAAAUAUGAUCUUAGUCGGCUUGUUCCUUUAAAGAUUUUUAAUUAAGUUUCGGAUUUCCUACCUUUGCUCAUCUUGGAAUGAUAAAGCUAAUUGUAUAAUUCUUUUCCUAAAGGUUUUUAAUUUGAUUUGAACAUUUAGCUCCUUUUUUUUUUUUUUAAAUAAAGUAGUAGAAAACUAAGUGUUUAAAACUCAAUAUAUUUAGUAAAAAAGGCAAAGUAUAACAUAUCUUAUAAUGUUCACAGAAAAUAAUAUACAGACUAAAAAAAGUAAUAGCACACUACUAUAAAAAGAAAAAAAUUAAAAAUCUUAGGAAAACCAUGGUCUCUCCUUAUCAUCCUUCUAACUCCAUCUCUGCAUCCAUAUAAAUAAAAUAUAAAUAUGAGUUUUGUUAACGAAUAUUCUUGAAAACACAAUUUAAAAAUUUUUAAAUUAAACAAUUAUAUUUAUAAAAAUGAAAUAUUUUAAUUUUUAAUAUAUUGAAUACAUAAAUUUUUAAAAAUUUAUUAUUUAAAAUGUUUAAAGAAUGUUGUGGAACAAUGUUAACAUUUCUCAUAAAAACAUAUUGGUCACAUUUUACAUCACGAUUAAUUAUUGGAGUAUCAUGAUGGAAGCUAGCAUUUGACAGGAGUAGAUUAAUCAUUUAGUAACUUUAUAGGAGUUAAGCACCACCAUAUAUAGUGGAAUGUGACCAAACUAGUGUCUGUACAAUUUGGUUUUCACGUAAGCUCAUAUGUCAUAGGAAAAGGGAACCAUUGAUAAACUUUAUUUGUUAAAAACUUUAGAUAGGUGAUGAUAGUACACAUCUUAGGCCAUUUUCGAUAAUUUGGAGAUUCGGUUACAAACUUGACAAUAUUUAUUUAAAAAAAUUAAAAAAAAAUCCAAUACUAUUUAUGGUGACAGACGAUUAAAUUGUAGUUAAAUAUGUGAGUAAUGAUUCAAACAAGAUUUUUACCUACAGAUGAAUAGAUAUUUACUUAUGUAUAAUUGACAGUAAAAUUUAUGCCUUUUAGACCUUUACCUAUGAAAAAUUGAUAUUUAAUGACGGAUUUUGUGUAGAUACAAUUUUUUUUUUUUUUUUUCAAAUUUAGAAUCCCCCCUAAAGGUAAGGCCCUAUGCCAAGGGCCUUGUUGCACUUGGCCAGGACAAGCCCUGUACACACCCUCAAUUAUGAAAUUAUUUAGGGUUCUUUCAUAGAUCAUUAAUCCAAUGUCGACUUUAUAUAUGAAGGGAGCUGCUAUAUCGCACGAGGACUCAACACACGAAAAGCCGCACGACAUGUUCAAUAGCACCCUAUUUACUUUAUUAAUGGAUUUGUUUUUUAGUUUAUGGGAUGCUUUUGAAUGUAUAUAGUAUAUAUACAGUAAAAAAAACAAUGCUACCAAAGCAAUAAUAGCAUACAUGAUCCACGUUCCACAAGGGUGAUAAGACACAUACAAAAGUUGAUUUGGAGAACCAUCAUUGAAUGAGGUGUUUUUUUUGUGAUUUCUCAUGAGAAAGAUCCAGCAGAGGCAAGAUUUGUCAUUUUGUGCAAAAUAAAAAUUAGGAAAAAUAACCAAAUGACAUUUAUAAAGCCGUUCGUGCAAAUUUGACGACAAUGUUUGUCGUGCUUUUCAGCAUUUUCCAUAUAUGAAUAACCAUGUAUUGUAAACUAUCAUUUAAGUUAAGCUCUAAUAAAUUUAAACUAAAUUGAACUUAUGAGUAUUUAAUAUGGUGUGAGUCUUUAAUGUUUAGAGAUCGCAAGAGGUGUGUCUAGACCCUUAUCGGUAUACAUAAUAGAUACAUGACCAUUCCAAUAAAAUUGGAGGCUCGGCUCUAAUAUUAAAAAUGGCCUCUAAUAAAAAUAAUUAAUGAUAAUUUAAACAAUUGCAAAUUAACCAUAAACAUUAUUUUGAUUUUAACUUGUUUUGUUGAAAUUUUUGUUGUUGAUAAAUGUGUGGGUUUGGUCUAACUUGUCCAUUUACUCUUUAUUUUUACCAAAUAAUGAGUGUUUGAUUUAGACCUACAUAAUAAAAGAAGAUGUUAUCCUAUAUCCCAACAAUUAUACUCAUACCCCUAUAAAUAAUUGAGACCCCCAUAAAUUGGAGGCUCGGCUCCGUAGAGCUCCUUACGCAUGGCAAGGAACGACCCUGAAUAGAUAGACAGAUAUAUUGUUUUGAUGAAAAUAUCAAUAUUACUCAUAUUGCAUAUUUUUAGUUCAAAAAAUAUUUAAAAUAGUAUUCAAUUUUUUUCUAAAAGAUAGUGAGGGCCCUUGCCCACAUUAUUAAUAACAUAGGUUUGUCCAUGACAUUAAUGAUAGAGAAAUUCUUUUAUAGUCACAAACAUAAAUGCACAGUGUUUUAGUCACAAUUUUUUUUUAAGAAUGAAAAAGAAAUUGAUAAUAAAAUGAUUUAGUAUUUCAAAAAAUGACAUUUUUAGAUGUAUAUGACCAAACACUAUUUAUUAUUUGUGUCUAUGGAAGAAUGACUCUUAGGCUGUGUUUGGUUUUAUAGAAAGAUUGCAAGUGAGAAAGAAAGUGAGUUGAUGGAUUCACUUUCUAUAGUUUGGUACCACUUAAAAAGGAGAGGAAAGAAUCUUUCAGCUGGGACCCACAGCCAAAAGCUUUCCGCAGCAAUAAGAGCAGAAAGGUUGGGAAAAACAACUUUUGUUUGAAAAGUCUAAAACGCCGCUAGUUUUAUUGUUUUUGAUUUGUUAGCAUUCUUUGUUGUUUCUCUCUUUUAUAUUUCAAUUUACCGUUCCAUAUAUUUUUUCCUAUCCUAAUCAAAAUCGUGUACAAAUUGAACCCUGUCACACUUUCUUUUUCCACGACACGUAAUUAUAUAUAUAUAUAUAUAUAUAUAUCUAAAGGUGUGUGUGUAUAUAAGGGUAUUUAUGCCAAUUACAAAAAAUUGAUAUUUCUUUCAUUCUAAUUAACUAAUUAGAAUAAAAAAAUAGAUUAUCGACAACUUGAACCAAUAAUUAACUAAUUGACUAAAUGUGUGUUUGGUAUGGCGGUGGUGAAAAUUGAUUUUGAUAGAAUUGAGUUUGAGAGAAUUGAUUUUGGUUAAAAGUGAGUUUUAGGUGAAUUGAUUAUGUUUGGAUACAUUCAAUUAAAAGUAAUUUUUACGAGUUGAUAUUGUUUGGGUAGUUUGAAUCAAAAUUGAUUUUAAAUGGGUAAUGACCAACUUACCCUUUUAAUUGUAUUUUUUUAGAACAUCUUUUUUAAUUGUAUUUAAAACUAAAUAUCUCAUCUUUAUUUUAGAUAAUUAUUUCAACUUUUCAUAAAUGGAUUUUUAUUUCAUUUCAAAAUAAUAUUAAUUAAUAAGAGUUAUAACUAAUAAAUUCCCUAAUAAAACUAAUAUAUAAAUUUCAACUCUUUUGUUUGAAAUUAGGCUUUUUAAGAAAAAAUGAAUAAAAAGGAUUGAGCCUUUAUCCAUUCAUUACCUGUUCCUUUGUCUUCUCAAAUCAAAAGAAAAGCUUUACUCAUUGCAUAAACGAAACGACUCAAUAAAGCAUCGAGUAAAGCUUUGCUCACAAAUAAAAUCAAACAACUUUGAUUUAUUUUCUUUGUUUCAAGUUUAAUUUUUCAUGUUUUUCCCUUCUUCUCUCUAUUUCUCCUGCAAAUCUGAAAAAUUAUGACAGAUCUGCAGUCCUGGCGUUAUGGGUAUUUUGGUGAAGUAUAUGCCACUCAGCCAAAACCACAUUUUAUCUGCCGUAGAAGCUAGGAAUACCAGCUUCAGUGGAACCAGCGUUUUGAGCCUUAAACUGCGUUUCCUGAACUCAGUUUUCAUUCAUCCAAACAAGAAUUUUUUUGCAGAAACCGCAUUUGAAAAAGUAAAAGCACGUUUGGCUGGAAAAAACGUGUGGCCAAACACACACUAAAGCAAAAAGGAAAACGUUAAAAAGUGAUGUCGGUACUUUUAAAUAUAAAAGAAGUGUGUUGGAAAGUGAUGUACACUACUUUUUGAUGUUUGAAUAUUGUUAACAUACCCAACAAAUAAUUCCAUCUGAUCUUAUGAGAGGAAAUUAUUUGAAAGCUGUUAUAGUCACAGUGAUCUAUAGUUAAGAGUCUGAGACAGAUUACUAUUGCUCAAGAUUUAAGAAUCAAUAUCAUGAACACUUAUUCUCAUGUUAUGGGAUGGUUGUUGUUCGUGUUUUACCUUAAUAUGUUCGUGCAUGGAACAACAACAUGUCCAGAAGAUUUAACAUGUGGAAAUCAAGUUAUCAAGUUCCCUUUCCGAAUCAAAAACCGUCAAUCACCCAUGUGUGGCUAUUCAGGAUUUGAGUUAUUUUGUACAUCAAAUAAUGAAACUAUCAUUGAACUUCCACACAAAGUGAAACUCAAUGUCAAGAACAUUGACUACAAACACCAAACUAUUCAACUAUCCGAUCCACAAAGUUGUCUUUACAAACAUAUCCACAACCUUAAUCUUUCAGAAUCUCAUUUCAACUACUUGAAACAUGACUAUGAUGAUUUUGUCGACUAUCACUUUAUCAAUUGUUCACUUUUGAUUAGAGACGACAUAGAUUCUUAUUUGGUUCCAUGUCUAAGUACCUCAACCUCUCAGACAUAUGCUAUAUCUUCUUUUACCGUUAUUGACAGCUUUCCUCUUUCGCUUUGCACCAAAAUGUUUAACGUUUCAACAAAUGUUAUUGAUUUUCUAGACAAAAACUCUCUUCGUUUGAUGUGGUCUGAGCCUAGUUGUAAACAUUGUGAAUCAAAAGGAAAAAUAUGUGGUUGGAAGAAUACUGUUGGUAAUAGUACCAACAAGGAAGUAGAUUGUUUCCCCAAAAAGAAGAAAGGUAACUCUAUUCUUCGUUCAAUUCAAUAAUAUAUGCAAAGGAUUAUAUCUUUUUUCGAUAGAUUAAUCUAAUGAUCAAUAGUAUUAUAUCUUUUUUCGAUAAAUGAUAUUUAGGUCGAAAGAUUAAUCCUAUGACGAAGUUUAGUUGAGUAAUGCAAAGGAUUUGGAAUAAUUUUAAGAAUAGUCCAAAAUAUUAUUUUCUUCUACAUCUUGAAAAACUUAUCUAACCAGAUGAGGAUCGAUAAAGUGUGUUUGAAUGGAUGUUUAGAUUGCCAAAAUCACGGGUACCUUGGUUUUGUAAAGCUCUAAAAUGUAGUUUUUGCCAAAAUUAUAGUGACUCAUCAUGAUUAUGCUCUCACAACCAAUCAAAACAAGCAUAAAGACGAUCAUUAUAUUGUAAUUAGAAAGUACUCUCUCUGAUUCUAUUUAUAAAAGACCUUUGGAUCAACAAAAGAUGAUGUAUCAAAUUCAAAAAAAUUUGAUUAUGGAUGAACAAAAAGGACAGAAUAGGGUGUAUUUCAAGCAUCAAUUAAGACAAAUACUUGGGAUAUUAAUAUCCUUUACAAUCAAUCAAUGACAUAAGCUAAGGCUAGCUAGUAUGAUUUUGCAGGUUCAUCAAAGGCUCUAGUGAACACAGGUCAGCUUUUAAGUUCAAAUUUGCUUCGUUUUUAUUCUUAACCUGUAAGAUAAUUAUCAUUUUUCUUAAGUUAGCUUUCAUAAAUGCAGGAUCAAUUUUAGGAUCAUUGUUUUUUAUCUUGUUGAUUGGUGGAAUCUACCAUAUUUAUGACUCUUACAUACUAAAGAAAGAAAAACAAGCAAUUGUAGAAAAGUUUUUAGAAGACUAUAGAGUUCUUAAGCCCACCAGAUACUCUUAUGUAGAAAUCAAGAGAAUCACAAAUAAUUUCGGGGAUAUGUUAGGACAAGGAGCCUAUGGAACUGUUUAUAAAGGAAGCAUUUCAAAAGAAUUUAGUGUUGCUGUGAAGAUACUAAAUGUUUCUCAGGGAAAUGGCCAAGACUUCCUAAAUGAAGUUGGUACAAUGAGUAGAAUCCACCAUGUUAAUAUUGUCCGAUUGGUCGGUUUCUGUGCUGAUGGAUUUAAAAGAGCUCUUAUUUAUGAAUAUUUACCAAAUGGUUCUCUGCAAAAGUUCAUAAAUUCACCGGACAACAAGAAAAACUUCCUUGGCUGGAAAAAGUUGCACGAAAUUGCUUUAGGAAUAGCUAAAGGAAUUGAAUAUCUUCAUCAAGGUUGUGAUCAACGCAUCCUCCAUUUCGAUAUCAAGCCACAAAAUGUGUUACUUGACCAUAACUUUAUUCCAAAAAUAUCUGACUUUGGUCUAGCUAAAUUAUGUUCAAGGGAUCAGAGCAUAGUAUCAAUGACUGCAGCUAGAGGAACAUUGGGGUACAUUGCUCCAGAAGUUUUUUCAAGGAACUUCGGAAAUGUGUCUUACAAAUCAGAUGUUUACAGUUAUGGAAUGAUGUUGCUUGAAACAAUAGGAGGAAGGAAGAUCACAGAGGACUUAGAGGAAAACAGUAGUCAUGUUUACUAUCCGGAAUGGAUUUAUAAUCUUAUAGAUGAUGAAGAGGAAAUGAAAAUUCAUAUUGAUGAUGAAGGGGAUGAAAAAAUUGCAAGAAAAAUGGCCAUUGUGGGACUAUGGUGCAUUCAGUGGCAUGCUAUGGAUCGACCAUCAAUGCAAAUGGUGGUUCAGAUGUUGGAGGAAAAUAUAGACAAAACUCCAAUACCUCCCAAUCCUUUUGAUUCCCAAUCUAGACAACCUAGGAGGACUGAUGCAACUGCAACUACUAGACAAGUAACCCACAAUUUAGAUGUAAUUCAAGAGAUAGAUUGACUUACAAUUGUGAAAUAUAUUUUACUUUAUCUUUACUUUUUUUUUUGUUCUUUUUAUCAAUCAAAUUGACAUUAGAAUAGCACCAAAUUAAGUAAAUGCUAAAGUGGAGGAGCUUAUCAUAUAGAUCUUGGGGUUUUUUUACUCAUAGAUUUUAAGUUAAUUUUCUUGAUGUUGACAUUUUGUACUGCAAAGGUUUACCAUUUUAAUUUUUUUUAAACAGGUGAACAGCCACAGAUCACCAGCUUACACCUUCCAACUUCACAAUCCAAAAUAUACAAAUGGAACCAAAUUUUGUAACACCAUAUACUGUUCCAACAAUUCAUUAUAAUUAUAUCACAUAUCAAAACACUUAAAUUAUACUAUAGCUUCUCUCCAUGUGAAAAAAUCACCCUGCUUCCUCUCAUGCACACAUAUAUAAAAACUGGAACCAAACCUUAUAUAUAAAAAAUUAACCCUAGUAAAAUAUCAGUUGAGAUCAUUUUGUUGUUCUAGACAUUCUUGGUAAAGUAAUUACAUUCACUGGUAUCAUCAAUAAAACAAUAGAGUACCAAUGUAAAAGAAUAACAAAUGUGAGAGAAUCCUGCAAUUACACAGUUUUUACUCUGUUCUCAACUUGCAUCAUGUGAAAAAACGAUGCCACUUCCUUGAAAUCCACAAUAAAUAUUCAGACCUACGAGACCUCCAACAAAAUCUUGUUAACCUCCAAAUCUCAGGUUCUGUGCCUUCUCAUCAGAUGGAAAAGGAAAAAAUGAAAGAGUCGUGUCAGUAAAACACAAACUCCCAUAAAACUCUCUCAGUAGAUCAAGUCAUUCAUUAAGUGGAAUAUAUUGAUUAGAAAUAUAUCGCAUCAUAUUUUUCAAUUUUCACUUCGUUAUGUUCUAAACAAAAAAUAAUAAAUAAUCAAGUUUAUAAUAAUUUCAUUUUCCUGAGAAAAAAAUAAUUUCCUUUCUCUCAUUUCCAUUUCUUAAUAGCUAGGUUUGUUCAUUAUUUCCUUCAAAAAAGGUUUGUUCGUCAUUGUUAAUUUUUCUUGACGCAGUUAUAUUCGUUCUUGGUGCAUCAUUUAUUGGAUUUUUAAUUUACAAAACUCGACCAAAACAUUUAUCAAUGUACAACGGCAUCGAAAGUUUUCUACGCCGUGACAAUAGCAUCAUGCCAAUAAGGUACUUCUUCAAAGACAUAAAUAAGAUAACAAAACUAGGAAGUGGAGGUUAUGGGUCUGUUUUCAAAGGACAACUUCGAAAUGGCUGACUUGUAGCAGUAAAAUUAUUGGACAAAACCAAGUCCGACGGUCUAUCAAUGAAAUUGCUACCAUUGGUAGGAUUCACCAUCUUAAUGUGGUACAACUCAUUGGUUUUUAUGUGGAGGGUUCAAAACAUGCUCUUAUAUAUGAAUUUAUGCCAAAUGGAUUACUCGAAAAAUAUAUAUUUUCUCAUAUUGAAGAGAGUAAUUAUUUGGGUUGCGAAAAAUUGCAUGCUAUUUCUCUUGGAGUUGCUUGAGGCAUUGAGUACUUGCAUAAUGGAUGUAAUAUGAAAAUUCUACACUUUGAUAUAAAGCCUCAUAACAUCCUUCUUGAUGAGAAUUUUAAUCCAAAAGUUUCUGAUUUCGGACUAGCUAGACUUUGUCCUACAGGUAAUAGCAUUGUGUCAUUAACUGCAGCAAGAAGAACCAUUGGAUACAUGGCCCCUGAACUAUUCUAUAGAAAUGUUGGCACAAUAUCUUACAAAGCUGAUGUCUAUAGCUUUGGGAUGUUGUUAAUGGAGAUUGCGAAUAGAAGGAAGAAUUAGAAUGCAUUGGCUGAACAAUCUAGCCAAAUUUAUUUCCCUUUCUGGAUUUAUGAUCGAUUACAUGAUGGAAGGGAAGUAUAUCUAUUGAAAAUGACACAGAUCAGGAAAUGAAAUUGGCAAAGAAAAUGAUGACUGCGGCUUUGUGGUGUAUACAAACAAAACCAGAGGAUCGUCCUUCAAUGGAUAAAGUUUUGGAGAUGCUUGAAGAAGAAGAUGGAGACUUGCAAAUUCCUAAUAAGCCUUACUUUUGUCCGCAAGAUCCACUAGUAGAGGAUGUUGGAGUCGAUAAUAGUAGCAACUCAUGGACUUCCUAUGGUACAUCAGUUAGCGAUCCCAAGUGACCAAUCAGUUAGCUUUGUGGUUGUAUUACAUAUCAUAUUGUUGGUACCAAGCAUUAAUAUAAGUAUGCAGUUUUUAUCUAUGUGUUUGUGUGAUUAUCAAGGGAUGGUAACAUAUAUUAUGGUAUCAGAUCUAUGGGUAUCGUUGUUGUGACAUAUUAUUAUGUAUCAAGAAUGCAUCUGAUAUUUGGUGGAAAGUGAAAACUCAUUUGUUCAAAAAUAUAUGGUAUAACUAGACAUAGAAAAUCAAUAAGUAGAAUUUUGUCUUGAUCUACCAAUUCUCCAUUGAUCUUAAAGCUAGAUUGGACCUACACCCGUUUAUGGCAAAAAAAUGUGUUGGAUAACGCUUUUAAAGUGUUGUGUAUUCCAUCAAUGUUAAAGCAUAAGGCAUCAUUUUUUACAUUAGUUGAUAGAAUUCAAAGUUAGUUUUGGUUGUUAGUUGAAUAACUAACCGUUUGUUAGGUAACUUGAGUUGCAAGUUAUGAGUUGGUUUUAACUGUUUGUUAAUUCUCAUGUUGUAUAAUUAGUCUCUAUUUUCAAAGAACCUGUGUCAGUGCUUGCAAUAGUUGAGGCACAAGUCACUAUGCAUCAAGACUUACAGAAGAAAGAUGGGAAACCAGUGUUCUUGCAUCAUUGCAUAAAUGGUAACAUAUUUGAGAAGAUAAUGCAUUGUGAAAAUGCAAAAGAUAAGCUUGGUAUACAGUGGAGAAAGUGUAUGCUGGAGAUGACAAAUUGUAGAAGGUGAGAUUACAAGCAUUGAGGAGGCAGUAUGAACUUCUAGCAAUGACUGAUAAAGAAUCAGAGUCAAAACAUUGGUCGAUUGAUCAACUUGAUAAACCAAUUAUGAGAAGGAAUGGUGAGACUGUAACUAACUUGAUGAAGAUUGAAAAGGUGUUAAGAACACUAACAUCAAGUUUUGAUUAUACUCCCUUUGUCCCAAAUAAGUGAUUAUUUUCUUAACUACAAAUCACUGCUCUUUCCAUCCAAAAUUACAAGUCAUUUUGGGAAGAAAAAAAAAUCUCCCAAAUUAUAAGUCGUUUUACAAUACGUAUGAAAAAUUAAUGUUACUUUUCUUAUUAUACCCUUGACUAUUUAUUAUUCUCUCUUCUUUCAAUUUUUUAAUUUAUCUUUCACAUACCAUUUAUUAGAGACAAUUUUAUAAUACAACUCAUAAUAUUUUUUUCCCAUACAUAAUUAAUUAAACUUCUUAUACAUUUGAAAUGUAACGUCUUAUGAGUUUGCUUUAAAUAUAAGAAGUGUUCCUCACUCAAUUAGUAGAACUCUAAAUAUAAGAAGUGUUUCUCACUCAAAUAGCUGGGUAUGUUUGAGUUCUACUAGUAGAACUGUGUUCAUAAUUCACCAUCUUUUAUCAAUCAAAAUGAUUCCUUUUGAGCUUUUACCUCAUGAUUAUUCAUAUGCUGUCUUUCUCUCUCUUAUGAGUAUGAUUUAUAACCCUCUCAAGUCUCAUCCCAUGAUUCUUCACAUGUUAAUUAUCAGAUUGAUACCCAAGGAAUGAACAUGAUGCUUCUGAUGAAAAUUUCAGUUCUGAUUCUGCCACGGAUCAUGAUAUCAUGGAGAAAAGCGAUUCUGAAGUCUUUGGCAGUUUUGUUUAUAAUAAUAAUAUUGUUAUUAUUUUCUUUUUUUUAUAGCAAAGUUCAAUUAAUGUAUUCCUCAAUUUCUUUGGCGAAUAGAUUUUACAAAGAACACCUCCAUCUAUUUGGCAUCUGGGAAAAAUAAAAUACUGAGAAAAUAAACAACGGCCCCUCUAAGGGGAAAUGUUUCCUAACUUGAAUACUUUAUAGAUGGAAAAUUCUCAAGCACCAAUUGCAGAGCAUGAUGUCACACAGUGAUUCCAAGGGAGUUGAGCUCAAAAGGCAUAAUGACUCCAUAUAUAUCUUUCCAUACCCAGAUUGCAUGUGCCAUGCAAAUGGAAUUUAUGAUUCUGGAUCUUCAUUAGUAGCAUGAUCCACUCAGUGUUUCUGUUUCUGAUAAGUACAUUUGUUAUUUAAUAAGAAACUUCCUUGGGCACGAUAUUUAGGCAUAAUCUGGUAAUGGCUACUGACAGAAAAUUGUAGCAUGAUGUGUAAAUAGUGACACGGUAUUCGGAUAAGGUAGUAGUAUUGUACUAUGUACGAGUUUUAUCAUGACACGAUUUUGACAGGUUUUGGGCACUAUAUAAGCAUUCUAUGUUCAAUUUUUUGAGCGAGCUUUAAGAGAGAGAAACUUGAGAAAUCAAAAGAGGUUCUCUUGGGUUGGGAAACAUUUGUAAACACCGUGGGUAGUGAGUUCAUUAUUGGAAGGAUCAAAAAGCUUCCUUUAGUGUUUUUCUCUUAGGAUACAUUGUGAGUGUGAAUGACUUGAAAAAUGGGUGGCAUUUAACAUGGGAAAGGGGAAUAGUUUCCCACCAUGGGAAAGUUAAAUUUGACCAUUAGAUUAAGUAAUGGACACAUCCUUAUUAUAGACUCUUAACACUAUAUCCAGAAUUCAUCUUCUUCCUCCUUGCUUCCACCACCUCAUUGGACCUUCUCUAUCCUCCUCUAUCAACAUAUCUAACCAAUCAACCAUUAAGCUGAUUAAUAAAAUGGCAGUACCGUCGUUUUGUUUCCAUUAUCUUCAACAUCCAUAACCUGUUAUGAACAUCAUAGUCAUGCCACCAGAUUUGAACCUGCCUUUUUUCUUUUUUACCAUUUUUACAUAGAAAUUAUCAAAACUCAUAAAGCUUACAAUCAACAACUUAAAUAAAUCCAUAUUCCAAUUUUAUUUAGAAUUAAAAUCGAUUGAAUCACAAUACCAAGUUUCUUUUGCUUCUUCUUUAGCUUGAAAAGUAAUGUAAUACACCAUAUCAGCAGUACCACCAGCAUGAGUACACUUGACAACUUUAUGAACCACAAAAGUUGGAAGAUCAGAAAAUUAUAGUAAAAACUGAAUCAACAAAGGCAUGGUAGUGGGAGAGCAUAAUAACCAUGAUUCAAGUAUGGGUAAUGAUGUUUAGUUGUAAUGAAGUUGAGCUUCUUCGGUUGCUGAUGGUUGUAAGUGAACGGGUUGGAGGCAUGGAGAAGAGUGAAGAGUGGUGGAAAAGAGGGUGGGUGGUUAGAUAUGGUGUUGAGAGUCCAUGAUAAGAAUGUGUUCAUUACUUAAUCUAAUGGUCAAAUUCAACUUUCCCAUGGUGGGAAACUAUUCCCCUUUCCCAUGUUAAAUGCCACCUGAAAAAUGGGUAGAAAUUAUGUUUUGUUCUUUGUGAGUUUUUAAUCUAAUUUCUUGUAACCUCUUUAUAUCACUAUUAUCAUAGUGGAUCAGAUAGUUGCUCUAUCCUCCGAAGUAGGUCCUUUUUGGACGAACUACGUAAACAAUAUUGGUGUAUUGUUUUCUUCCUUUUCUUACUUACUUCCUCAAUUUCAUGGGGAAUAGAUUUUACAAAGAACACCUCUAAGGAAAAUAAAUAAUGGCCCCUCUAAGGGAAAUUGCAUACUUCCCCCUCUGUUAAGGUAUAAAGAAGUGCUCUUUAUAAAAAGAAAGAAGAUUCUAUCUUAUCAUUUGUAAAAAUAAUCUAACUCUAAUUUGAUUACUUUAUACAUGGAAAAGUAUCAACACAUCCUUAAAACAUAACAAGAUAUAAAAAAAAGCAAGUAGAGAAAAUAAUCACUUUUAUCCAAGAAUAUGUGUGGGUACAUAUGAGUAAUAUUUAUAUAUCUAUAAAUACAUAUUCAUUGCUUGGAACAAAAAAGUUAGAUGCAAAUGAUGUGUGACUCACAUAUGUUGACCAAAUGAGAUCAAAUUGGUUACUUGGUAUCAGUUACUGAUGUACCAGAGGAAUACCAUGAACUACCAGUUCUAUCAUCUCUAGUAUCCUCAUCUUGUACAUAAUAGUCAGGCUUAUUAGGCAUUUGCAAAUCUUCAUCUUCUUCUUCAAGCAUCUCCAACACUUUAUCCAUUGGAGGACGAUCACUAGGUUUCGCCUGAAUACACCACAAAGCCACUAUCAUCAUUUUCUUUGCCAAUUUCAUUUCAUGAUUUGUAUCAUUCAGAAUUGUCAUUUCCCUUCCAUCUUGUAACUGAUCAUAAACCCAAAAAGGGAAAUAAAUCUGGCUUGAUUGAUCA
rnacentral:lncRNA from 1 species